CAUGAGUUGAGAUUGGGCCUAAACCUGCCUGAUAGCUUCAACUGUACUUUAACAUCUCUUGAUUACAGUAUUGCAAUAAUGUGCCAAUAUAACUUGGUGUCUGGCAUUCCUUUAUCUGAGAGAAUGUGAGGAGUUGGGUUUUAUCUUCAGUUGCUGUUGAUUGCACUCAAGACAAACUUGACAAAACAUUUCUUGUUUGACUGAGGAUUCUGACAUUAAGUGGAUGUUAUUCAGGUGAAUACUGUUCAGCCUUCAUUGUUUCUUGAGGCAGCUUAUGCUUCUAAUGACUCGCAACACCUGGCUGCAGUUCUAAGAUUUUUCUCAGACUUCAUUCCUAGGUUCAAGAGCACUGCUGAUCACCAAACUUAUAGUCGUUAUCUUGCCGAGAUGAAUACAAUGGUUACUGCUUGAGGCACCUUGACAUAAAUGAAGAAGUUGGAUCACUUGCCGAGAUGAAUGCAAUGGUUACUGCUUGAGGCACCUUGACAUAAAUGAAGAAGUUGGAUCACUUUGUUCCCCCUUGAAGAUCAAUGAUUCAGUUUAUUGUUGAAUGUCAAAGUUCUGAAAGAUGGCUUUGUGGCUUCAUGCAAGCACAGUAAGAACCAGAUACUGGAGGUAACUUGUAAAAACAGGCAUUAAUAAUAAGCUUCAGUUUUUUGGAUGGGACUUGUAACAUGUAUUACAGAAAUUAGUUUUUGAAAUGCUGAGGACUAGUAAGAUGGAUGUAAUUAUCAUACUCCAUUUUCCUGGUGAUCAUAUUCCUUUUUUUUUAAAAAAAAAAAAACUUUGGAGGUGGACCAAAAUCUUUUUCUACCUCUUUUACUUCUUAUUAACUCAAAAUCAUCAUUUUCAUUAUUUUUCAAAAUAGAAGUAGAAGAAUUAGGUAGUGAUAAAAUAUUAUUUUCAAUCCGUUGACUCUCAUUAUUUUUAGAAUCAAAAGAGAAUUUAUUUUCAUGAGAAAUAGCAUCACGUGAUGUUAUUAUAAUAUAAUAUUCAAGAUUAAAAAAUUUAUAGGUUGUAUUAUUUAAAACAUAAUCAAGGAAAGUACAAGUAGUAAUUUUUUUAUUCCAUUUGUAAUUUUGGGAUCAAUUAGCCCCACAAAGGCUACAUAGCUCCAAACUCUUAGAUAUUUCAAAUUUGACUAGUGAUCUUUCCACAACUCAAAAGGUAUCAAUUUAGUCUUUUUUUGAGGCAUGUAAUUUAACACACAAUAAGCUGUCAAAAUAGUUUUACCUCACAAAUUUAAAAGUGCAUGUGACUCAAUAAGCAUGACAUUAGUCAAAUUAAUUAAAAUUUUAUUUUUCCUUUCCAUUACACAAUUAGAAGAAAGAGAAUAAGGAGGGGUAGUUUCAUGAAUCAUUUCCAAUGAUCUAACAAAGGAAUUAAACUCAUUUUAAUUUUUAUUCACGGCCUAUAUCAUAUCUAGUUCUUAUUAUUUUUCUUCUAAAUCGAUUUUCAACCUUUGGAAAUAAACUUUAAAAAUUCAAAAAUUCCAAAAACAUCACUUUUAUUUUUAAUUCGGUACACAUAUGUAAAUUUAGAAAAAUCAUUAAUGAAAGUGAUAAAAUAUCUAUUUUCUCUACUAGUUAUAAUUUCUCCAAGUUCACAAAUAUCAUUGUCAAUCAAUUAUAGUAAAGUUGUUUUUCUUUUAGCUUGAAAAUGAGACCUUUUAGUGAUUUUGACUUUACGACAAGUCUCACACUUUUCAAAAAAAAAAAUUAACCACUGGGAUUAAUCUUAAACUACUCAUGAUUCUCACAUAAUGAUAAUUAAUAUGACAUAAAACGAGCAUGUAAAAAAUUAGUAGAAGAGAGCAUGUAAACAGAAGUAGAAACUUUAUUCAUUUCAAUAUUCAACUUGAACAUCCCAUCACAAGCAUACUCCUUUCCCACAAAAAUAUCAUUUUCACAAUUACAUAUUGAUCAGAUUCUAUAAUUUGUUUGAAGCCUGCUUUGGUAAGAAGAAAACUAGAUAUCAAUUUUUUUUUUCUCAUGGAAGGAGUAUAAAGUACAUCUUUCACAUUUAAUACCCUUCCAUAGGUAAACAAAAUUUGACAUCUCCCUUUCCAAGCACUUAAGUGGUGUAAAAAUCACCAAGCAUGAUGAUUUUGGACUUCUUAAAAGGUGUAUAUUUUUCAAAUCAAUCUUUGUCAUAACAAACAUGACAAUUUGUACCAGUGCUAGUCCUCUAUUCAUUAACAUUUUCAAUCAUGCUUUUCAGUAACGUUUGCAUGAGGUGUAGGGCCAUAAUUCUAAAAUUCGCAAAAUUGAGCAAAAUGACCACUUUUGCCACAUCCAAAGCACCGUCCCUUAUUUUAAACUUGUUGAUUUUGUGUUUGGUUAUUUCCACUAUUAUUUUUUUUGUGAGGUCUACCAUCAUUUUUCUUUAAAAUUUUCUUCUUAGGCUUCAUAGAAAUGUUUUUGCGAGAAUCAAGAGUAUCAUUAUUUGAAUUAAUUAAAUUUAUCUUUACUGUGAUGUUGCUCGCUUCUAAUUGUAAAUGUCAUCUUGGCCCUUAGCCUCUUCUUCCAUGCAGAUUUUCAUUAUCAACGUCUCAAGAGAAAUUUUCUUUUGUUUGUGGCGCAUAGUUUUUUGAAAUUUCCUCCAAGAAGGUGGAAGUUUAUCUACUAUGCUACAAACAAUAAUAUUCUCUCCAAUUCUGAUCUCUUCGAAUUUGAGCUCUCCAACAUACAUUAUAAAGUCUUGAGCUUGAUCUACCAUUAAUUUUUUGUCCAUCAUUUGAAACACAAAUGGGUUAGCAAAUUAUUGUUUCGCUCUUGAUUCUUCAAUAACAUACUUACACUGCAAUGCUUUUCAAAUUUUCUUUGUACUAGAGUAAGUUUUAUUAUAAUAAUCAUAAAAUUAGAUAAACAAUUAAUAAUAUAAUACUGACAUUUUCACAAUCGGACUUUUCUACUUUUUCUUGAAGAUAAAUAAGUUCAUCAUCAUUCAUGGAUGGAGAUGUUGUCAACUUUAUUAGGAUUCUUCUCAGUUAAGCAUAGAAACAUUGAAAAAAUUUAAGUAGAGAAGUACUUUACCAUUCCACUUCUUGAAGUGAUUACCAUUGAAUCAAAAUGACUUGGUAAGAUCUCUCAUCUUGACAUUCGCGAAUUUUUCAAUUGUAGCCAUUGAUUCUCCUUAAAAUUGUUUGUAAAAUUACAGAUUACAAAUUAUAGUUGAGAAGAACAUAAAUUAUCUUCAGGCUGAGGCGCAAAUAUCUCGCUUUUGUUAAAGAGAUUUAAGCCUAUUGCAACAAAUCUUUCACCUGUCUAGCAGUAAUCUUCCUGACCUGUCUCCUCGUGAAUACAACAACUCAAUCACAAAUUAUAAUAAUAAGUUAAUAUUAAAAUAUUCAAACUAAUAUUUUUUAAUAAUAAUAAAAAUAAUAUUCAAAUGUUCACAUUAACAAUUUUUUUUUUUACAUAUGAACAAAGUAACACACAAUACUACUGUCUCCUUCUCAAAGUGCAGGAGGUGUAUGGGAUGCAAAAAUAAAAAAUUCUGCUAUUUGAUCAGGGUUGAGCUUUAUGUGAGUUUGCCCUACACCCGUCCUAUUGUCAUCCUUAGUGAAAUGUUGUAGUUUGACUACGCAUGUGAAAGUUAUUUGAAAAGUAGCUAAACUUAUAUUUUUCCUCUAUCUCAAUUUAUGCAACAUAUUUCUUUUUUCAAGAGUCAAUCAAUUUAAGUUUGAUUGGGAAUUCGCACAUGAUAUCAAUUAUUUUUGAAAUGAAAUUUAUAUAUUUAUAAAAUGCGUCAAAAGUACUAUAAGUCACAAUAAUUAACAAUCUAAAAUAUAUAUAAAAAAUAUAUAAUAAAAAAAUAGAUUUAUUUGAAUUUUGAAAUUCGAAAUGUGUCAUAAGAAUUUAUAAACUUGGGUUAUUUAUGUAUAGCAUAGAUGGGACACCAAUUUUGGGUAUUUAUGCACAUGUUGUGCCAUCCGUAUAUGGGCCUGACCUUUUAGCUGGGCUUUGGUUACUUCUAAUGAUGCCCAAUUAGUCCUUUCCACUUCUCAACUUUUCUGCCUGUUUCUUCCAUAUGCAAAUGGAUAGAAUUUCAGCUUCGCAACUCCCAUUUUCAAACCAUUUCCAGGUUAGCUCCGCUCUUUCUUUUCUAUCUAUUUGUUACUAGAAAGUUUGUUCACUCAUAUAAAUAUAUUUGAAGUUUGUUCAUUUCUUUCGAUGAAGUUUAAUAUUGUUUUGGGCUAUGAAAAUUUGUUCACUCAGAUAAAUAUAUUUGAAGUUUGUUCAUUUCUUUCUUAUGUAUAGAUGAAGUUUAAUAUUGUUUUGGGCUAUAUUCUUGAAUACAGUAGAGAUUUGAAGGGUUUCUGUAUUUUUUUUGGAUUAUGAACAAUUUUCCCAAUUUGGGUUAUAGCCUAUAGUGGAAAGAAUAUUGAGGUAGUUGGUUUAACAAGCUUUUGGUAGUCAAGAUGUAAUUAAUAUAGUGUAUGUGGUACAUUACUGAUGAAUGAAUUAGUAAUUGACAAGAUUUAAUCUUUCCUCCUUUCCCUGUGUGUUUAAGCAAUGUUUCUUCAUUCAAUUAAGGAUAGAGACCAAGGGGUCGUUUGGUUGGGAACAAGUUAACUAAGAUAACUUAUGCAUCACUAUGGAAAAUAUGGUGGGAUAACUAAUCCAAUGACUAUCUAAUACCUUCAACCAAACAUGGUAUAAAAUAAUCCUACAUUUUAUCCUGGAACAAUUAUACCUUAUACCUCACACCAAACAAUCAUAAGAGAUUCUUUUCCAUUUGUAUGUUAAAGAAUCAUCAUACUUUUUCUUUAGUACAAGAGAUAGGCCCUAAAGCAAGAGUUCACUUGUUGUUAAGACUUGAGGUCGAAAAGAGGUUGUGUUUUCGGGUUUCAUUGGUACUAGUGGAUUUCACAAUUGAUCUGCAUUUCCUCCUCUUCCUGUCAAGCCUUCUCCAUUACCUUAACAUGUCACCCUACAUCUUUUAAAGCCAGGGCAACUGACCGAUUCUAAGAUUCUGUCUGAUAAUUAACAUUGUUGUUAUCUUUGAAGUAAUCUAUACCUCUCUUAAUGGGUUAUGGAGCUCUUGCACAUUGAUCACACUGCUAGACACCAUCAUUAAGCUAAGUUGCGCGGACUCUUCACUUUUGAUGCCAUACCCGUGUCGGAUUCUCCAAAAAUACACUACUUUUGGCGAAUCUGAUACACACCCGUUGACAUUUUUGAAGAGUCCGAGCAACAAUCAUUAAGUACUUGCUUAUUGAGAAGACCACAUUAGAUUUUAUUACAUGUCUUAUUGAACUACUUUAAGCUUUUCUUUCUUUUUAAAUAUGGAGAUUGUUUGGCCUCUUUCAUCUCCAUAAAACAUUUUUUUCAAUCUAAUGGCAGUGCACAAAAGCUCAGAAGUAUUCGCUUCAGUGCAGAUGAAAACACAAUUCUGAAGGGGUGACACACAGAAGAAUAUCUGUGCAAAUUGUAGGCUAAAGACAUAUUUAUAACCAGGAAUUUUAUCUCGUCUCUCCCCAAAUAUCAAUUGUCGGCAUUUGUAGAGAGUAUUGGACCAAUGAGCUCUAUGUCAUCAUCCUUGUCUUUCCUCGCACUUACAUCACCUCUUCACGUAUCAAGACAACGUCUUAGUUUACAGCAAGCUCAUAGUUGCUACCAACGAUAUGCUUUCAAUAGUCAUGGUAACAUUACCCUUUCAAUCCAUGUCCAAUUAGCAUCCCCUCAUCCAUUUCCGUCCAGUAAUUUGAAAUCCUGUUGUAGUGCUAUUGCUUCAUCAAAUGACGGAACAGUAUCUAUGAUUAAUUUUGAAGAUGUAAUGGAAAAAGACUGGUCAUUUCUUGAGUAUCCAGAUUCCAGUGAAGAGCAUAAGCAAAAAAUUGAUGAGAUCAUAUCAGCAGGAGAGAUCACGGAGACUUCCAAGGUUGUGAUAGCAAUUUGUUCUGAUGAAUUUGUUGAUAGAGUAGUUGAUUCAUCGAAUUGCAAGCAACUACUUGUCGUUCAUGACUCUCUUUUCAUGUUAGCAUGCAUCAAGGAAAAAUACGACAAGGUUAAGUGUUGGCAAGGGGAAUUGAUAUACAUACCAGAGAAGUGGACACCUUUUGAUGUUGUUUUUCUCUACUUCCUUCCUGCAUUGCCGUUUGAACUUGAUCAAAUUCUGGAUGCACUAAGAAAACGUUGUUCGCCAGGUGAAAUUCUGUCAGAUUACUACUUCAUUUGAUCUUAUGUUUUCGUCAAGACUGAAAGUCGGUUUUAUAUGUUCAGGUGCAAGAGUUGUGAUUAGUCAUCCACAAGGCAGACAAAUGGUUGAAGAGCAACAGAAACAAUAUCCUGAUGUGGUUGUCUCAAACUUGCCAGAGAAGAUGCUGCUGCAAAAUGUCGCUGCACACCAUUCAUUUGAAGUAGUCAAAUUUGUAGAUGAGCCUGCUUUCUAUCUUGCUAUUCUCAAAUUCAUGCCAGAUACCAUCAACCAAUAGCAUACUUUUCUACUUGUCUAGUCAGUAUUGGGCUGCUUAUUAUUAUUAGUAUAGAUAGCAUAGACCUAUCUUCGUAGCUAUCAAACGUCGUAUAACUUAUGUAUUAAUUAAUACUAUAUGAAUAACUUGCUUCUUUACUAGAUACCAAACGAACCUUGAAUGAUUGAUUGCUUGAAGUCAAAGCAUGAUUAUAAUCUUGUUAUGACAACCAAAUUCACGUAAAUCAAAUAUUUUGUUACACUCUCUAAAGAUUUUAGAAUCCUAUAGGUUUAAGUGGGGAAAAAAAAUAGUUGGAGAAGGAAAUUGUGUCAAGACUUUGUUACAAGUCUGAUUAAUUCAUGGUCAUUCAUACUUAACGUGUUUUUAGUAUGAAAGAAAGUGUUUUCUUGAAAAGCAAGCAAUCUCUUACUUAUUUUUUAGUGUUUGGUAGGUAAGCAAGAAAAUAUUAUCCCAAGAUCAUUUAUAUGUUAUCUAGCAAAUCGUUAAGGAGGCAGGCAGGGGUGGGGGUUAAUGGGUGGUAGGGGGUGUGAUGGUCAAGGGGUGCGGGUUUGUAAAUAGUGUAGGGGGUAAAAGGUCAUUUUCAAUGUUGGGUAUUGUUACCAGGGGCGGCUCAACGUAAUUGGGGGCCUAAAGCGAAAUUUCAAUUCGAAGCCUAAAAUAUAAACAAACUUCGUAUACAUAUUUAUUUAAUUUUUAUUUUUCUUACACUAUUUAGAUGAAAAUUAUUAGUAUUUAAUAUUGUUUUUUCAGUUAUUAGUUUUAGUUAAGAUUUUAUUAGCUCAACAUUGAAAAACAUCAUUUCAGUGAGACAAUUAUUAUAUGAAUUGUUAACAUANNNNNNNNNNNNNNNNNNNNNNNNNNNNNNNNNNNNNNNNNNNNNNNNNNNNNNNNNNNNNNNNNNNNNNNNNNNNNNNNNNNNNNNNNNNNNNNNNNNNAUUUGCAUACAGAUGUCAUCAGGCGGUGACGGUGAUAUACAUCGCGAGCAUCUUGGAGUUAGCAAGACUAAACAGGCUAAGAAGAAGAAGUCUAAGAGACCGAUAGAUCCUGAGGAUAUUGUAGGAUCUAUUUCUUCUGCGCCAGAGCGCAUCAGCCAUGAUACUCAUUUAUUUGCUGUUCCGUUUGGUACGACAAAUCCUCGGCAAUAUUAUCCUAAUUAUCGUUGACCAGUCGGUGCAUCAUCUACUUCACAUGCAUUGCCUUCACGAUGCUACGAGGACCUACCUUUACAAGCUAUUCGUCGAGCACGACCCUUAUCGGCAUGUACUCCAUCUCCCACAGGUACAUUUCCUCAGUUAACUGCCAUGAGGCUUGGAGAUUCUAGUAGCGAGCAGCCAGAUGCUCUGGCCGGUACGCCUCCAUUGACUCAACGUUUUGUGCAUCCUGAUGUAUCACCCUCGUCUACAGCUGCACCUAGUGCUACACCACAUAAUACGAUGUCUGCUCUAGAUCCUAGCCAGAAGGAUAGACUUGGUAGAGUCAUGAUUGAGCCGGAUGGAUCAUCGUAAGUUUGUUUUGUUAUCUAUUUGUUAGUUUAUUUUAUUUAUUUCUUAUACUUUAAUAUAUUAUUCAUGAACUAACAUAUUUAUUAUGUGUUUUGCAGGUGGCAUCCUGCAAAGGAUGCUACCUGGGCUUUAGAAGAGUGUGCUAGAAGACUCUAUACACAAGCUUAUCACUCUUGGAGCGAGAUUCCAAACAGUAUACGACAGGCGAUGUUUAAUAACUUUAAGGUAUAUAUUUUUUAAUUAAGUUUAGUAUACUUUACUUUUUUUACUAUUGAUCUAAUUAACGUUAUUCAAUUUUUUUCAGAUUAUGUGUACUUGGGAGUCGAGGUACAAUUUGGCAUUGGGACCACAUUUGAGAGGAAGGCAUCCACCAGACUGUCUAACUGGCUAAAGAGCGUUCGGGAUAGUGGUGAANNNNNNNNNNNNNNNNNNNNNNNNNNNNNNNNNNNNNNNNNNNNNNNNNNNNNNNNNNNNNNNNNNNNNNNNNNNNNNNNNNNNNNNNNNNNNNNNNNNNNNNNNNNNNNNNNNNNNNNNNNNNNNNNNNNNNNNNNNNNNNNNNAGGAAGAAAGAAAAUGAGUCGGAUCCGGAUGUGUGGGUGGAGGAAAGGGCCGAACGAACUUUUGUAAGUUAUUUAAUAUGAAAAAUAUAUAUCAAUACUGAAUAUAUUUAUGAUAUGUAUAUAUAUUGAUGUCAAUAUUUAUAUUUAAUAUGCAGAAUGACUUUAAUAAGUACGUUGCUGAGAAUCUAGAUAUUUCGGUUCAAUUGACACCUGAACUGUCCACUCAGAUUUGGAAAGAAAAAGUGGUAGGGGGGACACACAAGGGUAGAUGCUAUGGUCUAGGCUCUCGCAACGAUGUUAGACGCCUUCAGUCAGGUUUAGAAGGUAUUGGAUCGUCACGUCAAGCUGAGGCACUUGACGGUGUUCAGAUUGCUUAUAUGUCGGAUCAAAUAGCUAAACUUACAGCGGCACUAGAAGAGUCGGAGCGGAAAAGAGUAGCUGAACAACAAAGGAUGAGUGAGACCGUUCAGCAAAUCAAAGAACAAGUGAUGAACCUCGCUCGUCGACCUACUACUUCGGCUCCCGAUGACACCGACGACAAGAGUGAUGAGGAUGAUUAUGUAGAUCUCACUCCCUAGUUUAGAUCUCUGGACAUUUAUGAACUUUUUGAAAUUUUAAAAUGAAUUUUAAAAGACUUUAUAAUUCUUUAAUUUAUGAUUUAGAUACUUUUGAAUGUUAUUUUAAGUUUGUUGUUUUAUGUUUUGUUUAGAUUGUUUAUAAUUGUGUGUUUGAUUGGGCUGAAUAGUGUAGAAUUGAAUUGAAUUGCAUUUGCAGGUGGGCAGCAGAAGCUGCGAGCUGCUACCAUAAAAAAUAUUGCAGAAAAAGCGACGGACAACGUGAUUUUGUUCGUCGCUUUUUUGGGUUUUAAUUUUUUUUAAAACCUAGAAAAGCGACGGACAGCGUGGUUUUGUCCGUCGCUUUUUUUGGGUUUUUAAAAAAUAAAAUUUCCAGAAAAGUGACGGACAGUGUCCUUUUAUCCGUCGCUUUUCUGGGAUUUUCAAAAAUAAUUUCCAGAAAAGCGACGGACUGGGUCGCCCUUUAGAAUUAAAAAAAUGAAAAUUAAAAUAAAGCGACGCAGUUCAUCGCUUUUUUAAAAAAAAUUCAAAAAAAAAGAAAGUAAAAAAGCUACUCAGUCCGUCGCUAAAAGAGACGCAGUCUGUCUCUAAAGCGACGCAGUUCAUCGCUUUUUAAAAAAAAAUUCAAAAAAAAAGAAAGUAAAAAAGCUACUCAGUCCGUCGCUAAAAGAGACGCAGUCUGUCUCUAAAGCGACGCAGUCCGUCGCUUUUUAGCGACGCAGUCCGUCGUUUUUUGAAAAGCGUCGAGCUAAAAAUUGACGGAAGUGACUGCGUCGAUUUUCCGUCGAUUUUGACAAAAAAAGCGACGUAGUCCGUUGCUUUUCCGUCGAUUUUGACCAAAAAAGCGACGUAGUCCGUCGCUUUUGGCCGUCGUUUUUGGACAAUUUUUUAGUAGUGGUUCUUGGUAAGUGUUCUUGAAGUUUCAUUCUAAAUCUUGUUUUGUUGGUGUUUUGAUGAAUUCUUGAGAUGAAACUGAGUGUUUUGAGGGAUGUAUUGAGUAGAUAAGAGUGUAAUUAUGUUGAGCAAUAGAAUCCAAGUCUUCUACACUUCUAAUAACUUGUUUCACGACUCGUACAAGUGAGUAUGAGAAUGAGGAGAAUGUAUUCAUGAGUCUACUUUAUCAUCACUAGAUUCUUCAUAUCAUGAACGAUAACUCGUGAGUUCAUAAUUCAAAUUCAAGAGAGAGUUAAAAGUAGAGUUCAAUAAAGUCUUUGAGUUCAAUUGUGAAUCCUUUGAGAUCAACUAUUGAUUUGAGCUAAGUUUUGAUGAAGUAAGUAUGAGAAUGAGAAGAGUCGUAUACACGAGUUCCAUAUUAUUAUGUAGACCCUCGAGUCGAGUCGUUCAUGCCCAUAAUUCUGUAUGAACUUCAUAAUUUGAGAAUCUUUGAGAGGAGUAGUAUCUUCAAGUUCUAAGUCUUGAGUAUUGUGUUCCUAACCCUUUUGAGAUUAUAUUCCUAAUCAUGGAACUAUUACAUGUUACCCAUGAAGUCUUUGAGUUGAGUUGUUCAUGCCCAUAAUUCCGCAUGACAAAUCUUUUUAAAUUUGUUUUAAGACUUGCAUAUGAGUUUGAGGAAGAGUAGAACUGAGUUCAUUUUAUUUAAAAUGAUAUAUGAGAACUAAGUAAUACCAAGAGUAAAUGUUUUUACAUUUAAGCACAGAGGAAACACCGAUUUCCAAUAGAGUUUUCAUGAGCAGUUUAGAGUACCAUCUUAAUUAAGAGAUUUUUUUUUGAGUAAUAAUCCCAAACCACAUAGAGAUUUAUGUUUUUAAAAACAUAUGAGCAAGUAUAUUUUGGGAGUAGUAUUGAACACCGAUAUUGGGGAGAGUUCAGAUAAUUCACAGCCCCCAUAAACCAUGUAGCCAACGUGGGUAGAAAGGGUCAUACUUUUUAGAUGAUUUCUUAAUGCUUUUUAGCAUAAACUAGUGGAUCCACUUAGUAGUAGGUUCUAUACCCCGGCAAAGUAUAGGACGACCAUGGCAGUGUGAGGCAAGACGUUGCAUCAUCACAUAACUCAUAUUGAUGAUUGUCGAUUAGAGAAACUCCCACAGAGAUAUUUUGUAUUCUNNNNNNNNNNNNNNNNNNNNNNNNNNNNAGUGAUGGUUGUCGGUUAGAGAAACUCCCAUCGAGAUAUUUUGUAUUCUUAUAUACACAGAGAUAUUUUGUGUUCUUGCAUACAAACAGAGUUACAUUGCAUUUUCUAAUACAUUGAGUUGCUAUCUACUGUUUUAAAAGCUUUCCAUUUAUUGCAUCUUUUAUUGUUGCUUUAUAUUGAGUUGAGUAUCCAGAGUUGAAUAUCCAGAGUCGAGUACCUAGAGCCGAGUAUCUUAUUAUUGAGUUGAGUCUUAUUUCACUGAGUUGAAUAUCUUAUCAUUGAGUUGAGUCCUAUUUUCUCUGAGUUGAGUUGAACUAUGUUUCUCUGAGUUGAGUUGAACUAUGUUUCCUUGAGUUGAGUUGAACUAUGUUUCUUUGAGUUGGGUUAAGUUGAGUGAGUUAAGAAGAAGUAAGUAUGUUUCUUUUCCACCAGUUUCAAGCUCAAGCUUAUAUUUAUGCUUUAGAAUUUCCCUUACAUGCUCGUACAUUCAAUGUACUGAGCCAUUUGGCCUGUAUCGUUUCAUGAUGCAGAUACAUAUAUUCAGGAUCAUCAACAGAUGAUUCGUUGAUACCACCUGCAGUUCUAGAUAGCUCUGGUGAGCCUCCUUGGUUCCGGAGGAUUUCAUUUACUUUUCAGUUUCAUCAGGAUGUCGUGGGUCUUGUCCCGACUUCCAUAUUUGUCAUUUAAAGGCUUCAUAGAUAGACAAUAGAAUUUGAGAAGUCUAUUUCAUUUAUCUUAUUACAUGUUUUAAAGGCUUGAGUUGCCUAUUUCUUGCAAAUUGAAUAUACUAUUUUAUUUAGAGUUAGAGUUAAAUAUAUUGUAAUUGGGUUCAAUGAAUUUUAUUCAGUUUUAAGCUUUGUAUGCUUGAGUUAGUCUUUUGCUUGUAGUCAGCCAUGGUGAGGGUUCUCUUGGGGACCAAAAAUGGUUCUCGAGUGCCGGCCACGUCUAGGGUGUAGGCUCAGAUCGUGACAAUUACUCUAGUACAAUUGAUUCUUAAGAUUGUGAAGUUAAGGAUCCAUCUUUUUCAAUAUUAUUUUUCUAUUUUAAUUAAGCGUAUUUUGUUUUAGUUAUCAUUAAUUUAGAUUAUGUAUAGAUGUAUUCUUACAUUUUAUUUACAUCAUUAUAUUUACAUAUAGUAAAAAAAAGUCACCAUAGAAAAAUAAAUGAAAAACAAGACAUAUAUUUACUCAUGAAAACAAUUUUAAAAUAUUUGAUUAAGCGCUUGAGCUAAAAUCGAAAAGGAAAGCCUAUUGAUAUCAUAACCUUCGAGUCAUUACAAUGCACUAUAUAAAUUUAUAAAUUUCUAUGUAUCAUUACCCUUUCAAUAUAUUGUUAAUAACCAAAAUUAUUAGCAAUGAGCUCUUGAAGCUUGACACUAGAAACUUUCAAUUGGGCCACUCUGAUGGGUAGAUUAGAAAAAUUAUCAUCACACAAUAGAUGGAUCAUGAAAAGCAGCAGAGGCAUGAAUAUUCUAACCAGUAUAGUCUUUAAACUUCAAAAUAGAUGGCAAUCCUUUAGAUCAUCAACGACAUCAUUGUAAUUCUCUGAACACGAAAAAUAUCGUGUCUUUAAUUUUGGAUUUGUAGCUUGUUUAAGCAAUGUAUUAACAUGAUCAUGUGCAGAUUCCAUUUUCUUAGUGAUAUGUCUAGUGAGAUAGUUGCAAGUCCUUCGAGAUUUCCACCUCUGGAUCGAGGAUCCCCAUUUAGAGUCGUAAACAUAUAUCAUGCAUUUAUGUUUUUUGCAAACACUGUGUAAUGAUCUUCUAGGUCAUUUUCAUUAUUUUUCCGUAUUUUUAGCCUUUAGAGCUUUCUUGUAGCUGCCCCAAGUCAUUUAUCACUUGCUAAGACUGACCAAAUGGUCACCGGGCAGUUCGUUUGUUUAUGCAAUUUUUAUGUUUUGGAAUUUCUGAAGGUUAGAUGUUUGACUUUGGUCAAAACUUGGUAAACUAUCCCAGAAUGUAAUUCUGAUGGUUUUGUUAGUUUCAAAAUAUCGAUUUUAGUUGAGAAAACAAUAAGCAUACUAUAUAUUUGAAUACCCACUUCUAAAGUUCUAACAAUUAGACCAUGCCAAUCAACUAAAAUGUAUAUGUGUUUAUGCUGGAAAAAUUGAAUCUGGCAAAAUCAACUCAUAAAAACUUCUUUUUUGUACUGCAAAAUUGGCGCAAACAGAAAAAUUUGUAUGGAAAAUUUUAGGGGUCAAUUUUUUUCUUUUAUUAUUUAUUAAAAGGCAUAGGAACCAAUGCGCCUUACAAGGCGCAGACAAACUGUAACUUGUAAGUCUCUGUCUCCUUGCGCCUUGUAAGGCACAUAGGGACCUGCGCUUUGCUACCCCAAUUUACGCCAUCUCCCCCCCGUUUAAAUAUUACCCUUUUGGUUUCAAACUUAUUUUUGUCGCCCUUUUGGAAAUUUCACUCAAUUUUUUGUCCUUUCAGCUCCAGAAUCUAUUCACACCCACAUUCCCAUGGUUAGGCAAAUGGUUAUUGUUCACAUUUAGAGAAGCUCCUUUAAGCUGAAUUAUAUUUUCUUUGAUCAAAAUCUCAAACAUAUCUUUGAGAGCCAAACAACUUUCUGCAUCAUGUCCAGAAGCCCCUGAAUGAUAUGCGUAAUGCUUAGACUCAUCAAACCACUUAGGAUGAGGUUUGAUAGCUCUCCAAGAAAUUGGUUGGAUCACUCCUACUAUUUUCAUCCUUUCCAGGAGUUGGGCAUAGGGCUCAUCUAGAGGUGUGUAAGUCUUCCUUUUGUCAAUAUUUUGACGAGGCCUUGGUGGAGUUGCUGAAUUGUUUGGAGGUUGGUAUCGGGAUGGUUGUUGGUAAUGUGGUGAUUUUGAUAUGUGGGCGGUUUCUGAUAGUAUGUUGAUUGGGUGUUAUAAAAAGAUAAGAAAUAGGUGAAUUUUUUUGGCUAUGUGGGCUUUGAAGUGAUUGGCUAUGGUAUGCGUGCAUCUGACUUGGCCUUCGCUCCUGAAUAUUCAUUAUAGUUGCAAAUUCCUCUUUUUUCUACGAAACUCUUAUUAUUCUAGAUUGGAUUGCCUUACAUAGUACAAUGAGUAUACCAUUCAAAGUAUGAAAACACGCAAAUGCCGAACAAAGCUCAAAGUCACUAUUACAACAACUUUAAAGCAUAAAAAAUAGGUAAAUCCCCUCAUAUUUAAGCAAGAUAUUAUAUAUAUGAUCACUCAAAAUGGGAAUAAGAAAAUUCUACACUUAAUUUAACUAGCUAGAAAGAGCAGAGACUUAAAACUAAAAACUUGAAUCAAGGGAAAGGCUUCAAACAAUAUGUCAACAACUAUUAUUUUUUUUACAAUACAAAGCUAACAGAGAAAAGAACAAGAUAUGAAAGAAUUCAAACAAGAUUUUUUGAGAUUUUACACAUGCCAUUGUUUAAAUUGUUUGAAUAAAAUUUAUACACAUAAAUCUACCACCCGAACGAGAAACAAGCUUAAUAUUGUAUUUGUUUACACAAAUGUAUGAUGUGAGUUUACUGCCAAUAUGCUACAACCAUAACACCUCACAUUUUAAUUAGGAACAACAUAUAAUCUGUAUCAAACAAAAAUACAGUAAAGAAAAUUUGGCUUAGUGCAAGGUGUGGCGGCUAAAUGUUCUCCUCCGAAAAUGGGGUUGAAUGCGAGUAUUUAUAGGCGAUGUGAAGCUAGGGUUCGUGUUUGGGUGGGAUUUUAAUGAAAAAUGAGCGUUUGAAUUUUGAAAUCUCUGCUUGAUGAUUCUUCCUCGGAAAUGUCAAGACCUAGACCGUCGUGAUUGGCACCCACACUAACCCUCCGGUGGGAGAACUACUACUACAACCCAAACCAAACAACUAAUAUAAAAACUAAGGCAUUUAAGUAAAUGAAAGCAGUUAAGUACUAAGGAAAUAAGUAGGGAGUUCCCAUAAACUCCAACAAAAGUCUAACAACGAACUAAACAAUGCGGAAGAAACAACCUAGAACCUGAAAGUCAAUGUACCAAAACAUCUAAAGUUCAACAAGUCUAAACAGGAAGGGAUGCAAUCCCAAUCUAAUGAACUAAUCAACUAGCUAGAACAUAGUCUAGGUCCGGAAAUGGUGGACAUAGACGAAAGAGAACCCAUGGCAGCCCGGAAGAAUUGGCUCACCCUUGAAUUCAAACGAUCACUGAUCUCCUAAGCGAGGUCUGUCAGUAGCCGCUUGAAGAUGCCCUGUACUCAACAAAAAUAAGAGCAAGUGCAGUAUCAGUACACAACCACAGUGUACUGGUAGGAUCACACGGCUAUCCCACUAAGUGUAACAUACAUAAGUCAAUACAACAAUAUAAUCACAUGCAUAAAUCGAACAUAUACAAUAUUAACACAUUUACGAACAAUGAACAACUUCACAUUCCUCAAGAUACACAAUUAUAUCAAAUCAUUGGUCCUCUCAUGGAACCCAAACCCAAAUAGUUAGCAUACCGGAAUGUGGUACCCGAUCCAAUGAUUAUGCUAGAACGUGGCAACCGAUCCCAUAAUUAUGCCAGAAUGUGACAACCGAUCCAAGUUAGUUAUGCCGGAACGUGGCAUCCGAUCCAUUCAACACACCACAAUCACAAUCACAAUCACAAGUACAUCCUCAAGAUCAUACAUUUAAGUCAUGAUUUCAUGGCAAUCAUCAUUCAUCUAUCUCAUUAACAACAAGUGUGAUCAAUAAUGCAACAUUCAUAUACAUACAUGUAUCAUAAUGAAGCAAGAACAAACAUACAUCACACAAUCAUAGAAUCACAACCAUCACCUACCUCGAAACAAGCUUGAAACCCUAAGAAACUUGAUCCUUCCCUUUCCGGAUUCGUUCCACUUGUUCUUGGUACUACAAAACAAUCAAUACAAUACGGAAAUCAAUAAACAAUCACUAAUUACCUGAAUUACUAACAAUAUUAUGAAUCGUAGAUCAAACCCAUGAUCCCAAGUAUUCAAAUUAGGGUUGUCUUCACCAUAAAAUCUAUAUCAAAACCUUUCCCCAUCGAUAGUUACCCAUUCUAUUACGUUCUAUGGAUCGAAAAACAGAUUCGGGGAGUGGAAAGCUUACCUUUAGCCUCAAGAAUGGUGGAAAACUGUUAGGAGUCUCCUCGGAUUCGUUCCGUAGCUCUAAAAAUCGAAAAGUGCAAAAUAAGGUCGUUUAAGGGUUUAUUUACGACUUUAAGUCGCGUCAAACCCACCACAACGGCCCUCAUCCCGCUGUAGCGGCCCCGCCAGAGCAGCUUGCAUGAAACAAUGAACUAUUUUAAUAAUUUCAAAAUCCCCAUUUCACAAAACACCUCUAACCCACGAUGCUUAGAAAAUACCCUUCACGCUAAGAUCGAUUCCGGGAGUUCUACUCUCCCGAAUUCAAUUCCGUAAAGUCGUACGGAUUCCUUAACGAGUUAUCUAACUAUUCAUGCAAUCAAUAUCAUAAAUAAUUGACCUGAUUGUUACCAGAUUUUCCUACACCUUAAUGACUCCGAUUUCGUCCAAAUUUGGACUAGGUUGGGAAAUUUCAAGUUACUACGAAAAAGUUUUCCGACCCAAAAUUUUUCCCCGUUGGCUUUUCUAUAACGACGGAACCCGGUCGUUACAGGAAAUAUCAAAAGUUCUUUGGCAUUUUCUUGACCGAAUUAAAGAAGAGAGAGUCUGGCAUUUUUCAUAAGAUGAGGUGGAGGUUGCACGAAAAUGGAUAUGGUGAGCUUUGUCCAUUACUAAAGCUCAAAUGGCGUCUUCUCUGAAAGAUAAGAAGGGAAAGAAUGAAAACCGAAAAUAUAGAUUUAGGAUUGAAAUAGGUUAAGUUUUAGUUCGGGGCUGAAGAUUUAUUUUUAGGAAAAAUUACUUGGAUGGGUGCCUUUUUAAAAAUAAUUACGAAUUUUAGCGAUACUUUUUAUUUAUUACCAUUUUUAGCAAUACAUAACAAUACUAUGUUAAAUCUGCAAUAUGUAUGAAAAGUGAAUUAUGUAUGCAAUAUAUAUGUAUUGUAACUGUUUCUUAAAAUAUAUUAUAUUUUUUUGGUAAGAAUUUGACACAUUGUAUUAUAAGUGUAUUAAAAUGUGUGAUAAAUGUAUUAUCCAUCAAUAAAAUUUGUAUUAUAUGUGAAUAAUAAAUUAUUCUUUGUAAUAUGUAUUAAACAUGUAUUAUAAAUGUAUUAAAAGUGAUCAAGUGAAAAAAAAUGUUAUUACUAUAAAUGGUAAAUAUUUUUUUAUGGAAAAAUUAUCAAACAAGUCACAAUCCUUAACAUAAUUAUUAAAAAUAUCUGUACUUAAAAUAAUUAUUAAAAAUGUCAAUAUUUUAGAAAAUAAAUUGAAUCCUAAUAUAAUUAAUCUUCUUUCCUUUUAUUUCUCAAAUCAUGCCCAUAUUAGACCAUUAUUUAUUCCACUAUCCGAUUAAAAAAAAAAACUCAUUACCCACUUACGCCUCUUUUUAGGUUUUACCCAAAAUCAUUCCUUCUCUCUUUCUUCCCCUUUUCAUCAUUGUUAUCUCCUUUCUUUGUUCAACAAAAUCAACUCUUCGAAUUUUCUAUACUUUGUUUAAGAAAUCUCACAAUUAAUUCAAAAGAUUCUUCACCCAUUGAAAAAGUAAAUUCGUACUAAAAAAGUAUUUUGUGAAGUUUCUUGUGAUUUUGUUUUCAUAUUCACUAAGUAUUUUGUAUUUUGGAUUUUCCGUCUUUUAAGCAAUAUUGUUUGAUUCUUUUGUGAGUUUGUUUUCAUAUUCACCAAGUAUUUUGUGAGAUUUUUCUCUUUUAUCUAUUACAGAUUUUUCAUCUUUUAAGUACUAUUGUUCAUUUUUUUUAUAUUUUUGUUUUCAUAUUUGAUAUUUAGUAGAUUGUGGAAAUUUACACUAGCAUUCAUACAUCAUAUAUUGUUUGAUUUUUUAUACAUGAUAAUUUUGAAAUUUGCUUAUAGGGUUACUUAUGCACAAGUGAAUACGGAUUUUCGAAUUAGGAUUUGGUGAAUGAAAAAUCAGAAAAAAGAAACAUAGCAGACGAAGAAGAAGAAGAAAUAGAGAGUCCGAGAAGAAGGUUGCAAAAAUUGUAUUCAUAUCAGAAUUGUAUUCAUAUUAAUUUUGUUGUCAAUUAUUUUUCUUUUACUUAUCAUUUGUAUUUUUAUUAAAAAUAUUGUAUUUCUUUUUUUAGUUUGUAGUCAUUCCAAGAUAUGUAUUUCUUAAGCAUAGAUGUAUCCUGUUUUGUUUCCAUAGUUAAUUUGUAUUUUUUUAGAAUAUUGUAUUCUUCCUCAACAUAUUGUAUUAUUUUCGCUAGGUAUGCUAUUUUUUUUCGAGAAUCUUGUAUCCCUUUCUUUCAUAGUUAAUUUGUUUUUUUUUUUGAAAUAUUGUAUCCUUCCUCAACGAUUGUAUUAUUUCCACCAUGUAUGCUAUUUUUUUAGAUACUCUUGUAUCCUUUCAUAUAUCAUAUUCAUAUGUAAUGAUUUUAUUAUAUUGGGAUACAAUCAAUAAUAUUUUUGUAAUACAAACAAAUGAAAAAAUAUAUAUUUUGCAAUCAUGUAAUACAAUUUUAGUUUUCAUUAUGAAAGCAAUAUACUAAUUUUAAUUUGGAUGGUAAAGUGAGCACAUAAAAUGUAAAAGUUAUUGGUAUAAAAUUAUGAAGUAAACAUAAUUAAAAUUUUCUCUUUUCUGUUAUUAAAUAAUUAUAUUCUUUUAAAUCAAACAAAUAAAAAUACAUAAAUCAGAUACAUAACAAACUAAAAUAUUGACAUUUUAAAUAAAUAUUGAAAGUGUGGCUAAGGAGUCCUAUUAAAUGUCAAAAUAUUGACAUUUUGAAAAUUUUGCCUUUUUUUAUUAUAGUAUAUUUAUGUAAGUUUUAUGGUCCCCUUUGGUGGGAUUUAGGCUGAUCAAAUGUAUUUUUGGGCUGUACUUAUUUGGUCUUUUCCUUAAAAAAAUAUAUAUUUUGGGCUUCUAACUUAAUAACUAAUACUAUAUAUAUUAUAAAUUAAAGCAUGUGUAGUAACAUACAAUGAAAAGAAGAAAGAGAGAGAAAGAGAGAUGCACAAAGUGGUAGUGGUAGUAGCUUUUCUCUAUUAUUGAAUGUUUUUCUUUCACUUACUCUUUCCUUAUUUUUUCUUGAGAAAAGACAUAAAGACACCAUCAAAGUUGUUCCGUAUUUGCAUAAAGACACCUUAACUUUCAAAGUGUCCUAUCACUCCACUAAGACAUAAAGACACCAUCAAAGUUGUUCCGUAUUUGCAUAAAGACACCUUAACUUUCAAAGUGUCCUAUCACCCCACAGAACUAUGGGUCAUUUUGACCCAUUCCCUCGUCUGGGUUGUUACCACGCACAUGAGGCGCGUCAUGCAGUGUUUUCACUGCCAUGGACCAGUUUAAAAGUGCCACGUGUCAUUUUCUUUCUUUAUUAUUAAUUAUUUAAUUAAUUUAUGUCAUCUUCCCCAAAUUUAAACCCAAAAUAGCCGUUGGUAGCCCUAAUUUUUCGAUUUCAUGGUUUUUUCCAUAGCAAGAUCAACGUUGGUGCUCUCUGUUUGACGACUUCAUCAUCUUCCCCAAGAAAAUAAGAUAUUACUGUUGGGUAAGAUCUAAGAUCUGUUUCUGGGGCUUUGAAAAAAUGUGCAGAAACUUCUGGAUCAAUGAGAAUGUGAUGUCUUGUCACAAAUUCAGAGUAAACACACUCCCAAGCUUUGGAUACUCCUGUCUAAGCAUCACAACUGGCCCUUUAAGAAAACAAAUCAACCCACCAACAAUAGGCCAUGCCUUAAUCACUGGAGGCAAACACUUCUUAGAUCUGGGCAUAAUUAGUGCAGAUAUGAGCUUUGCUACCAAAAGGGUUGCAACUAAAAGCAACCCCACAUUCAAAAUCUUGUUCUCACCUAACUCCAUAACUGAAUAAAAAAUCCUGAAUGAAGAAAAAUUAAUGGAAAUUUCCUUUUCAGGAGAGAAUGACGAUAGUCAUAGUGGAGGUGCAGGCCAAACAGAGAAGAAAAGGAAAGGAGAAGAUGACUUUUCUUCAAAGAAUAGGGUCGGAUCGGGUUGAAUCCUAUCAUAAGGAGUGAGUAACACGCGCGACUACAUAGAUGAGGGAAUGGGUCAAAAUGACCCAUAGUUCUGUGGGGUGAUAGGACACUUUGAAAGUUAAGGUGACUUUAUGCAAAUACGGGACAACUUUGAUGGUGUCUUUAUGUCUUUUCUCCUUUUUCUUUUCUUUUGUUACAAGAAGAGGGGUAUAUAUAGUUGUAUAUACUUGGGCACCAAGUGUGAUACAUGGAUAUCUUCUUGCCAUGUAUACACUUAGGGCACCAAGUAGUGGCGGAGGCAGGAAUUUUAUCAAGGGGGUUCAAAAAAAAAAUUAAACACGCUAAUAUUAUCCAUAAAUAAGUGGGUCGGGUCAUAUAUGAACGGAUUGAUUAACAAACGGGUUGACAAAAAAAAAAUCCUUAGUUCAAAUAAUUUCUUACAAUUACAACUUAUCUUAAGAAACAAAUUUAAAGUACAUAUCUAUAAAAUGAUAAUAAAGUAGCACAACUCAUUCAAAAAGUUCUAUAAGUUCUUCAAAUCCUUUAGAAUUCUCUUCGGCUCCUGAAAAUGCAAAUGGAGAGCAAGCACAAAUUUAACAUUAGAAAGACUAACAAAGAACACAAAUCAAAGUGAAAAUACUAUUUCUUCACAAAAAUUCUUUUUGGCAUAAAAUGAUUUCAUUACAUUACAAAACUACACAACCUUGAAGGGAGGUUAAGAAACCAAACAUGCGGAUAAACCUAUCAAAACAUAGUUUUACAUUUGAAAAUACAACUACAUACAUUUUUACAAUUGUAUUCUAUGAGGUUUCAAACCUUGAAAUGUCUUAAUAAUAACAUCAUUAGAAAUCUUAUCAAAUACAUCUUUUUAUAAAUAAGGCACCAAACAACCACUGAAAAAAUCAUCACUCAUUUGACUCCGCAAGUCAUUCUUGAUAAACUUCAUUGCCGAAAAAGCUCUUUCAACGGAGGCAGUGGCAACUGGUAAAAGUAGAGCAAGUUUCACUAAGCGAAAUACAAGAGGAUAAUUUGAAUGUUUCUUUGUCUGAACUAAUCUUUUGGAAAGAUCACAAAGCCCAUUUAGAUCGGAGAACCUUUCAUCAACAAUGUAACUUGCAAGUUGAUUCUCAAGAAUACUCAUAUUGGAUUCAUCAAAGUCAUCUGGAUAUAAUUCAACCAUUCUCAUUACUUUUCUUAUGUCAAAACUUGAAAAUGAGUUAAUUGGAUUCAAGCAAGCAAUUCCAUGGAGCAAAUCGAUAGUGACCUCAUCAAACUGAUCAUUAAGUUCUUGAAGUUGCCAAUCAAUGAUAUUGCAAAACACUUCAACACGAUAAUGAUGUAAGAUUGUAUAGUUAGAAAGUUUCCGCCUUGAUCUUAAAGAGCUAACAUAUGGCUCCUCAAAGUGAGGUCUCAAAACAUCAUGUUUGAUACAAAAUGUAGAUACCUUGGCAAUAAGAGAAUCUCAUUCAUCAUCUCUUAAGACUUGCAACCUUCUCUUUGCUACUUCAACAAGUAGCAUGACAUUUGCAAUAUCUUGCUCUUUUUUUUGUAAGAAUUUAUUAAGCUCAUUUGUGAUUGCUAAGACAUCUCUCAUCAAAUGCAACAUAAACGCAAUCUCAAAUGUUUGACAAGCUUCAAGAUGUACCAUUGCCUUGGCUAUUUCAUCCAUACUCCUUGCAUCAAGAGCAAGUGAUUCAAGAACCUCAAAAAUAAAGCCAAAUAUAACAAUAAAAUUGUUAAAGGAUUUAUAAUGAGAUCCCCAACGAGUAUCACAAGUUCUUAAAAGACCAAGUUGUUGAUUCAAGCCCCUACCGGUUGUAAGUUCACCCAUAUCUAAUGCCACUUGAAUUGUUCAUUUUUGAGAAUCUCGUAAAUUAUCCAUACGCUUAAAAGAAGAUCCCAAUACAUUAAAAAUAUUUGAGAUCAAUACUACAAGUUUUCCCACUUCAACACACUUUUUAGAGACCCCAACAAGAGUUAGUUGAAGUUGAUGAGCAAAUCAAUGGAUUGAAUGAGCUGAUUUACUUUCUUGUCUAAUCAACAUUUUAAGGCCAUUGAUCUCACCUUGCAUAUUACUUGCCCCAUCGUAACAUUGUCCACGCACACUUGAUGGACUCAAAGAAUGUUGAGCAAGUAAAUUAAAAAUUGCCCCCUUUAAAGAUGAAGCACUAGUAUCUUCAACAUGAACAAUGUCAAUAAGUUGCUCCAUUACAAAUUCUAUUCUAUCAAUAUAUUGAAAUACGAUAGACAUUUUCUCCUUGCGUGACACAUCAAAGGAUUCAUCAACUAGUAAAGCAAAGUAGUCACCAUUUAAUUCCUCAAGAAUAGCUUUAACGGUCUCUAUCUUACAUGCACUCACAAUAUCUUUUUGAAUCAUUGGAGAAGUCAUUUGAUUAUUUAAAAGAGCAUGUUUCAAAACAUAAUCACAAAUUUUAUCACAUUUUUUUGCAUACCAUGAGAUAAUUUCGAGAAAGUUACCCCUACUAAGUGAUGAUUUAGAUUCAUCAUGACCUCGAAGUGCAAAUCCCUGACUUAUGAGAAGUCUUACUACAUCAACCAAUGCACUUAAGCGCAUAUAAUAUCCAUGCUUGAGUUGAUUAGAUUGCCUCUCAAAUGCAAAUUGAAUAGACCGCCGUUGUCGUAGUAAAUCUUGACAUUUCUUUUUUGACUGAUUAUGUAUGCUAUUUGGUAGACCAAUACGUUUGUCAAGACCACUCUUUUUGUUCCAACUCUUAAAUCCUAUAGUUGAAAAUGUCUCCCCUCCUCCUUGAUUAGUGUUAUGAUCUUUAAAAAGAUAGCAAUACAAACUUAAAGAUAGCAAUACAAACAAUAGACUACAUCUUUACUAACACUACAUUCCAACCAAUCAUGAUAUAUAUCAUCAAACCAUUCAUGAUUAAAAUGAUGCAUUGAUCCAGAAAUAUCUGUUUGAGGAAACUCUUGCACUGCCAAACGAGGUUGACAAGGACCAUUCAAAAGGUAUGCUCUUCUAAUAACAUCACGGUGGUUUGGAUGAUAGUUCAAUAUUGAUGUUCUUUCACCAGGAUCAAACUUUAAAGAACUCUAAUCAAAUUCUUGAGAAGAAUCUAAUGACACUUUUGAAUGAUUAGUAUUUUCUUUUUGAUUAGAUUGACUAUGACUUUGAGAGGCUAAAGUUGAUUUCGGUACUUGUGUAAAAUACUUCUUCACUGAAUAUUGAGACUGAAUCGUAAAAUAAAAAUUUAGUCAGAACUUACAAAAAUUAAAUAUGCAAUAAGGACCAAAACAAAAUUAUAGACAAUGAACAAAAGUUUGACUGUCAUAAAUAAAAGUUAAUAUCCACUGAACAAAUGUUGAAUGUCCAGAAUAAACAUAUAAAAAUCAACAAAUAAGCCCAAACAAAUAAAAUUAUAACUUUCAUAAUCAGUGAAUAGAAUUGAAAUUUUCAUAUGAAGAAUAAAAAAUUGUUAAGAGAAGUGAAUAUCCAAGUUCAAUCAGCUAAAUAAAAUAGCACAUCAACAAAUACCAGAAUCAAAGCAUAGAUUUCUGAAAAUAAAAAUAAAAAUAAAAAACAAAAAAGAAAUCUUACAGAGGUUUUCAUCACAAAUGGGGCCUGAAGGAGAGAAUGAAAUUAAUCCACGGAGGACCACCACUCUUCCACCAGCGACAGUAAGCAGCAGCAGCAUCAGGCGGCAGCAACGUCAGGACUGCAGCAGCGGCUAGCGAGCAGCAACAAAACAUGAAGUUGAACGAGAAAGACUAGGAAAAAUAUAAUAUUGCAAUCCCUAGAAAAGAGGGAUAUUUUUAGUUGUUGACUUUUCAAUUAGAGAUUUAAAAUAUAAUUUUUUUAAUUAGUUAUGACUUUAAAAACGGGGUCGUUUGGUCUAUCUAUGUUUAAUAAAAAAACACUUAAAACUGAAGCCUGAAGCCUGAAGCCUGCAAAAUCGCUAAAAAUUACAAAAAAAAAAUAUUGUUGCCUGGAAUAGAUAUUGCGACCCAAAGCUCACUUAAGCAAAAUCUUGAACCCCAUCAACCGUUGGGCUACUCCUUUGAUAUAUAUUCAGGUGGUUUAAUUUUAAAUAUAUACACGUACAUAAAAAAAUUGAUCUUAUAUAUAUAGUGUAAUUUUUUUACCGAGGGUGUUCAAAUGAACCCCCUGGAAACACUGUACAUCUUCCCCUGGCAUCAAGUAUAUCAUAUGGAUGGUUAGGUUACAACACUUUGUUUGUUGUGUGUAUAUUCAUCUUACAUAUAGUGUAUAGUGUGUACAUAUAUGUUACCACAAAAUAUAUAUAUGUGGACAUCCAUUUUACAACACUCCCCCUUGGAUGUCCAUGUCUUAAUAGAUAGUAUGCCUUGUUAAAACCUUACCAAGAAAAACUCAGUGGAAAAAAUCUUAGUGAAGGUAAACGAGUACACAUAUCUUAUAAUACACAUUAAGAGCUGCCUCAUUAAAAACCUUACCAGGAAAAUCCAAUGGGAGAAAACCUUGGUUAAGAAAAAAACAGUGCAACAUGUAUUAUACUCCCCCUGAUUAAGACAUCACUUAACAAUUCAGAGAUGACACAUUUCAAUCUUAUAUAUCGACUUCUCAAAGGUUGAAGUUGAUAAGAAUAUGAGUGUUGAACAUCUGCUACAUCCUUUUUUGAAGGUCAUGAAUAAAAAGAAGAACUUUGAUGAAAUAUAUUUUGCUCAGUCUUCUUUGAUGUAUCCUCCUCUUAGUUGAGCACACGAGGCAUUGUCUUCAUAUAAUGUUGUUGGAAUAUCUCUUUUCGAAGGAAGAUCACAUAUUCUCUAGGUAUGUUUAUUGAUCUCAACCAAAUAUAUUUUUGACAAUCACUCAAUUCGUGAUCUUGUCGACGUAGACAAAUUGUUCGUUCGAUUUGUUAGCAGCAACAAUCAAGCACUGACAAACACUUUCAGUAAAAUUGACUGUCUUGUGGAAUAAUUUGAAAUGACAGUAUUUCCAAAUGAAAAUAUAUAACUUUCAUGAGUUCAAACUUCAUAAUUUCCUGCAAUUUUAUUGAUCAAUAAAAUCUUGACACAAUUGAUCAGAAUAAAUAAUUUAUAUCGAUAUUUGAUUCACUCAAAUAUCUCCACCGAUAAGAGUGAUGUUAUUUACUGGGGUACUAUUUUAAUAAGAUCAAAAUCGAUCUUUAUGUUAUGCGAUCUUACAACCAUUGGGGUACUAUUCAAUGGAAUCACCUUAUAACCUUUUAAAUCCUUCAAGGAUUUUUAGAUAAUAUUUACUGUCUAGCUAGACAUGAUAAUCACUCAUCAUGCGUAUUUAAGUUUUUCAUAUAUUGUCAGACUGAUAGAAACCUCGUUGCAUCCACCUUAGGAGUAUACAUCUCUAUACAAUAAUGUCAGAACUUUUGCGAAAAAUCUUUAUUUUUCAAUGCACAAUCCGUACUUUAUAUUUUACAAUUUUACUUAUCGCACAAUAAUUCAUUUGUACCCCACUGACAUUAUAUAUUGGUACAUGGACAAGAUAAGUCCAGAACAUCAAUUUACAAGUGAAAUAAAAUAUACUUGAAUUGUAUUUUUUUUUGCCAAUCAUUUAUCUAUCAAUUCUUGACAGAUUUAACAUCAAGAUCCUCAUCACCCAUUUAUAAUUUUUGAGCACUACAUUAUAUUCAAGAUAUCGUCGAUGAUUAUUUGAUAUCGAUUCUAAUGUGACAUAACUUAUCAAGCUCACUUUAUUUUUCAUCAUUUCCAGGUACCUGAACCGUUGCCAAGGUUUUAUAUAGUGUUAUGUCAUGGUGCUCUUUCUAAAGCACUUGCCUCAUUAUUAUGACCAUCUUGAUCAUUUGCUUCUUUUCUUCUUUAAGAAGAUUUAUCUUUCGAAUCGAUUAAUUUAUUACGCUUCUGGCGUGCCAUAAAUUAUGUCCUUCAUGGACUUUUCAUUGGAGCAUUUAUAACUGGAUUAUAACAUAGGGUCAGCGAAUGCGUCUGAUAAUUGACUUAAAUUAUAUCUUCAACGAGGAUCAUAUAAUUCAUUAUGUAUAACUUAUUUUCCAGUUGCUUAUCUCCCCCUAAUGUUAGAGAAUCUAACAUUCACCCAACCUUAUUUGGGGACUCAUCUUUGUGCAUUGCGUAACGGUGGAGCAAUGGAAUAAUAUACCGCACAUUUAAAUUUCUAGAUGAGAAUUAUUUGGUUCCUGGCCCUGAACCAAUUGUGAUAGGGGAACCUUGUUGGCUUGAUACGUACAAGUGUUUCUACACUUUAAAUAAAAUAUCUCAUACCAAAUUUCUUUUGGGAUUUUGUUCUCAUAACCAAUGGUUUAGCUAUAAUUGGAGGCAUAUAAUUUCUGCUUAAACCACUUGGAUAUAUACCAUCAUUAUCAAUAUAGUUUUAUAAUUUGAAAUGUGCUCUUGAUUUAUCAAUUCGAGCAAACAACCUUUGCAAAAAUCAAAUUGCAAGUUUAUAAUGAAGCACAUGUGACCAUACAUAGAUGCAUUUAUAUAAUAGUAAAUGGUCCACAUGGCGGGUGAACGGGCCCAUAUUCACCUUUUAAUACAUCUCAAAAUUUCGGGAAGUACAAUCUCAACCUUAGCUGGUACAAUGAUAAUUUUAUCAUGAGAACAAACAACACAAGAGAAUUCUUGAAGAAUUUAUUAUUUCUUCAAUAUAUAUAACCACAUGAAAUCUCAUUUAUUUUCGUAUCAUAUUUGAACUGGAAUGGUCAUCAACCGGUCAUGCCAAUUGAUAUUUAUUUCAAGAGAAAAGACAUAAAGUGACAUCUGAAGUUGUCCCGAAUUUUUAAAAAGACACCUUAACUAUGUGGGCGUCCUAUUACCCCCCUAAACAAUUCCGAACAUAUAUUAUUACAUCAUUUUUCGAUCAAUUCCAGAUUUUAAAUGGCAAGUGUUAUCACACACCAAUCAUUAUGUGACACCUGUUAAUUUAAUUUGAAAUAUAGUUUUUUUUUUCAUUUUAAGUUUUUCUUUAUUUCUCUCUCUUAUUUUUUGACUUAUUUUAAUUUUAUUACUUUAAUUUUAAUUCCAUUUUAAAUUCUACUUCAUCUUCCACCCCUACUUUCAAGCUACCCCUCCCUCUAUUUUCUUUCUUUCUUUCUUUCUUCUUUACCUCUCACCCUCACCUCACCCCACCCCCACGUCAAGUUGAGCCCCUCCAUUUUCUUUCUUUUUUCUUCUUCUUCUUAUUUUGUCAAAUUCCUUUCUUUCCAAAAUUAUGCUAUUUUCUAGACUUUUUGAGUUAUUGAUAACAAAACUAAUUGUUUUUCUAAGAAAAAUCAAAAUUUUGAAGGUAUCAUCAAUUAAUUUAUCUCAUUUUCAUAUAACUUCAAAACUAGAAAUAAUAAUUUUGAAAGAAUCAGAAUUCUCCGAAAUUGAAAAAGUUUAAUUGAAAAUUGGAUAAAAAAAACUAAAUAAUACCUACUAAUCAUCUUGAAAUCUAAUGGGUUUUUCAAAUUGUUCGAAAUGUAAUAAAAUAUUGAGAUAUAAUUUUAAAAUUGAAGAGAGUUAAACUAAUAGUAGUAGAAAAGGGAGGUGGAGUUGUGGUAAAAAGUGACAUUGGAAGUGAGAAGCUACAAUGAAGACGGCAAUAAAUUUUUGAAGAAGAAGGAAGAAAGAAAAAGAAAAAAAAAUAAGGAGAAAAAGUUAAAAUAAUAAGAAAAACAAGAAAAUAUAUUUUAUUGCAAAAUACUUGUAAAAAUAAGAUUAUAUUCGUUUUUUGGUUUGUUCACGCUUUUUAAGAGAGUGCAUACACUCUCCAUGUCAGGUGGACAAAAAAUGAUGAAAUAAUAUCUGUUUAGGAUUGUUUAGGGGGGUAAUAGGACGCUUGCAUAGUUUAUGUGUCUUUUAAAAAUUCGGAACAACUUCAGGAGUCACUUUAUGUCUUUUCUCUUAUUUCAAUAAACUUGUAGUUUAUUUUGCAUGUGAUUCCAUCAUCAUGCCCAUAUUUAGUUACCACAAACAGGAUGCAAAUAUGGGUAAUCUUUCACGUAAAUAUUUAUAACCCACUUUGAUUGUAUUAAUAUGAAGAUCUUAAAUCUUUCCAUAUUUUGUAGUCUCAAUAUUUAUUUCUUUGACUAUUUCUUUGAAACAUAAAAAGUUUCUUUCGAGACUUACUACAAUUCCAAUAUCAUGAGCAAUUUUAUAUCUUUGGGUAGUAGCACAUUAGCUCACCAAAUCUCACAUUUAAUAAUGGAUACUACCACAUAUUUCAUAACACUGUUUGUGUGCUGACAUCUCUUUCAAAGAGAAAUUUAUAUCAUUAUUGUCAUGGUCAAAAUCAUUACACGCAAAACUUGUUUCUUGAAUUGCUUUUCUCAUUAGUAUCUCCUCCCUUUUAUUUAAUAUCUGGAAUUUUUUUUUGAUGAACAAAGAUACAUAACCAAUGACAAUUUUAUGGCAAGAAAUUAUUUCAUUCUUUUGUGCCCUUUCGAUAGUUCAUACUAAAACAUACCAUAAUAGUUGUGAUGUACUAAAAGUACUUAAGCAAUGAUCAUUUAUACCAAAAUAAUUUUUUUUAUUUCUCUCUAACCCCCCAUAGGGGUGAGUUGUGGUAUUUAUUAAAUCAUACACGAGUAUGUCAUUUAUAAUUUUCAUUAUCUCUUGACACAUUCAUUUUCAAGAAUGACCCACUUUUCAUGAUACUUACCACAAGUCACAUUCUCUUCAAGGAAUUGACCAUAAACAUAUAUACGUGCUUCAUAAUUAUUCCUUUCAUUAGAAGUUCAUUGUCAUGCUUUGAAAUUUAUCAUAUUCAAAUGACUUACCUCGACAUCACUUUUGAAAGUCAAGUGUUGUCACGACCCGAGCCUACACCCUGGAUGUGGCCGGCACUCAAGAACCAUUGCUGGCCCCCAAGCGAACCCUCAUCCUGGCUGACUACAAGCCGAAUACUAACUCAAGCAUACAAAGCUUAAAAACUGAAUAAAAUUCAUGAAACUGAAAUACAAAUCUUUAACUCGAAUUAAAACUCUGAAUAAAAUAAUAUAUUCAACUCACCGUAAAAUAGACAACUUAAGUCUUUAAAACAUUUAACAAAAUAUAUGAUAUAGACUUCUCAAACUCUACUAUCUAUCUAUGAAGCCUCUAAAUAACAAAGAUGGAAGUCGGGACAAAACCCACGACAUCCUAACAACUGAUAUAACUGAAAGGUAAAAGAAAUCCUCCGGAAGCAAGUAGGCUCACUAUAGCUAACUCGAACUCCAUGUGGUAUCAACAAAGCUCCUGUUGAUGACCCUGAAUACUUGUAUCUGCAUCAUGAAAGGAUCCAGGACAAAUGGCUCAAUAUGUGGAAUGUACGAGCAUGUAAGGGGAAUUCUAAGGAUAACAUAACCUUGAACUUGAUAAAUACAACACAUACUUACCUCUUCUCAACUCACUCAACUCAACUCAACUCAAGAAAAUAAGAUAACUCAACUCAAAGAUUAGAUACUCGACUCUGGGUACUCAACUAUGGAUACUCAACUAUUGAUACUCAACUCAAUAAAAAGCAACAAUACAGAUGCAAUAUAAUGAAAGAUUUUAAAACAGUGGAAAACAACUUAGUUCAUUAAAGAAAAUGCAAUAACAAACUCAACUUUACUCAUAUAAUAAAGCAAUAUAAUUUCUAUGGGAGUUUCUCUAACUGACAACCACCAGUAUGAGCCUAAGUGAUGAUAUAAUGUCUUACCUACGCUGCCAGAACUGUCGUAUACUUUGCCGUCAUAUAGAACGCCUUAACUAAGUGGAUCCACUAGUCUAUGCUAAAAAGCACUUAGGAAUCAUCUAAAAAGUAUGAUCCUUUCUACCCAUGAUGGCUACAUGGUUUAUGGAGACGUGAGUUAUCUGAACUCAAACUCGUCCCCAUAUCGAUGCUCAAUACUACUCCCAAAAUACUCAUCUCAUAUGUUUAAAAACAUAACUUUUUCUUUGAUUUGAGAUAAUUACUCAAAAAUCUUUAAUUAAAAGAGAUGGUACUCAAACUGCUCAAAAGUCUUUUGGAAAUCUCAGUUUCCUCUUAUCUUAAAUGUGAAAACAUUUACUCUUGGGAAUAUUUAGUUCCCAUAUAUCAUUUUAAGGAAAAUGAAAUUUACUCUUAGUCAACUCAGAGGGUUCAUGCGGAAUGAUGAGCAUGAACUACUCAACUCAAGGACUCGAAGAUACUUCUCAUCUCAAGAAUGUUCGACUUAUAGGGUUCAUGCAGAAUUAUGGGCCUGAACUAGUCAACUCAAGGACUUCAUGGGUAACAUGUAAUAGUCCCAUGAUUAGGAAUAUAAUCUCGAAAAGGUUAGGAACUCGAUACUCAAGACUUAGAACUUGAAGAUACUACUCCUCUCAAAGUUACUCGACUGAUGGAGUUCAUGCGGAAUUUAUAUACAUGGACGACUCAACUCGAGGGUCUAAAGAACAUUAUAGAGAUCACGUAUACGACUCUUCUCAUUCUCUUACUUACUUACUCAAAACUUAAUUCAAAUCGAUUAUGAAUCUUAAAGAAUUCACAAUUGAACUCAAAGGCUUCCUUGAACUCUACUCUUAACUCUCUCUUGAAUGUGAUAUAUGAAUUCAAGAGUAACGGUUCAUGUUAUGAAGGAUCUCAUGAUGACAAAGUAGACUCGUGAAUACAUUCUCAUCAUUCUCAUACUCACUUGCUCGAGUCUUGAAUAAGUGAUUAGAAGUUGUACAAGACUCCACAAAAGGACUCAAGGGACUUUCUUAGAAUGUUCGAAAGAAUUCUGAAAACCUAACUCUUAACUCUACCUUGAAUUUGAAUUAUGAAUUCAAGGUUAUGAUUCAUGUUAUGAAUGAUUUUUAGGUGUUUAGAAGUAGUUUAGAGUGUUUAGAAUGAAAGGGGAGUAAAGGUACCCUUUGAAAGAACUCAAACAGAAGAAACGAUGAAGAACGGGUAGGGGAAGGCGACCUUGGCUCUCUGAGUGGCGCGGGGAGCCAGCCCCUAAACUUUAUAGAAUUUGUUGGGGCGCUCUGGCUGGCGUAUGCCAGGCCCCAACCCAGAAAACUUCGACGAUUUUCUUUGUUCGUUUUCUCACCGUAACUCGCCUAAAAUAGAAUGGUUUCUUCCCCAAUCACUUGGAUUCAAUUAGUUAACAUAAUUACACUCUAAUCUACUCAAAAUAACACUCAAAUCACUAAAUUUCAUCUCAAUAAAUCAUCAAAAUCCCAAAUCAAUAAGAUUUAGAAUGAACUUCAAGAACACCUAUCAAGAACUCAUCAAGAACUAUAAUCUUUCUACUUCAAGAACGAUAUUUCAUUGAAAAUAACAUGAUUGGCAUGUGGGUGAAUUAACCCAACACUAUGGAAGCUUACAUACCUCUUAGGUAUUAAACCCAUGGCGAAAAUCCGCAACAAAACGCAAGAAUCUCGACGAACGCUUUGAUCCUCUCCUCUUUUCUCCUCUUUUCUCUUCGUUUCUCUUCUUGAACUCUCAACUAAAACCCUAGGCAUAUAUUAGGAUUAUAAAACUGAACCUAAUAGGAUUAGAUCCUUAAAACCUUACUAAAAAUGAAUUAAAUCUGAUUUGGUAAGGAAAAUACCAAAAUACCCCUUACUAAUUUCGGGUAACUUUCCUUAACUGGACAACUCAACUUCAAAAGGGCAUAUCUCACUCAUCCGAACUCGAAAUUUAGAAAACUCGACGGCGUUUGAAAGAUAAUUCAAAGACCUUUCAUUAUAUUUUGUAGACCAUCUAAAUCAUCCUGUGUUAAAAGUUAUGGUCUUUUGAAGUUGAUCCAAAACUCAUAACUUAAGCAAAACUUGCAAAAUUUCAGAUUUUGCUAUUUCCAAUUUAGUUCUUUUUUGGAACUCAAGGGGUUACAUAUAGUGACCUCAACACUUAAGAAAUUUUAAUUGCUUGGUAAAAUCUCACUCACUACGAAGAACGGUUCGAGUCUGAGUUCAAAAAUUUUCUGGGGUGUUACAAUAUCUCCCCCUUGGGAUCAUUCGUCCUCGAAUGACGACUGGAAUGGGUAUGGAACGGGUUACUCUUACUAGGGUCUGAGUCUAAUGGUCUGCUCUUACUAUAUUCAAGAUUAACCCAAAUCCUUAGGUUUGGGUUCUAUAACUCUCUAUAAGGAAUCUCAUCCCAAAACUAUUUCUCUUUACCACCACAUUGGGCUUAUAUCAAGAACCACCUAAUGUUUAACAACACCACAUUCAAGCUUAGUACUCUAACAACUCCAUGGACUCCUAAUAACCAACUCCUUAAGAAAUUCUCAACACUUAACUUGAUUUCUCAUCUUAUCAACUUCCCCUUAGGUUUAAAGCUAGCACUUGAAAGCUAUGGACCUAUUCCACAUUGACAACUCAAUUAUGCUAUCCAGGCACACAUGGAAAAUUAUAACUUAAUUGGAACCUCAUCUGGUAACAUACAUCUCAGCACACCUCUUAAUGCUGUUGUUACUCUUGUGAGUUAGCCACACUUCACUGCCCUUAUCUAAACGUUAGGGUCUUUCACUUGUACCACUCAUAUUUAUUACAACUUAUCACCUCAAUUCCUCACCUACUCUAUGUCAAGUCUUCUAGAUCAAAUAUCUAGACUAGCAGCGUCACCCUCAUGUUUCCAUUCUUUUGAUCAUGACACUCAUCUCAAAUUCAAGCUUAAUAUUUAUUACUAAACCCAAAUAUCAAUAUGAUUGCUCGUCUACUAUACAAACUCACCACUACUAUGUGCAAAUUUUAGAUACACUCGUCUACUAGGACCUUAUGACAAGUAGUUAAUCCUCACCUCUUAGUAUUCAUACUUACAAUUUACUAUCACAUUUCCCUUCACAACUUGAGUACUAUUCACUCAUUUACUAUUCAUCAAUGCCUAAUUAGUUCUAUAACACUUUGAAUAUUAUGGGCUCUCCCUCAAAAUCAUAAGACUAGCUUAGAUCUAUCACCUCAUGAAUACGCAUGCUCUUCUAUUCAACACUUACACUUGGUCAUUUCCUACACAAUCACACUUCAUCACUAACUUCUUUCUAGCUACAACACACUCAACCUCCUAUGAUGUAAUCUUCACUGCUCAUCACUUCUUAGUCUACCCAUAAGGGAAAACUCUUCAUUAGUAACUUACUAGGUGCAUGACUAUAAUAACAUAGCUUGCCAAAACACCAUCUCCCUUACUUAGAUAACUAAACCUCUACAUACUUUCCUCUAACUCUGGGCACUUUCACUACUACUGCUCAUGAUCUUGUAACUCAUUCUACCUUUUCAGGUGAAAAUCUUACCCAACCUCUAAACAUACAUCCUCAUAAGGAUCUCAGGUGAAACAAGGCUUAAGGAAAAGAUUACAACUCACUUUUUAGCUCAAAGACAUGAUUCAUAUAAUUAUGGGUGCAUUCCUCUGAAACUGAACACUGAACACUGAACUUACUCUUGGGCUUCUCUCAAGCCCUUCUGGAGUCUCAUGACUUCCUCAAGAUUCUAUUCAACCACCUCUAGUAUGAUGGGUAGUCGAAUGAUGAAUCUGAGAAACGCACGAGUUAGAAAAAAUCUCUAUGGCAUAGCUUUAUUGCACGAUUAAGAGUAUGAAAGAAGGGACACUUUUCUUAAAUGUCUGUAGUCCCUCAAUUAUAGAAGUGGGCCCCUCACAACCAUAAAUAAGAUCCUACUGACACGGCUUCAUAGACACACUAGGACACUUGAACUCUAGGCUCUGAUACCAAGUUUGUCACGACUCGAGCCUACACCCUAGACGUGGCCGGCACUCAAGAACCAUUGCUAGUCCCCAAGCAAACCCUCAUCCUGGCUGACUACAAGCGGAAGACUAACUCAAGCAUACAAAGCUUAAAAAUUUAAUAAAAUUCAUGAAACUAAAAUACAAAGCUUUAACUCAAAUGAAAAAACUCUGAAUAAAAUAAUAUAUUCAACUCACCAUAAAAUAGGCAACUUAAGUCUUUAAAACAUUAAACAAAAUAAAUGAUACAGACUUCUCAAACUCUACUGUCUAUCUAUGAAGCCUCUAAAUGACAAAGAUGGAAGUCGGGACAAGACCCACGACAUUCUAACAACUGAUAUAACUUAAAGGUAAAUGAAAUCCCCCGGAAGCAAGAAGGCUCACCAUAGCUAACUCGAACUCCAUGUGGUAUCAACAAAGCUCCUGUUGAUGACCUUGAAUACCUGUAUCUGCAUCAUUAAAGGAUGCAGGCCAAAUGGCUCAGUACGUGAAAUGUACAAGCAUGUAAGGGAAAUUCUCAAGCAUAACAUAAGCUUGAACUUGAUAAAAAGAAACAUACUUACUGAUUUUAGGCAUAUUUAUAUGCCUAAGUUGUCAAUAUUUGCCCAUGAGUCGAUUAGAUUAAAGGAUUAUCUCUAGUCAUUAGCUUAAUUUUUGGUGUAACUUGAGAUGAUUGUGUACUUACACACAUAAUUAGUUGUUUUAGGAAUUCUCAAGGGAAUUGGAGUCAACUUGAAGAAAAGAGAAGUAAAAGAGCAUGAAAAGCGGCUAAGGAUGAAGGCCCCAGGGCCAGGCGCACUGCUAGGCGCGUGGCGCCAAGGGCCAAAAUUCAAAGAGGCCUCUCAGGAGUUCUGAGAGGCGCGACACACCAAGGCCCAAAAUUCAGAGGCCUUUCUCAGGCGCUCUGAGAGGUGAGGCGCGCCAGGGUGUAAAAUUCAGAGGCGAGUUCUGGGUGCGAUGAUAGGCGCGAUACGCUAGUGGGAUCCCGACUUUUCCAGCUUAACAUUGUUAAAAAAAGAUUUCUAGUUGAAGUAGAUUUUGUCUCCAAUUUUCCUAAACUUAUAAAUAGACCCCUUGGGUUCUAUUAUAGGUGUUGGACUUUUAUUUUGUGUGCAAGAGCAAGUAUCUACAUUUGUAAUAGGUUUUGAUCUUCUAACUCUUCUAUUUUUCGGAAAUCUUCUGAACAAUUGUAUUUUGUGGUUUUCAAAUAGCAUGAGUGGCUAAACGCCAUAGUUCUGGGGCUGUAGCUACGAAUAGAUUGUUGAUUAUUAAAGGCUUUAUGAAUUAAUUCUUGGUUGUCAUUAUAAGUUACUUCUAUAUUCUUGUUUUAGUAUUUCUUGACUGACCAUCUAGAGAUAAAUCUAUUGUUUAACCUUAAAAUCGGGAGAGGAGAGUUUAGAUAGACCAGAGUUUAUAGAAAGCUUGAUCGACCCGUUAAGUCGAGGUGAUUUGUGUUCAGGAGUGACGCUCGGAGGAACAACUCGCUUGGUUACGAAAUAGGAUGAAAUAUAAAUGCUCGCCAAUUAGUCUAUUUAUCCCCGCUCAACGAUGUAGUUAGGUAGCUAAUUGGGGUAGGCGAUGAGAGGUGUAUAGCCCGACUCAUAUAAUUAACCCUAUAAACCAGUAACUUGACAACUGAAAUUAGUUCUAUGCCAAUAAUAUGAUACAUGAUAUUCAGGAUAUGCUGCAGCCCUGGAAUUGCUUUUAACUUGCUUGAAACAUUAUAUCAAAGUCGUUCACAAUUAGUUAUUUUCAAUUAGUGCAUAACUAUUAGUAGAUAAACAAUAAAUCAUCAACUCUUGAAAAGAUUACUUUUUACUUUUAGUUGUAGAAUUAAGUGAAUAUAAAUUGAUCAUAAGUCCCUUGGGAACGAUAACUCAUUUCUUAAAGAUUCUAUAUUACUUGCGCGACCACGUACACUUGCGUGUAUACUGGGGAGCAACAAGUUUUUGGCGCCGCUGCUGGGGACUUAGAAAUUGAUUUUAUAUUCAAUCUUCUUAAGUUUACAAUUAGAAUAUUCAGGUAUUAAUUACUUGAUCUUAUCUUGUGUAUUGCAGGCACUUGAUUUUCAGGUCUGGCUCGGAAAUAAGAUCUUGUCGAACCUUAUAACGAACCUGAAAGAGUUCUACGACAGCGCAGAAAAAUGAAUCUAGGAUGAGGAGAAUUGGGUUUAGGUAUUCUGGAAAACAUUGAUGAUGAGAAUGAAGACAACUUGAAUAACCUAGAAAACGUGAAUAACCAAAGGGAACUGAAUAACCAAAGAGCCCCGCCUAUCGUACCCGCAAGACCAGUCUGUGAUGUGGAAGUCCCACUCACAGCCAAUUUGGCAUCUAGCAUUAGGAAACCUCCACCGGGGGGUAGAUUUGAACUAAAAUAGAGCAUGGUACAGAUCCUCCAUUCUAAUCCUCCAUUCUAAUGGGCAAUUCACUGGUCUCCCCCAUGAGUAUCCUCAAAUCCAUCUUAGGGCUUUCAUAGACAUUACCAAUACAUACAUCCCAAUUGGAGUCUCAUCAGACUAUGUAAGGUUGACUUUGUUCCCAUACUCAUUGUUAGGAGCUGCAAGGAGUUGGUUAGACUCUGAGCCACCAAACUCCAUCACUACUUGGGAUGAUCUAGCAAAGAAGUUCUUGAGUCGAUUUUUCCCAUCCAAGAAAACCGUCAAGCUGAGGGGUGAGAUAAUAAACUUUGUUCAAAAGCAAGGGAAGCAAUAAGUUUUUGGCCCCGCUGGGAGGACAUGUACCAAGCAUGGGCGCGUUUCAAACAAAUGUCGUAUGCCUGCCCACACCAUAUGCAAACCAAUGAGGUACUUGCUCACACUUUCUUUGAGGGUUUAGACUAUAAUGCUCGUGCUCUUCUUAAUAGUGUAGCAGGUGGACAGGCUCUAUCCAUAACAAGUGAAGAGUUCUUCGCUUUACUUGAUAAACUUUCUGAAGGGAACCAAUGGUAUGAGGGGGAACUGUCUAGAACCCCAACCCAAAAGGCUGCAGGGAUCUUAGAUAUAGACCAAGCAACUGCCAUAAAUGCCAAAUUAGAUGCAAUACAACAUAACAUUACAUUGCAAUUUAAACAAAUGGCUCUAAAUCAGGCUCCGAUAAACGUAGUACAACAGGCAGCAAAUUGGUGUGAGGUAUGUGGUAGUGGAACUGAAGAAACCGAGGAAUGUGAGGCAAACCCAGAUUCCGUAAACUAUGUGGGUAAUGCGCAAAAGGGUGAAGUGCAACAAAAUUAUGGUAACACUUACAACCCUAGUUGGAAGAACCAUCCCAACUUCUCAUAGGGUGGGAACCAAAACCAAAAUCAGGCGCAAGGGGUUAACCAAUACCGUUCUCAAGGGGCUGGGCAACAAUACUACAAUCCUAACCAAGGCUCAAAUUCUAGUGCACCAAAAGGGGGGAUGACCAAUGAAGAGCUACUCCAAAAGCUCAUGACUAAAAUAUGGACCAAAUUAUAUGCUAGAAUAGAUAAGCAGGAUGAGAACAUUAGAAACAUCCAGAUGUCCCAAAUGAGUUUAGAGAAACAAGUUGCACAAGUGGCUAAUUAUUUGAACUUGCGUCCCCAAGGUGGGUUGCCAGGUGAUACUGAGCCCAACCCAAAGCAAUUGCAUGUGGUAAGUACUAGAAGUGGGCUGCAAUUAGAGGAACUAGCUCCAAAGAAGAGAGACACUGAGGUAAGUAACAACGAAAAUAAGGUGGAAGAGGUAGUAAAAAGCUCCAAUGUUGAGGUACCCGUUCCUCAAAAGAAAUUACCACCUCCAUUUCCACAAAGGCUCAAAAAGCAGAAUGAAGAUGAAUGCUUCGGUAAGUUUCUCUCUCUCCUUAAAUAGGUUCACAUUAAUCUACCUUUGGUUGACAUUUUGUAGGGUAUCCCAAAGUAUGCCAAAUACGUAAAGGACAUUGUGGCUAGCAAGAGGAGGCUCACGAAAUAUGAAAUCGUAGCACUUACUGAGGAGUGUAGCUCAAGGAUUCAAAACAGAUUGCCCAAAAAGUUAAAAGAUCCGGGUAGUUUUACUGUGCAAAUUACAAUUGGGCAAAGUGUUUAUGACUGGGGGUUGUGUGAUUUGGGGGCAAGUAUAAAUUUGAUGCCCUUAUCUUUAUAUCUAAAGCUUGGGUUGGGAAGUCCAAAACGAACAACUGUUAUUCUCCAACUUGCUGAUAGAUCCAUUGCUAAGCUAGAGUGGUUGGUAGAAGAUGUGUUAGUGCAAGUAGGUUCAUUGAUUUUUCCGGUAGAUUUUGUGGUCUUAGACUUUGAACCCGAUCCUGAAGUUCCAUUCAUUUUGGGACAUCCUUUCUUGGCCACGGGUAGGGCAUUGAUUGAUGUAGCAGCUGAUCAAUUAACCUUGAGGGCACAUGAUAAGGUAGAGGUAUUUGAUGUUUACCGCACUCUAAAAUUGCCUUCUAUUUAUGAAGAGUUGUCUGCGAUUACUGUGGUUGAUCGCAUAAUAGAGUCACAGUUAGUUGUGCCCGAAGACCCCUUAGAAAGAGUGUUAAUAGGUCAUAAGAGAGAUGAAGACACUGAGGCUCAAAAGAUAGAAACAUGUCUGAAUCUGGCACUUGUGGAGCCUCACAAGUGGAGAGUGGAACCAUUAGAGCGUGAGUUAGGGCCACCACCCAAACCCUCCAUUGAGGAAGCCCCAAAGCUGGAACUGAAAACACUGCCGGCUCACCUUAGGUAUGCAUUUUUUGGUACUAAUGAAAUUUACCCUGUUAUACUUUCUGCAGAGUUGUCUGAAAUACAGGUUAGAGCGACAUUGCAGAUCUUAAAGCGGAGAAAGAAAGCUAUUGGAUGGCAGAUGGCUGACAUUCAUGAGAUUAGUCCGGCGUUAUGUAUGCACAAAAUCUACAUGGAAGAGGAUCACAAACCAAGUGCACAACAUCAAUGUCGACUAAAUCCUUUGAUGAAAGAAGUGGUGAGAAAAGAGGUAAUAAAGUGGCUAGAUGCUGGAAUUGUGUACCCAAUCUCUGAUAAUAAGUGGGUAAGUCCGGUACAAUGUGUUCCCAAGAAGGGAGGUAUGAUAGUGGUAAGGAACGAAAAGAAUGAGUUGAUUCCUACUAGAACAGUGACCGGGUGGAGAAUUUGCAUGGAUUACCGGAAACUAAAUGAUGCUACAUGGAAAGAUCACUACCCCAUUCCCUUCAUUAAUCAGAUGCUUGACCGACUAGCAGGGCAGGAGUACUAUUGUUUCUUAGAUGGGUAUUUCGGUUACAACCAGAUCUUGAUUGCACCAGAGGAUCAGGAAAAGACCACGUUCACUUGUCCUUAUGGUACCUAUGCCUUCAAACGCAUGCCAUUCGGACUUUGCAAUGCACCGGCGACGUUAGAAAGGUGUAUGAUGGCCAUUUUUCAUGAUAUGGUGGAAGACUUUGUAGAGGUGUUCAUGGAUGAUUUCUCCAUCUUUAGGAAGUCUUUUGAGGUAUGUCUUCGGAAUCUUGAUAAAGUACUUGCUAGAUGUGAGGACACUAACUUAGUUCUAAACUGGGAAAAGUGUCAUUUUUUGGUAAGAGAGGGGAUAGUGUUAGGACACAAGGUGUCUAAAUCUGGUUUGGAGGUUGAUAAGGCUAAGGUAGAAGUUAUUGGGAAAUUGCCCCCUCCCAUUUCUGUAAAAGCUAUGCGUAGUUUUCUUGGUCAUGCAGGUUUUUACAGGUGAUUCAUCAAGGAUUUUUCCAAGAUUGCAAGACCUAUGUGCAGUCUCUUGGAGAAGGAGGUGAAGUUUGACUUUGAUGAGAUAUGCUUAAAUGCUUUUGAGAUGUUGAAGAGGAACUUAAUUGAAGCUCCCAUCUUAAUUGCUCCUGAUUGGGAAUUACCAUUUGAACUCAUGUGUGAUGCAAGCGACGUAGCAGUGGGUGCAGUGUUGGGACAAAGAAAGAAUAGAUUGUUCCACUCGAUCAAUUAUGCAAGAAAGACCCUUGACUCUACACAUGCUAAUUACACAGUGACUGAGAAGGAGAUGCUGGCUCUAGUGUUCACCUUUGACAAGUUCAGAUCAUAUUUGGUAGGUACUAAAGUGAUUGUUUUUAUCAACCAUGCAGCUAUUAGGUACCUAUUCAGCAAGAAGGAUGCUAAACCAAGGCUGAUUCGAUGUAUAUUGCUUCUCCAAGAAUUUGACCUUGAGAUCAAAGAUAGGAUAGGUAUUGAGAAUCAAAUAGCAGAUCACUUAUAUAGGUUGGAGGAUUUUUCACAUGUGAAUGAAGGUGAGCAAAUCUGGGAAGAGUUUCCGGAUGAACAAUUGAUGACAUUAGAUAUCGGUCAAGUGCCAUGGUAUGCAGACAUUGUAAAUUUGAUAGUAAGUGGCGAUUAUCCUUCGGAUGCAACCACCCAACAAAAGAAAAAGCUCAAUCAUGAUGCUAAGUUCUACAUUUGGGAUGAACCAUUCUUGUUCAAGCAAGGCGUAGAUCGGGUAGUGAGAAGGUGCAUUCUGGAAUAUGAGGUUCACAAAGUGCUCGAAAGUUGUCAUGCUAGCCCAUAUGGAGGUCACCAUGAAGGAGAGCGCACUGCUCAUAAGGUACUACAAUCUGGUUUCUUUUGGCCCUCGUUAUUUAAAGAUUCUAUUGCUUCUGUGAAGGGUUGUGAUAAAUGCCAAAGGUUGGGUACUAUUUCAAGAAGACAUGAGAUACCGCUAAGUAACAUUUUAGAGGUGGAAAUAUUUAAUGUGUGGGGUAUUGACUUCAUGGGUCCCUUCCCACCAUCUAGUGGAAACCAAUACAUUCUUGUUGCUGUGGAUUAUGUUAAUAAAUGGGUGGAGGCUAUAGCUCUUCCGUCCAAUGAUUGAAGGGUGGUGAUAAAGUUCAUCAAGAAGCACAUCUUCACUCGCUUUGGCACUCCAAGGGAAAUUAUAAGAGAUGGAGGUAAGCAUUUCAUUAACCAUCUUGUUAAGAAUCUUCUUGCUAAGUAUGAUAUUCUUCAUAAGGUUGCUACAACUUACCAUCCUCAAAUGAGUAGCCAAGUGGAGGUUUCAAAUAGAGACCGAAGCAAAUUUUGUAGAAAAUGGUGAAUGCGCAAAGGAAGGAUUGGUCUGAUAAACUAGAUGAUGUAUUGUGGGCAUAUAGGACUACGUAUAAGACACCAAUAGGGACUUCUCCAUAUCACAUAGUAUUUGGGAAAGCAUGUCACCUUCUGGCGGAAUUAGAACAUCAAGCAUAUUGGGCAAUCAAGAAGUUGAACUUAGACCCCGAGCUAGCUGGUAAAAAAGAGAGUGAAUCAGCUACAUGAACUUGAGGAGUUUAAGCUCCACGCGUAUGAGAAUGCCAAGCUUUACAAAGAAAAGACGAAGAGGUGGCAUGACAAGCACAUAGUAGUUCAUACUUUCAAUCCGGGAGAUAAGGUACUACUCUUUAACUCUAGACUAAGGUUAUUCCUGGGAAAACUAAGGUCGAAGUGGAGUGGUGUGGUCAGAAUGACACAACAUGGGGUUGUUGAACUUAAAGGUAAGAUUGGCCUUACGUUCUUGGUCAAUGGGCAGAGGGUGAAACACUAUUUCGGUGAGGAUUCAGAUUGUGAUCGGGUAGCUCUUGAGCUAAAUAAUGAAUGAUCCAAGCUGCGUCGUUCCGCGAUGUUAAAUCAAGCGCUACAUGAGAGGCAACCCAUGAACAAUAUGUAAUAGAUAGAUAGUUCGCCUUUGAUUUCUUGAAUUUUUUUUAGCAUAGUUUAAAUUUUUAGAAUAGAGGUUAGUUUUAGCUAAAUAGGAUUUUUUUCAUUAUUUGUAACUUAGCUUGUAAUAGUACAUAACGAAAAAGAAAAAUAAAUAUAUAGAGCUGGAGUCAAUUGCACUGGUUGGUGCGCCGCGCCUGACAUCAAACGUCAGAGCGCCAUCUCAGACGCGCUGGUUGGCAUGCCGCGCCUGACGUCGCACGUCAGAGUGCCAUCUCAGGCGCGCUGAGAGGCCCGUCGCCCCUCCCAUCUCCCCAAUGCCCAAAAUAUUUUUUAUCCGGGUUUCAACCUGGAAUUAACCCGACCCACCCCUUAAAUCCCCAAUUCUCUCAUUCUUCUCCUCAUUCUCUCAUUUCAACCGACCCAACACCCCAAAUCCUCUCCAACUCUUAUCAUCCUCCCUUUUCAAAUUCUCACUUUCCCCAUUACCAAACCUCCAUUAACUAUACCAACUCUUCUCCUUCCUCCAUUAAACUCACAAAUAAACCUUUCCCUACCCAUCCUCCUCCUAUAAAACCACAUAUCCACUCCACCCACUUCCCUUUCACUUCAACUUCACCCAUUCUCCAUACUUUUCUUUUUUUUCUUUCUUCUUCUCCCUCCCCACUGCCCAAACCCGACCCCCCUCUCUCCUGUUCUAAUUUUUUUUGUUCCUUUCUUUAGUUUUCUUUUCUUAAUAGGUUGAGAUGGCUCCAAAAUCCAAAAAUGUGGCGGGUUCCAAGAGUAAUAGAAAGGGCAAAACUUUCGGGUCCUCUAGUGCCCGGGAAUCGAUACAAAAAUUUGGCAAAAAGGUUGUGCAAAGGUAUGGCUAGGAAUGGUUCGCAUGUCAACAAGAGGCGAAGCAUAUGGGCGACGAAUUUGUGAAUGAGGUAAGGUUGCAGUCGUAAUUUCCUGUUAUAUAUUAGACUGUGAUUGAGUUGGGAUUGAGGUUUAUAUUUGACAAUCCGGGAGAUUGCAAUUUGACGUUAGUGAGAGAAGUUUAUGCUAAUUAGCUAACUGAAACAAAAUAUAAAACUGUGCCUGUUAGGGGGAAAGAUGUCAAGUUUUCUACCCGAAUUCUAAAUGAGUUGUUAGGAACCCCGAAUUCUCACCCUGAUGAGUUUAAUAGCUUAAAGGAUAAACCUCCUUAUAGGGAUAUCCGACAUACCUUGUGUGGGGUUGAUUUGACUACUAGGUGGGAGUAAAGUAAGGAUACUGGGAGGCAUAAUACCCUCCAUUUUGCUAACUUUAAUCAAGUUGCCAGGGUAUGGCUGAAGAUAGUGUGUAGUGUGUUGUUGCCUGCCAAACAUUUAACUGAGGUGACAAUAGAUAGGGUGGUGUUAGUCUAUAUGCCGAUGAAGGGAAUGCCCAUUAAUGUUGGGGCAAUCUUGAGGCAAAAUAUGAUGAAAUUUAGGAACAUUUUGAGGUGGAGAUUCUAUUACGGAGGAUUGAUCACCCAUUUUCUGAGGGCUGAGGGUAUUGAAGAGGAAACAGUGGACAUGACAAUUGCUUAUCACUCGGAUCUAACGGGUAAAUUAGUUGAUGUAACCCGAACAAAGGCACUAGACACGUCCAAUUGACCUGUCAUAUCUGCUCAAGAAAGGCAAGCCUGUGAUGACAGCGUCAUGGCAAGAAUGUUCGGUAAGGCCGAGCUGCAGUUGCGGAUAGGAGGACUUCCGAUUACUGAUGAGGAAAUGGAGACCUUGGCGGAUCGCUAUCCGUUGAUCGAGAGUGCAGCCUUUCUGUGCAGGUCUGGUCCCGCUUUUAUGGAGCCUUUUGAUGAUGAUGAGGCUACUGCAGAUGACGCUAUGGAUGAUUCAGAGGAUGAUGCUGUGGAUGAGGAGGCGAAUGCCUUGAUGGUGUUCGAUGGCAGUGACGACGAGGCCUAGAGGCCCGAGAGAGUAUUCCUAACUCUAUACUUUGCUUUAAUUAUGCACUGAGGACAAUGCUUAUUUUUAAAGUGUGGGGUGGGGUAAUAUGUCUCUGUUGUAUAUAGCUGUUUACUGCUUUAUCGAGUCUAGUGGUAGGUUUUAGUUAAAUUUUUAAAUUUUUUUAUUUUGGGUUCCUCAGCGUUUAUUUUCGGAUGAGUUUAAUAGCUUGAAGGAUAAACCUCCUUAUAGGGAUAUCCGACAUACCUUGUGUGGGGUUGAGUCAACUGCUAGGUGGGAGCGAAGUAAGGAUACUGGGAGGCAUAAUACCCUCUAUUUUGCUAACUUUAAUCAGGUUGUUACGGUGUGGCUGAACAUAGUGUUUAGUGUGUUGCUGCCUGCCAAACAUUUGACUGAAGUGACAAGGUAUAGGGUUGGUGUUGGUCUAUAUUUUGAUAAAGGGACUGCCCAUCAAUGUUGGAGCAAUCCUGAGGCAAAAUAUGAUGAAAUUUAGGAACAAUUUGAGGUGGAGAUUCUGUUACGGGGGGUUGAUCACCCUUUUUCUGAGGGUUGAGGGUAUUGAAGAGGAAAUAGUAGACAUGGUUGUUGCUUAUCACCUGGAUCUGACGGGUAAGUUAGUUGAUGUGACCCGAACAAAGGCACUAGACACGUCCUAUGGACCUGUCUUGUCUGCUCAAGAGAGGCAAUCCCGUGAUGACAGUGUCAUGGCAAGAAUGUUCGGUAUGGCAGAGCUGUAGUUGCGGAUAGGCGGGCGUCCAGUGACUGACGAGGAGAUGGAGACCUUGGCGGAUCACUAUUCGUUGAUCGAGAGUGCAGCCUUUCUGUGCAGGUCUGGUCCCGCUUUUAUGGAGCCUUUUGAUGAUGAUGAGGCUACUGCAGAUGACGCUAUGGAUGAUUCAGAGGAUGAUGCUGUGGAUGAGGAGGCGAAUGCCUUGAUGGUGUUCGAUGGCGGUGACAACGAGGCCUAGAAGCCUGAUGGAGUAUUCUUAACUCUAUACUUUGCUUUAAAUUAUGCAUUGAGGACAGUGCUUAUUUUUAAGUGUGGGGUGGGGUAAUACGUCUCUGUUGUAUAUAGCUGUUUACUGCUUUAUCGAGUCUAGUGGUAGGUUUUAGUUAAAUUUUUAAAUUUUUUUAUUUUGGGUUCCUCAGCAUUUGUUUUUGGUACUUUUACUGAGGAUUGUCCCUUUGAACCGACUAGGACUAGUUUAUUGCUUUAUUGAGUCUUAGAGUCGUCAUAGGAGUGACAGUUCCCAAUGAUGGAUGGAUGACGACCGUCUUAAGGGAAAAUUAGUCACAUAGAAGAGUAGGAUUGAGAAACCAACCUUGGCCUUUUAGAAACUAUGUAACGAAAAAGUCAGCCAAAUGUCAUGGGUAGUCACAAGUGGAAAAGUGCAAUAGAGUGUUAAACUUGUAACAAGCAUGUGUUCUUAGUUUUGACUCAAAAUAAAAAAAUAAAGGGCUUAAUUGUGUAAUGAUACCGUAAUGCAAAUUGUAGGAACAUGUUAGUUGAUAUGUCCUUAUAUGUGUCAUGAUGCCAUGAGUGGUGAGAAUUGAUUUGUUUUUGCUUAACUUGAUAUCUAGAACUUGCCUUAUGUGUGUUGAAUUAUUAGCUUGUAUGACUUAGGGAAUGUGAUUGAGGCGUUCCUUUUAAAUAACCAAUUUUUAAAUCUACUUGUAUGCUUACCAUUGAAAUUAUCCCUAGUGAAGCCCCAUUGAGCCUUUAGCCUUGUUUAUUGAUAAACCACAUGAUAAGCCGAAACCCGUUUGUUGAUACCAAGUCUUUUGAUCCUAUUAAAAUCCUUAAUGCACUAUGUUAAAGAAUAAGGGUUGAAAAUUGUUGGUUGAUAUAGCUAAGGGUGAAAUGCUACAUUGUGUGGAAAAAAUAUAUUCUAUUUUGGCCCUGGUCCUUACUGACAAUGUACACCUCGACUAAAAUUGAGGGUGGCUAAUUUAGAAUUAUGCUCGAAACAUUGGCCCUGAUCCUAUCAAGGAUAAUGUGUAUCAUACUCGGAUGUUAAAAUCUAGAGCUUGAGUGGCUAGUGCAAAGGCAUAUAUAUAAAAUAAAAAGAAGAAAUAAAGGGCAAAUAUAGAGAAAUAAAAGGGGUAAAUAGUCAUGAAGUGUGUACUAGGAGGAAAGAAAAGCAAUACAUGAGAUUGUUGGCAAAAUAAUGACAUGUGCAUUAAGGAGGUGUAGCCACUAAAAUGAUUUUUAACUAUUCCCUCCCUUACCUUAAGACGACAUUACAACCAAAUGAAAUUCCUCUUCAUUCCUUGAGAAAUAGAUGUGAAAGUAAUAAUACAAUAUUGGCAAGCUUAUGGUAUGUUGAGAAAAGUAAGAACUUCUUUUGUGAGGGUGAGUUGAUUGUUUGAAAAAUAGGCCUUGUUGAUAGUGCAAGUUGUUUGAGUGAAAGGCUUUACUAAACAAGAACAAGUGAGGGCAUUCAUGGCAUGUAUACGAUUAUCUAAUUGAUGUGUUUGUAUGAGUUUGCAUUAGCCCGGAAAAAAAUAACAAAAGGGUCAUUCUUUGAGCAUGUGUUGUACUUGGUGUAAAUUUGUGAAUUGUUGCAUCCAUUGUGAACUACAAGGUCAUGAUUGAAAAUGUUUGGUUGAUUUUGAGGUGGGUUGAUAAGUCCAGGGGUUGUGAAAAAGAGUUGAUAGUCUAGAGAUUGUUUGAGGACAAACAAAGUUCUAAGUGUGGGGUGGUGAUCUUAGGCAUACUUAUAUGCCUAAGUUGUCAAUAUUUACCCAUGAGUCAAUUAGAUUGAAGGAUGAUCUCUAGUCAUUAGCUUAAUUUUUGGUGUAACUUGUGAUGAUUGUGCACUUACUUACACACAUGAUUAGUUGUUUCAGGAACUCUCAAGGGAAUUGGAGUCAACUUGAAGAAAAUAGAAGUAAAAGAGCAUGAAAAGCGGCUAAGGAUGAAGGCCCCAGGGCCAGGCGCACUGCUAGGCGCGAGGUGCCAAGGGCCAAAUUUAGAGAGGCCUCUCAGGCGCUCUGAGAGGCGUGACGCGCCAAGGCCAAAAAUUCAGAGGCCUAUCUCAGGCGCUCUGAGAGGCGCGACGCGCCAAGGUGUAAAAUUUAGAGGCGAGUUUUGGGCGUGAUGAUAGGCGCGAUACGCCAGUGAGAUCCCAACUUUUCCAGCUUAAAAGUGUUAAAAAAGGAUUCCUAGUUGAAGUAGAUUUUGUCUCCAAUUUUCCUAAACUUAUAAAUAGACCCCUUGGGUUCUAUUAUAGAUGUUGAACUUUUAUUUUGUGUGCAAGAGCAAGUAUCUAUGUUUGUAAUACGUUUUGAUCUUCUAACUCUUCUAUUUUCCAGAAAUCUCAUGAACAAUUGUAUUUUGUGGUUUUCGAAUAGCAUGAGUGACUAAACGCCCUAGUUCUGGGGCUGUAGCUACGAAUAAAUUGUUGAUUAUUAAAGGCUUUAUGAAUUAAUUCUUGGUUGUCAUUAUAAGUUACUUAUAUAUUCUUGUUUUAGUAUUUCUUGACUGGCCAUCUAGAGAUAAAUCUAUUGUUUAACCUUAAAAUCGGGAGAGGAGAGGUUAGAUAGACCAAAGGAUAUAGACAGCUUGAUCGACCCGUUAAGUCGAGGUGAAUUGUGUUCAGGAGUAACUCCCGGACGAACAACUCGCUUGGUUACGAAAUAGGAUGAAAUAUAAAUGCUCGCCAAUUAGUCUAUUUAUCCCCGCUCAACGAUGUAGUUAGGUAGCUAAUUGGGGUAGGCGACGAGAGGUGUAUAGCCCGACUCAUAUAAUUAACCCUAUAAACCAGUAACUUGACAAUUGAAAUUAGUUCUAUGCCAAUAAUAUGAUACAUGAUAUUCAGGAUAUGCUGCAGCCCUGGAAUUGCUUUUAACUUGCUUGAAGCAUUAUGUCAAAGUCGUUCACAAUUAGUUAUUUUCAAUUAGUGCAUAACUAUUAGUAGAUAAACAAUAAAUCAUCAACUCUUGAAAAGAUUACUUUUACUUUUAGUUGUAGAAUUAAGUGAAUAUAAAUUGAUCAUAAGUCCCUUGGGAACGAUAACUCGUUUCCUAAAUAAUCUAUAUUACUUGCGCGACCACGUCCACUUGCGUGUAUACUGGGGAACAACACUUACCUCUUCUCAACUCACUCAACUCAACUUAAGAAAAUAAGAUAACUCAACUCAAAGAUUAGAUACUCAACUCAAAGAUAUGAUACUCGACUCUGGGUACUCAACUCUGGAUACUCAACUCAAUAUAAAGCAACAAUACACAUGCAAUAUAAUGAAAGGUUUUAAAACAAUGGAAAACAACUUAGUUCGUUAAUGAAAAUGCAAUAACAAACUCAUCUUUACUCAUAUAAUAAAGUAAUAUAAUUUCUGUGGGAGUUUCUCUAACCGACAACUACCACUAUGAGCCUAAGUGAUGAUACAUCAUCUUGCCCAUGCUGCCAGAACUGUCUUAUACUUUGCAGUCAUAUAGAACGCCUUAACUAAGUGGAUCCACUAGUAAAUGCUAAAAACACUUAGGAAUCAUCUAAAAAGUAUGAUCCUUUCUACCCAUGAUGGCUACAUGGUUUAUGGAGACGUGAGUUAUCUAAACUCAAACUCGUCCCCAUAUCGGUGCUCAAUACUACUCCCAAAAUACUCAGCUCAUAUGUUUAAAAACAUAAUCAUUUCUUUGAUUUGAGAUAAUUACUCAAAAANNNNNNNNNNNNNNNNNNNNNNNNNNNNNNNNNNNNNNNNNNNNNNNNNNNNNNNNNNNNNNNNNNNNNNNNNNNNNNNNNNNNNNNNNNNNNNNNNNNNNNNNNNNNNNNNNNNNNNNNNNNNNNNNNNNNNNNNNNNNNNNNNNNNNNNNNNNNNNNNNNNNNNNNNNNNNNNNNNNNNNNNNNNNNNNNNNNNNNNNNNNNNNNNNNNNNNNNNNNNNNNNNNNNNNNNNNNNNNNNNNNNNNNNNNNNNNNNNNNNNNNNNNNNNNNNNNNNNNUUAAAGUUAAAACGUUUGUAAAAGACUUCUUAAAAUAUGGUUCAUGACGAAUUAUGGACGUGAACGACUCAAUUCGUGGUUUUCAAUGACCAUACAUAGAACUCAAUACUCGAGACUCAACAACUCAGAACUCAAGGAAUUUAAUGGUAAUACUUGUUUCAAGAAUGCUCGACUCAGAAGGUUCAUGCAGAAUUAUGGACAUGAACUACUCAACUCAAGGACUUCAUGGGUAAUAUAUAUAGUCCCAUGAUUAGGAAUAUAAUCUCGAAAAGGUUAGGAACUCGAUACUCAAGACUUAGAACUUGAAGAUACUACUACUCUUAAAGAUACUCAACUUAUGGAGUUCAUGCAGAAUUUAUAUGCAUGAACGACUCGACUCGAGGGUCUAAAGAACAAUAUGGAGUUUAUGUAUACAACUCUUCUCAUUCUCUUACUUACUCAAAUCUUAGCUCAAAUCGAUGAUGGAUCUCAAAGAAUUCACAAUUGAACUCAAAGGCUUCCUUGAACUCUACUCUUAACUCUCUCUUGAAUGUGAUUUAUGAAUUCAAGAGUUAUGGUUCAUGUUAUGAAGGAUCUCAUGAUGACAAAGUAGAACUCAUGAAUACAUUCUCAUCAUUCUCAUACUCACUUGCUCGAGUCUUGAAACAAGUUACUAGAAGUUGUAGAAGACUCCACAAAAGGACUCAAGGGACUUUCUUAGAAUGUUCGAAAGAAUUCUAAAAAACCUAACUCUUAACUCUACCUUGAAUUUAAAUUAUGAAUUCAAGGUUAUGAAUGAUUUCUAGGUGUUUAGAAGUAGUUUAGAGUGUUUAGAAUCAAAGGGGAGUAAAGGUACCCUUUGAAAGAACUCAAACGGACCAAACGAUGAAGAAUGGGUGGGGGCAGGUGUCUCUGGAGCUCUGAGUGGUGCGGGGCACCAGCCCCUAAACUUCAGAGAAGUGGUUGGGGAACUUUGUCUGGCGAGGGGCCCCAGGCCCCAACCCAGAAAACUUCGACGACUUUCUUUGCUCGUUUUCUCACCCUAACUCGCCUAAUAUCGAACGAUUUCUUCCCCAAUCACUUGGAUUGGAUUACUUAGCAUAAUUUCACUUUAAUCUACUCAAAAUAACACUCGAAUCACUAAAUUUCAUUUGAAGAUAUCAUCAAAACCCCAACAUAACAAGAUUUAGAAUGAAUUUCAAGAAUACCUAUCAAGAACUCAUCUAAAACUAUAAUAUUUCAACUUCAAGAACGAAAUUUCGUUGAAAAUAACAUGAUUGGCGUGUGGGUGAACUAACCCAACACUAUGGAAGCUUACAUACCUCUUAGGGAUUAAACCCAUGGCGAAUAUCCGCAACAAAAUGCAAGAAUCUCGACGAACUCUUUGAUCCUCUCCUCUUUUCUCUUCUUGAACUCUCAACUAAAACCCUAGGCGUAUAUUAGGAUUAUAAAAUUGAACCUAAUAGGAUUAGACCCUUAAAACUUUACUAAAACUGAUUUAAAUCUGAUUUGGUAAGUAAAAGAUGUUGCUCCCAAUUGCACACAGAAGUGUACGUGGUCGUGCAAGUAAUAUAGUGGCCCUAAAAGAGCCGGAUUAUCGAACCCAAAGGACUUGUCGAUUAACCAUUUACUAAAUUAUACUAAUUCUAAUUAUUUAUUUAAGGGAGGAUUUCAAAAGGAUGAAUAUAUAUUAACUAAACUAAAAAUAAAGAUAAAAUAACUAAAAAACAUUAAGAAAAGAUAGAUGUUUACACAAUCAAUGAAUGAAUCGAUCUAGGAUUAUAAUUUAACUAACAAUCAUGUUUAGCAUCAAUUGCAUCAACUUAUUUGAUUAUCUAGUUAUUGAUUCACGGGGUUGAUAAUAUAGUCAUGGUCUCUCGACCUCUAAUCGUCUACCACAAUUGACAGCCUAACUACAUCGUUGAGCGGGGAUAGACUGGACCAACUAUGGAGCAAUACGUUGUCUUCCCAUAUUUGAGCCAAGAAAGAUACCUAGGUAUAUCCCUAUCUUAGACACAAAUCAAUUCAAGUGAUAUGCAAGAAAAGAUCAUGCUCCUCAUAUUCCAUGUUCUAUCCCUCUAUUCCUUUCCCGAGUUCAAGAGUAGAUAAUAUAUUUAUCUCUAUGGUGAUCAAGCAUGGAAAUAGUAAUCACAAGAAUAUAAGAACAACCAAUAUGAUAAACAAUUAUGCAUAAUGAAAAUUACUAAACAAUCAUUUUUUAAGAAAAUAUAAUCCAAGAACGAGAAGUUUAACUCCACAUAGACAUAGAACAAUUACAACGAAUCAUUUAAAUAAAAGCUGUAAAAUAAAUAAAAGAGAAGAAAUGAUAAAAAAACCCUAGAUCAAAGUUAAUUUCUACAUUGUAUCCUCCUCUCUCUAAUAAUUAUUCUUAUGGACUAUUUAUAGAUGUAGGAAACCCUGAAUAAAAUAAUUGAGUCCAAAACAAAUUGGGGAUCCAAAACCAAACGGAAUUGGAUUCCGAUUGAAACACUGCUUCGUCCGCCGCCUGCAAUUAGAAGUGCCUUCACAUGAUGCCACGUGGCAGCUCAAUUGACGGCUUGCAUUCUACACUUUGUAACAUAUAUGAAGUAUUAUUAUUAUAUUAAAAUUAAUCUAUUAAGCUGUCUCCUUGAUUUCCUUCUUCAACCUUUCAUAUUUAAUUCGUUUUAGUUUCGAAUUUCUUCAUCUUUACAUGAAUUUAAUCCUACAAAUAAAAUAUAUUAUUAAGCACAAUCCAUAAAAUUCAGGCUCAAAAAGGGCAUAUAUAAAUACUAAAUAUGAGGCAAAUAAGGAUUUAAAAUAUGUAUUUUGGCCUCACAUCAAACGACCAAAAUACCCCUUACUAAUUUCGGAUAACUUUCCUUAACUGGAUAACUCAACUUCAAAAGGGCAUAUCUCACUCAUCCGAACUCAAAAUUUAGUAAACUCGGCGGCGUUGGAAAGAUAAUUAAAAGAACUUUCAUUAGAUAUCUUUUAGACCAUCUAAAUCAUCUUGUGCCAAAAGUUAUAGUCGUUUGAAGUUGAUCCAAAACUCAUAACUUAAGCAAAACUUGCAAAAUUUCAGAUUUUGCUAUUUCCAAUGUAGUUCUUUUUUGGAACUCAAGGGGCUACAUCUAGUGACCUCAACACUUAGGAAAAUUUUAAUUCCUUGGUAAAAUCUCGCUCACUACAAAGAAUGGUUCGAGUCUUAGUUCAAAAAAUUUUCUGGGGUGUUACAAGUGUAUCACCAUGUUUUCAUCCUUUUCUUUGAUGGAGGAUAUAUGAACUUAUCAAAUUAUUAGGUCUCAUAACAAACAUGUUUCUAAUGACCUUUCAUAUCAUUUUUAUGAAAAAAAUUACCUUUACUCUUUAAAAGGCCAUUUUGAGAACUCAUAAUGUUCUUUCUUUUAUAAUUAUCAUAAUGAUGACUAUUAUUAUUUUCUCCAUUCACGUCCAUAUUCGUAUGUCCAAUCAUAAAAUAAUCUUUUCAUCUUUCAGACUUUUAUUGUAUUGCUAUCACAUUCACUUAAAUAAAUAUCGCAUAUUCAGUGGGACGGACUUCACAAUUUUUAGCAAGAGGAUAUGAUUUGCUCAAUCAUCAUUAUAUAUCAAUAUAUUACAUUGAGACUUUAACCCAAUGUCUUAUCCAUACAAAGGUGUGUUAGGCCAAAAUAUGAAGGGACUUGAACCCAAAAUCUUAUCAUCAUGGUGCAUCGACACUUUAAUCGAUGUCUUACCCUUUUGUUGCGGUGAAAUUUGAAUCUAUCGUCUUACCUCAAUCAAUGACAUCAUAUAUAGUCCAAAAUAAAAUUCACCCUUGAGCCUUUAAAAUAUUGUUACUUUGUUAUUAAUACUACAAAUAAAUUUAGUCAUAAUAACAUUUCAAAAGAUCAUAUACAAAUUAUUACAUUUGCUAAACGAAGAAAAGUUGAUCCUCAUAGGUGGCUCUGAAUACUAUUUUCAACUUAAAAGUUUUAUGAAUAAUUCACUUAUUGAAAGAUCAACAAAUUAAUUCUCAACAUUGACUUCAUUUGUUGCUAUUUAAGAAAAUUUAUUUCUUCAAUUGUAAAUCAUAGAUAAAGCAACUAGAGGUAAACACUAAUAAUCACAAUAAAUAAUAUGAUACCUCAAAAUCCAAGAAUUAAAUAAACACUUGAUAAAUGGACCUAAUAAAGUCUAUAUUUCAAAUUGUCUCAAUGACAUGUAGCAUAUUUUAUGGAUUUCAAAAAUUAGCAUACUCUUUUUGUAGAUAUAUACAAAUCAGUAUUAAUGUAAUUAUUAUUACGAAGGAAGCUUACUAUAAAGAAAAAAUAUACCAUUAGCUUACCAUUGACAAAUUUAUUAAUUGCCAACCUAAAUAACAUGCCAAUGCCACUUCAAAGAAUCUUUCAUGAUAGAAAAGUCCUUUUGAUUUUUCCAAAGGAAAAUAAAAUACUUAUUCACAUAUUAUUUUGCUUACCUUUUUAAAGCAACUAUAAAACAAGUCAUGUUAGUACAUAUAACAUAUUAUAAUAAUUGAAGAAGUAAAUGACUAGCUAGUGAAGGAUAAACAAGUGUGAAAUAAUCAAUGAUGUUGAUCAAGGUCAAUGUAGGUCAACACAAUAAAUUUAAUAUAUAUAUAUAUAUAUAUAUAUUUUGAUAUGCAUUCCUUAAAUUUACUAUAUCUCAUUUUAAAGCAAUUAUGUAUUACUAGGUGAAAACCACAACAAAGUAUCAACCAAAUUAAAAAUUCAUGUUAUGCAUUUUUAGUCUUCUAACGAUUUCGUUCAGUUCAAUUCUUCCAACAAGGUUAUCAAUUAAGUACGUACUAAUUAUCUUUCAAAAAAUCCAUGAUGACACUAACUAUAAUUACAUUAGACACAUCAAAUUUAAACUAUCAAGUAUAAGAAGACUUAUAUAGCAGAAUAUAAUAUACUUUAUACUAUUUAUGUUUGGGCUAAUACACCACCGGAGAUGCUCGUAGAUGAAGAGAAUUGUGUUGAUAACGUGUUAUAAAAUAAAGCAUGUGUAGUAACAUAAAAUGACAAGAAGAAAAAGAGAGAAAGAGAGAGGCACAAAUUGGUAGUGGUAGUAGCUUUUCUCUAUUAUUGAAUGUUUUUCUUUCACUUACUCUUUUCUUUUGUUACAAGAAGAGGGGUAUAUUUAGUUGUAUAUACUUGGGCACCAAGUGUGAUACAUGGAUAUCUUCUUGCCAUGUAUACACUUUGGACAACAAGUAUAUCAUAUGGAUGGUUAGGUUACAACACUUUGUUUGUUGUGUGUAUAUUCAUCUUACACAUAGUGUAUAGUGUGUACAUAUAUGUUACCGCAAAAUAUAUGUAUGUGGACAUCCAUUUUUACAACUAUAUAUAUAUAUAUAUAUAUAUAUAUAGAGAGAGAGAGAGAGAGAGAUGAAAACUAAUAAUUUACAUAAUAAAAAUAUCAAUAUUACAAAUUUAUGCUAAUAUAAACCAUAGAUACAAAAUAUUGAAUUAAAAUUAAUUUAAAGAGUACGAAACUUGAAAUAAGGCGACAACAAUUAAUUGAUUGAGAAAAGGAGGUGUAAACACGAUAGUAAAAUACAUAAUUUUAUUAAUAUUAUACAAGUGCGAAGAAGAUGUUAAUAACAAUGAUAAUAUAAUCACAAUAGUAAAAAAAUUAGUGACAACAAAUAUAAUUUGAUACAUUACUAAUUUAGAAGCUCGAAACAAUGAAUUGGAAGAAAAGAGGGUCAAAAUUGGGUGUCAACACUAGGCAUUUCAAAGCCACAAUGCAUAAUUCUCUCCACAUUCUUGGUUGAUGUCCUGUACCAAGAAUGCCUACUCUAGUGUUCCAUCUAUCUCUCAUUACGUACGUUCUCCAAAUUCUCUUGAAAAACCCCAAACCGUGCCUUUUCCAUUGGACUAGUUCUCAUACAUUAAUAAAUUGCAGUGACUGUAAGUGAAAAUCUAACUACAUUCACUGCAAUUCGUCAGUGUAUGUGAACCGAUCCAAUGUAAAAUGCUCGAUUUGAGGUUUUCCAAAAUAAUUUGGAGAAUGUAACAAGGGUUAGAGGAACCCUAGAGUUGCAAGCUUGGUUUGGGGAAUCAAGCAAGAAUUAUUUAAAUAAAAGAUACCGAUUGAAAAACAGAGAAUUGUGUGUAUCUCCUUGGAAGAUUUGUUUGAUGUAUUUUACAAAUGAAUGUCCUUCUAUUUAUAAUAUUCUCUAAGGACUAAUAGAUAAAUAAUAGUUUUUAUACAAGUCCCUAGUUAUUUACAAAGCGUCCUCUUUCUAGAAUACUCUACACAACUAAAAGAUUCCGAGGACCUUCCAUGCAAAUCCAUGGGAUUGUAAGGUCUUCCAAGGAACUCUCCAUAUACUUCUAGAAUAUUCCACUAAGGACUAUUGUUCUUCAAAUCUAAGCUUUCCACAUGGACAACCUUAUGGAACGUGGCGCCUAAGUGGUGUGAUGAUGUGACAGAUCAUCACACUAGACCUUACUAGCAUAUAUCCUGAUAUUAAAUAGAUAUUACUCGAAAGGAAAGGCUAUCCUUACAACUUAUUCAACCACUACAACCCUUUUCCACCCUACCCACCACCACAAAAAACAAUAACAAAUAAAACAAAAAAUUUAUAAAAGAGAACCUUCUAUGACAUAAAGCCAACUUUCAAAGACUAAAAGAACUCAAAAAAGAAAAAAAAAUACAUUCAAAGGUUUGCACAAAAACAUAGUUGCAGAGAACAAGUGCCAAAACAAUAUUUACCUUGUGUUGCAACUAUUCCCUUAAACAGACACAAUACAAAAUUAAUCAGAUGAUUAGAUUAAGAAUUAAUUAGAUGCUAUAUAUGGAAGGAUAGUUUAUCAGGUCCAAGUGAGAAUUAAUCAGAUGAUUAGAUUCAACUAUCCCUAGUUAAUUGCAUAACCAACAAACUAACCAACAUUGUUACAAUUUUUGAGCAAAUACAAGCCUAAACUAUAUUCAUUAUUUGGUUAAGUAAAAGAAACAAUCACGUGUACAAUCAAAAUCAACAUAGAUGAAGCAAAUCAAGGAAAUCCAUGACUAAGCUCUUAUUGUUUUUGUUUAACGAAUGACAUUGAGGAUCAAAUCUACGUGAAGGCAAGAUAGAUAGGAGAAACUUCAAGUCUAGUCCCAGAGACUACAUCAAUUCAUAAAGCCAUGAGAUACUAUCUUAGCCAAGGAAUUUUUAAUGCUAACAAAAGGACUUACUUGAUGAUUCUCAAGAACAUACUAAUAAAUGUUUGGAAACUACCAUAGAAAAUCAUACAAAAAUCGAGCAAAUCAGACAGAUGAUGCAACAAUUACAAAUUGGGAUUACACAUGUGUUCAAAGGGAAGGAAAUAAGCUUGCAGAUUUCUUUAAAAAUUUAACUUUCGAGCAAGAGAAUACGACACACUUUUAUGAUUUUCAGUCGAUAUCAUCAAUGGAAAAGAGAAUAAUUAAUUCAGAAAAAAUAAAUAUUACCUACAUCUAAGACGGGAGAAGAAGGAUACAAUACCAUAUAUAUAAUGCAAGGAUUUCAGAAAUAUGAAAAGAGAGAAAUGUAUAAAACGGACCCGAUUUCUAUAAAAUUAUAAAAGCAACAUCAAGUAAAAGAGCUCAUCCUAAGUCCAUUUUCCUAAAAAAAGGAAUUAGUGUUAGAAAGAGGAAAGAAGAUAUCUGAGACAGAUUGUCACGACCCGAGUCUACACCCUGGACGUGGCUGGCACUCAAGAAACAUUGUUGUUCCCCAAGCGAACCCUCAUCCUGGCUGACUACAAGCGGAAGACUAACUUAAGCAUGCAGAAGAUUAAAACUGAAAUAAAAUUCAAUAAACUCAACUUUGUAAAACAUUAACUCAAAUGAACAACUUAGAAUAAAAAUAAUAGAUUCAACUCGCCAUAAAAUAGGAAACUUAAGUCUUUAAAACAUUUAAUAAAAUAAAUGAUACAGACUUCUCAACAAUACUGACUAUCUAUGAAGCCUCUAACUGAUAAAUAUGGAAGUCGGGACAAGACCCACGACAUCUUGAACUAAACUGAAAAGUAAAUGAAAUCCUCCGGAAAAUAAGAAGGCCUACCAUAGCUAAUUCGAACUCUCGAAUGUAUCAACGAAUCUCCUGUUGAUGAUCCUGAAUACCUGUGUCUGCAUCAUGAAAAGAUGCAGGCCAAAUGGCUUUGUAUGUGGAAUGUACAAGCAUGUAAGAGGAAUUCUAAAGCAUAACAUAAGCUUGAAAGUUGAUACAAAGGAAACAUACUUACCUCUUCUCAAACUUACUCAACUCAAGGAAUACUCAAGUAUACUAACAACUUCUCAACUUACUCAACUCAGAAGUAUUCAAGGAUAAGAUACUCAACUUAGAGAUUAGAUACUCAACUCAAAGAUAUGAGAUUCUACUCUGGGUACUCAACUCUGGAUACUCAACUCAAUAUAAAGCAACAAUACACAUGCAAUAUAUGGAAAGCUUUAUAAAACAGUAAAAACAACUUAGUUCGUUAAACAAAAUGCAAUAACAAACUCAACUUUACUGAUAUAAUAAAGUAAUAUAGUUUCUGUGGGAGUUUCUCUAACCGACAACCAUCACUAUGAGCCUAGUGGUGAUACAAAGUCUUGCCCACGCUGCCAGAACUGUCCUAUACUUUGCCGUCAUAUAGAACGCUUAACUUAGUGGAUCCGCUAGCUUAACUUAUGUGAUCAUCUAAAAAGUAUGACCCAUUAAUACCCAUGAUGGCUACGUGGUUUAUGGAGACUUGAGUUAAUAUGAACUUGCAUGCCCAUAUCGGUGCUCAAUACUACUCCCAAAAAUAUACUUAGCUCAUAUUCUUUAAACAACUUCUUUCUUUAGUUUGAGAUAAUUACUCAAAACUUAGAUUAAAAGCUCUCUUGGAAAUCAUAGUUUCCUCUUUACUUAAAACUAGCUCAAAGGCUCUUUUUGAAAUCUCAGUUUCGUUUCUUGUUUAAAUGUGAAAACAUUUACUCUUUGGGAAUACAUAGUCCUGAUAUACUCUUUAGAAGAAAAGAAUUAAACUCUUUAAUCUUUGCUUAACUAAAAACUUAAGUCUUAAAACAAAGUUAAAACGUUUGUAAAAGACUUCUUAAAAUAUGGUUCAUGCGGAAUUAUGGAUGUGAACGACUCAAUGCAAGGUUUCCAAUAACCAUAGAUAGAACUCAAUACUUGGACUCAAGAACUUCAAUAUACUACUCACUUCAAGAAUGUUCAACUCAGAGGGUUCAGGCAAAAUUUAUGAGCAUGAAUUACUCAACUCAAGGACUCAAAGAUAUUUGUCAUCUCAUGACUAUUCAACUUAUAGGGUUCAUGCGGAACUAUGGGCAUGAACAAUUUAACUCAAGGACUUCAUGGGUAACAUGUAAUAGUUUCAUAAUUAGAAAUAUAAUCUCAUAGGGGAUUAGGAAUUCAAUACUCAAGACUUAGAACUUGAAGAUACUACUCCUCUCAAAGAUACUCGACUUAUGGAGUUCAUGUGGAAUUUAUGGGCAUGAACGACUCGAAUCGAGGGUCUACAAACUACCUGGAACUCUUGUAUACAACACUUCUCAUUCUCUUACUUACUACCUCAAGACUUAGUUCAAAUGCAUGGUUGAUCUCAAGGAUUCACAAUUGAACUCAAUGGCUUUCUUGAACUCUACUUUUAACUCUCUCUUGAAUGUGAAUUAUGAAUUCAAGAGUUAUGGUUCACGUUAUGAAAUAUCUCAUGAUGACAAAGUAGACUCAUUAGUACAUUCUCCUCAUCCUCAAACUCACUUGCUCGAGUCUUGAAACAAGUUACUAGAAGUUGUAGAAGACUCCACAAAAGGACUCAAAGAGACUUUCUUAGAAUGUUCGAAAGAACUCUCAACACUAAACUCUUACCUCUACCUUGAAUUUGAAUUAUGAAUUAUGAAUUCAAGGUUAUGAUCAUGUUAGGAAUGAUUUUAGGUGUUUAGAAGUAGCUUAGAGUUGUUAGAAUAAAAAAGGAGUGAACGUGCACUUUAAACGAACGCAAAUGGGGAAACCGAUGACAAACUGGAUGGGCAGGUGACCCUGGGGCUAUGGGUGGCGCGGAGAGCCAGACCCUAACAUUCAGAGCCUUCUUUGGGGCGCUCUGGCUGGUACGACACGCCAGGCCCCAACCCAGAAAAUGCGACGAAUUUCUUUGGUCGUUUUCUCAACCUAACUCACCUAGAAUUGAACGGUUUCUUCCCCAAUCACUUAGAAUCAAUUACUUAACAUAAGUACACUCUAAUAUACUCAAUACAGCCCUUAAAACACUCACUUUGAUCUCAAGAAAUAAUAAAAAACCCAACACAACAAGAUUUAGAAAGAACUUCAAGAACACCUAUCAAGAACUUAAAUCCUUCAAUUUUUUUUAGAAUGAAAUUUCACUGAAAAUAAUAUGUUUGGCGUGUGGGUGAACAAACCCAGCACUAUGGAAGCUUACAUACCUAUUAGGGAUUAAAGUCAUGGUGAAAAUCCGCAACAACUUUAAAGAAUUUCGACGAACGCUUCAAUCCUUUCUCUUUUCUUCUCUUCUCUCUUCUUCUUUUCUCUUCUUGAACUCUCAACUAAAACCCUAGGCUAAUUUUAGGAUUAUAAAACUGAACAUAGUAGGAUUAGACCCUUAAAAUACUACUAAAAAUGAACUAAAUCUGAUUGGGUAUGGAAAAGACCAAAAUACCCCUCACUAUUUUCGGCUAACUUUUUUUAACUGGACAGCCUAACUUCAAAAGGUCAAAUCUCACUCAUCCGAACUCGAAACUUAGAAAACUCGGCGGCAUUGGAAAGAUAAUUCAAAUAUAUUUCCUAAGGUAUCUAGUAUAACACCUAACUCAUCCUGAGGUAGGAGUUAUGUUCGUUUGAAGUCAACCCAAAACUCAUACUUAGCUUAUCUUGCAAAAUUUCAGAUUUUGCUAUUUCCAAUUUAGUUCUUUUUCGAACUCAAGGUGCUACAUCUAGUGAACUUAACACUUAAGAAAUUUUAAUUCCUCAGUAAAAUCCUACUCACAACGAAAGAUGGUUCAAGUCUUAGCUCAAAAUUUUCUGGGUUGUUACAAUAUCUCCCCCUUGGGAUCAUUCGUCCUCGAAUGACGACUGGUCUGGAUAUGGAACUGGUUACUCUUACUAAGGUCUGAGGCUAAUGGUACACUCUCACUAUAUUCAAUCUUAACCCAAAUCCUUAGGUUUAGGUUCUAUACCUAUCUAUAGGGAAUCUCAUCCCAAAACCAUUACUCCUUACCACCACAUUCAAGCUUAGUACUCGAAUAACUCCAUGAACUCCUACUAACCAACUCCUUCAGAUCCACAUAAGGGCUCUCAUUUAACUAUUUCUCUUAGUAAAACCUCAUUCUAAUCUUCCUCCUUAUUUACAACCUUAGAUGGAACUAUCACACCAUCAUCAUCACGAUAUGAUCAUUAACCUCCUCUUUCUAAUAUCACUUCAUUUCUAAAAGAACCUCUAAAAAGAUAUCCCCCAAACUCUUUGGAAUUCAUUACUAUCUUACUCUCAAGCACUUGACUUGAUUUCGCAUCUUAUCAUCUCCCCCUUAGGUCUAAAGCUAACACUUGAAAUCUAUGGACCUACUCCACAUUAACAACUCAAUUAUGCUAUCUAUGCACACAUGGCAAAUCAUAACUUAAUUGGAACUUCAUCUGGUAACAUACCAUCUAGGCACGCCUCUUAAUUCUCUUGUUACUCUUGUGACUUAGCCACACUUCGCUGCCCUUAUCUAAAGGUUUGGGUCUCUCAGUUGUACCACUCACAUUCAUUGCAGCAACAUCUUAAUUCCUCACCUACUCUAUGUCAAGUCUACUAGAUAAAAUCUCAAGGCUAACAUCAUCACGCUCAUGUUUUCAUUCUUUGGAUGAUGACACUCAUCUCAAAUUCAAGCUUAAUGUUAAUUACUAAACCCGAAUAUCAAUACGAUUACUCGCCUACCAUACCAUACCUCAUUACUUGAUCAGUUCUAUAACCUUCUGAACAUCAUGACCCUCUAAAACAAAUCAUAAGCCUAGCUUAGAUCUAUCACUUCAUUAAUACUCUUUCUCUUCUAUUCACCACUUACAGUUAAUCAUUUCAUACACAAUGACACUUCAUCACCAACUCCUUUCUAGCUCCAACACACUCUACCUCCUAUGAUGGAAUCUUCACAACUCAUCACUUCUUAGUCUACUCAUAAGGAAAAACUCCUCAUUACUAACUUACUAGAUACUUGACUAUAGUAACAUAGCUUGUCAAAACACCAUCUCCCUUACUUAGAUUACUAAACCUCUACAUACUUUACUCUAACUCUGGGCUCUUUCACUACUACUGCUCAUGAUCUCAUAACUCAUGCUACCUUUUCAGGUGAAAAUACUACCCAAGCUCUAAACAUACUUCCUUAUAAGGAUCUCAGCUGAAACAAGGCUUAAGGAAAAGAGUACAACUCACUUUUAGCUCAAAUACACGAUUCAAAUGAAUAUGGGUGCAUUCCUCUGAAACUGAACACUUAACUUACUCUUGGACUUCUCUUAAGCCCCUCUGGAGUCUCAUGACUUCCUAAAAAAUCUUGCUAAGAACAACUCAUCGACAAAGAACUGACUCUGCUUUUCAACCACCUCUAGUAUGAUGGGGAUCGAAUGAAUACUGAGAAAUGCAUGAGUUAGAAUAAGUCACUAUGACAUAGCUCUAUUGCACGAUUAAGAGUAUGAAAGAAGGGAAACUUUUCUUAAAUAUCUGUAGUCCGUCAUAUAUAGAAGUGGGGCCCUCACAACCAUAAACAAGAUCCUACUUGACACGGCUUCAUAGACACCUUAGGAAACUUAAACUCUUUGCUCUGAUACCAAGUUUGUCACGACCCGAGUCUACACCCUAGACGUGGCCGGCACUCAAGAACCAUUGCUGGUCCCCAAGCGAACCCUCAUCCUGGCUGACUACAAGCGGAAGACUAACUUAAGCAUGCAAAAUCUUAAAACGGAAAUAAAAUUCAAUAAACUCAACUUUGUAAAACUUUAACUCAAAUGAACAACUUAGAAUAAAAAUAAUAUAUUCAACUCGCCAUAAAAUAGGCACUUAAGUCUUUAAAACAUUUAAUAAAAUAAAUGAAUAAUACAGACUUCAUAAUUAUACUGACUAUCUAUGAAGCCUCUAACUAAUAAAGAUGGAAGUCGGGACAAGACCCACAACAUCCUGACNNNNNNNNNNNNNNNNNNNNNNNNNNNNNNNNNNNNNNNNNNNNNNNNNNNNNNNNNNNNNNNNNNNNNNNNNNNNNNNNNNNNNNNNNNNNNNNNNNNNNNNNNNNNNNNNNNNNNNNNNNNNNNNNNNNNNNNNNNNNNNNNNNNNNNNNNNNNNNNNNNNNNNNNNNNNNNNNNNNNNNNNNNNNNNNNNNNNNNNNNNNNNNNNNNNNNNNNNNNNNNNNNNNNNNNNNNNNNNNNNNNNNNNNNNNNNNNNNNNNNNNNNNNNNNNNNNNNNNNNNNNNNNNNNNNNNNNNNNNNNNNNNNNNNNNNNNNNNNNNNNNNNNNNNNNNNNNNNNNNNNNNNNNNNNNNNNNNNNNNAAUAUAAUAUAACUCUGUGGGAGUUUCUCUAACCGACAACCACCACUAUGAGCCUAAGUGGUGAUACAAUGCCUUGCCAACGCUGCCAGAACUGUCCUCUACUUUGCCGUCAUAUAGAACGCUUAACUUAGUGGAUCCACUAGCUUAACUUACAUGANNNNNNNNNNNNNNNNNNNNNNNNNNNNNNNNNNNNNNNNNNNNNNNNNNNNNNNNNNNNNNNNNNNNNNNNNNNNNNNNNNNNNNNNNNNNNNNNNNNNNNNNNNNNNNNNNNNNNNNNNNNNNNNNNNNNNNNNNNNNNNNNNNNNNNNNNNNNNNNNNNNNNNNNNNNNNNNNNNNUUUCUUUGGUUUGAGAUAAUUACUCAAAACUUAGCUUAAAAGCUCUCUUGGAAAUCAUAGUUUCCUCUUUACUGAAAACUAGCUCAAAGGCUCUUUUGAAAUCUCAGUUUCCUUUCUUGUUUAAAUGUGAAAACAUUUACUCUUUGGGAAUACAUAGUCCCGAUAUACUCUUUUGAAGAAAAUAACUCAACUCUGUACUCUUUGCUUAACUCAAAACUUUAGUCUUAAAACAAAGUUAAAACGUUUGUAAAAGACUUCUUAAAAUAUGGUUCAUACCGAAUUAUGGACGUGAACAACUCAAUGCACGGGUUUCCAAUAACCAUAGAUAGAACUCAAUAUUUGGAACUCAAGAACUUCAAUAAUACUACUCACUUCAAGAUUGCUCAACUCAGAGGGUUCAUGCAGAAUUUAUGAGCAUGAACUACUCAACUCAAGGACUCAAAGAUAUUUGUCAUCUCAAGAUUAUUCGACUUAUAGGGUUCAUGCGGAACUAUGGCAUGAACAAUUCAACUCAAAGACUUCAUGAGUUACAUGUAAUAGUUCCAUGAUUAGAAAUAUAAUCUCACAGGGGAUUAGGAAUUCAAUAUUCAAGACUUAGAACUUGAAAAUACUACUCCUCUGAAAGAUACUCGACUUAUGGAGUUCAUACAGAAUUUAUGGGUAUGAACGAGUCGACUCGAGGGUCUACAAACUAACUGGAACUCAUGUAUACAACACUUUUCAUUCUCUUAAUUAGUACCUCAAGACUUAGUUCAAAUGGAUGGUUGAUCUUAAGGAUUCACAAUUGAACUCAAUGGCUUUCUUGAACUCUACUUUUAACUUUCUCUUGAAUGUGAAUUAUGAAUUCAAGAGUUAUGGUUCACGAUAUUUAAGAUCUCAUGAUGACAAAGUAGACUCAUGAGUACAUUAUCCUCAUUCUCACACUCAAUUACUCGAGUCUUGAAACAAGUUACUAGAAGUUGUAGAAGACUCCACAAAAGGACUCCAAGGGACUUUCUUAGAAUGUUCAAAAGAACUCUCAAAACUUAAAUCUUAGCUCUACCUUGAAUUUGAAUUAUGAAUUAUGAAUUCAAGGUUAUGAUCAUGUUAUGAAUGAUUUUAGGUGUUUAGAAGUAGUUUUAGAGUAGUUAGAAUCGAAAAGGAGUGAAGGUGCACUUUAAACGAACUCAAACGGGGCAACCGACGACAAGCUGGAUGGGAAGGCGACCCUGGGACUAUGAGUGGCAUGGAGCGCUAGCUCCUAACAUUCAGAGCCUACUUUGGGGUGCCCUGUCUGGUGCAACACGCCAGGCCCCAAUCCAAAGAACGCGACGAAUUUCUUUGGUCGUUUUCUCAACCUAACUCGCCUAGAAUUGAACGGUUUCUUCCCCAAUCACUUAACAUAAGUACACUCUAAUCUACUCAAUACAGCCCUUAAAACACUCACUUUGAUCUCAAAAAAUCAUCAAAAACCCAACACAACAAGAUUUAGAAAGAACUUCAAGAAUACCUAUCAAGAACUUAAAUCCUUCAAUUUUUUUGAGAAUGAAACUUCGCUGAAAAUAAUAUAUUAGGCGUGUGGGUGAACAAACCCAACACUGUGGAAGCUUACAUACCUUUUAGGGAUUAAAUUCAUGGCAAAAAUCCGCAACAACUCUCAAGAAUCUUGACGAACGCUUCGAUCCUUUCUCUUUUCUCCUCUUCUCUCUUCUUCUUUUCUCUUCUUGAACUCUCAACUAAAAUCCUAGGCUAAUUUUAGGAUUAUAAAACUGAACCGAAUAGGAUUAGACCCUUAAAAUACUAUUAAAAAUGAACUAAAUCUGAUUGGGUAUGGAAGGGACCGAAAUACCCCUCACUAUUUUUUGCUAAUUUUCCUUAACUGGACAACCUAACUUCAAAAGGUCAUUUAUCACUCAUCCGAACUCGAAAGUUAGCAAACUCGGUGGCGUUUGAAAGAUAAUUCAAAGAUAUUUCCUAUGGUAUCUGGUAGAACACCUAUCUCAUCCUGAGCUAGGAGUUAUGAUUGUUUGAAUUCAACCCGAAACUCAUACUUAGCUUAUCUUGCAAAAUUUCAGAUUUUGCUAUUUCCAAUUUAGUUCUUUUUCGAACUCAAGGUGCUACAUCUAGUGAACUUAACACUUAAGAAAUUUUAAUUCCUCAAUAAAAUCCUACUCACAACGAAGGAUGGUUCAAGUCUUAGCUCAAAAUUUUCUGGUGUGUUACCUAGAUAAUGAAAAGGCAUACAAAACUUACAUGCUUGGAGCACCAACCAUCGGAAAAGAGAUGAAAAGCUAAUCGAUAAAUUAGAGAAGACCACCUCUCAAGUGAUAGUUGUAUCUCUCUUGUGUAUUUAUUUUAUAUUAUGUAUGUUCUCUAUUAUAAGAUCUAGUACCUAUCUAGACUAGAUCUGUAACGACCCCAGCCUACACUCUAGACGCGGCCGGCACUCGAGAACAAUUGUUGGUCUCCAAGAGAACCCUCAUCCUAGCUUCCUACACUCGAAAUAUUAACUUACGCAUACACAAAGAUAAAACUGAAAGAAAUGUUUAACAACAAUAUACUGAAUCUCAAUACUAUUUGAAUAUAUUGAGUAUAAAACAUAAAUUUUAAAUAAAACACCUGAAACCGAAAGACUCUCUAAAACUAUUUAUCUAUGAAGCCUCUACUGUAUAAAUACGAGUGUCGGGAGAAGACCCAAGACACCUCAAGAAACUACUACUAAAAACUCAUAAACGAUAGAGUCCUCUAGAAGCAAAGAGGCCUCACUCAAAAGCUAACGAGCAGAUGAAGUUAUCUCAACGGAACUCCUGUUGAGGAUCCUAAGUACCUGAAUCUGUAUCAUAAAAUACGCAAGUCGAAUGACAUCAAUACAUUGAAUGUACGGGUAUGUAAGAUAACUGGAUAAAAAUAUAACUUAAUUGAAAGGGCUGUAAUAGAUAUAAAUAUAUACCCAAUUUAAUGUAAAGAAAUAAAUGAGUGAAAUCAUUUAAAUUUUAUAAAUACUUAUUCAUCUCUGAACUCAACAUAUUAAGUGAUAUGAUAAAAAUACACUUUUAACUUUAUUUGUUAGACUCUCCAAUCGACAACCAUCACUAUGAGCUACGUGAUGAUAUAACAUCUCGCCCACGCUGCCAGAACUGUCAUAUAUCGUGCCAGGGUAUAGAACCUCUCAGCUAAUUAGAUCCACUAAGUUAUAAGGAUUCAUGUAAAGAGUAUGAUCAUGUACCCAUGUUGGCAAGACAAGGUUUAUGAGGAUUUUGAGUUGUCUGAACUCAUCCUCAUAUCGGUGUUCAAUACUACUCCCAAUAAUAUAUAUACUCAUGCUCAAAAGUCUAAAUCAUACUCUUUCUUUAGUUUGAGAUAAUUUCUCAAACUAUUCUCUUAAAAGAGGUAAUUGAUCUGAAAUAUCUCUAAACUCAUAAACUCAUUUAGAAAUCAAAGUUUAUCUUUUCCCAAUGUAAAAAGUGAUAUAUUUGGGAAUACUUAGUUCCCUUAUACUCUUACUCAAUUCAUAUAUGAAAACUCUUUUUCAAGCUCAUUUGUUGCUCUCCUUAUAAAUUAAUUUAAAGACAAAACAUUUAUUUUGAAAAGAUUCUCAAAUUUAACUCAACAGUAGGGUUCAUGCUGAAUUCAAUAAAUGAAUAAAUAACUCAAUAAUCUCAAUACACUAUAUACGAUAAUUCAAUAAUUAGGAAUAAAAAUUCAAAAAUCAGGAACACAUGAACUCAGAACUCAACAUCAACUCAUCUUAAGAAUAUUCAAAUCUAAGGAUAAAACCCUAGAUUUACUCUUUUACUUUUCUCAAAACUAAUACUCUCUUUCUUCCUAUAAAAAUGAAACAUUUGGAAAUCAUAUAGUUUCCUUAACUUUAAUUCAAAAAUGCUUUAAAACUUACUCUUGAACUCGCUUUUAACACCUCAAAAAUCAAUUUAUGAAAAAAGAUGCUUGUUCAAAAUACUCUUAAUCGAAACUCAAAAAUUAAGGUCAUGUGGAAUAUAAAUGUCAUGCCCCGAAAUAGGGGGAGUAACUGGCACUUGAUACCCUAAUACAUCGAGUUAUCCACUGAAACAUACUAGCUAAACCAAACUUGUGAGGCAAAAUGAUUGGGCAGCACAACCUCAAAAAAGUGAAGCCUGGACCAAGAGGUCAUGACCUGAAAGAGAAUAACCAUACAAACAAUGGUAGACAAACUGAAAAAAAUUAAAUAAAGAUGUACUAUCUAGCCAACGAGGCCACAACCGAAAACAUACCUACUUACACACACACAUAAAUAUACAUGCCAAGACUUGGCUAGAGGUUGAAACGUACAAAAAGAAAACCCAGAAUAUUGUGUCCACAAUAGCCUCUAUGAGUGACAUAAGCACUGUUGGAACAAGGCCCCGACUAUACCCAAACUGUACAAAAAAAGUAAACAUCCUUUGAUAGCUCCAGGAUAAGAUGGAUCUUACCAACUCACUGCUAAACCUGAAUCCUAGCUGGUGGGUCGAUUAGAGUCCCUGCCUAUACCUGCUCGCACAAAACAAAAACCAGCGUCCCCAGGCAAAGGGACGUCAGUAUGAAUAAAAAAUGUACUGGUAUGUAAAGAAAAAAGUAAAAUCAUAAACAUUUUACUAUAAAAGGGUAAUAGAGAUACCACCUGAAACUGAAACCCAAAUAAUCUCCAUAGCUGACGUUUUAGCCCCUACUACUUAAAUAUGCAUGGUAUUCUCGUAUAAUCGUAUGUCGUGAAUACAUAUAUAUAUAGAUACAAAUGCAUGACAUACCCAACCAAAUGCUAGCAAUGGUGGUACUUUCCAGUAGCGAACCGGCAUCAAAUUCGCCAACUUGUGGCCAUCUGUGUCUCAUACGUACAAAUAUAGGCAAUAGGCCCCAUACCUCCCGAUUAUAGCUCGAGAGUAGAAUGUAUAGCAUGUCAUGUCAUGGAUUUAUAACACAUAUGAGUUACUGUUGUCAUGUUGCCACUUUUGGCCCGUUUGUAGUCUUGUUCUCAUAACCCCAUAAUAACUUUCGUAUAACAUAUAACAAUCUCAUGGAAUUUGAUAUGUUCUUCCAAAUAAGCUUGAAAAGUUAACUCUAAUUUUAGAAGGAUAACCUAACCUUGUUGAUAUUCAUAACAAGUUUAAGGAGACUUACUUAGUUCCUAACUUGGUUCCUAGAUAAUUUAUAAAAGAAAUAUUUCAAAAACCAAGUGUUCUAAUAGUUUACAUUUAAAUUAUAUUUGAGAGUUUUGAAGGUCGUGAGCUACUUUAAUGUUUUUCUUUAAUAAUAACCUUAGUGGAGAAAGAGGGCUGGCUACAAGUAGUAAGGGUCUCGCGUGACAUUUUAAUUCACAUCACCCAAGGAAGAAUACAAAUUCAUACGUGCGGACAUAUAAUCAAGGAAACUGAUAAAAUGACGUGUACAUGUUGAACAAUCUAUUUAUCCGAACGAGUGAAAUAUCAAAAUAACAGAAUCAUGAAAAUAAUUCAGCUGAGAUCCCAAUGCCUUUCACUGAAGGUUUUUCUAGUAAGAUAAUAGCAAAAUAUCAAAUUCGGCGUUUUAGGAAUUUCCCAGGAGUGGUGCUAAAAUGAGGGACGUAGUUUCGCCUUAACAUACCUUUUCAAUGAACCCUCGAAUGGCCGUAGCUUCUUCAUGAAAGUUUUUCCUUACGUCCUAAACUUUGGAAACACUAUAUAUACACAACUGGUACACACCUAUAAACAGUUCAUAAUUGUUCUUAAAUCGGCAGAUUUGCCAAAUGGCCUCAACUUGACGAAAUGUCCGUAAAACUUCAUAAAAACCAUCAUAAAAGAGUCCCGAGAUGAUUACCUUAGUUAAACAAGUUUAAACCUUGAAGAAACACCAAUAACUACAAAUUUAUAUCUUCAAAAACUUUCUCCAAACGCAGCUAAUAGAAGGGGAAAACGAUUGCCACGUGUAGAGAUCGCGUUUCUAGGAACAGGGGUAAUCUUUAAUGGUAGAAAUCGUCAAAAACUGAUCUUCAUCAUGCAAGUACUCCAUAGGAACCCUCUCUUAAGUUUUCUUUCUGGUUUGGAAGUAAAAUGAAAUGUUUUCAUGGCUUAAAACGUUGAGUAAGCCGACAUACCACAUUUUGACCCGACCCGGAUUCUACCCCGACAGUCCGUAGUAAAACCCUCAUAACUUUUUACUUCGAUGUUGGUUGUAUACGGGGUUUUGUGAGUUGCAAGCUAGAUUCGUAGGCCUUCAAUUUAAUGGGUGAUAGGUCUUCUAACUCUUUGUAUAUUGGGAGAAAACAUCCAAACCAUUUGACCAAAAGUUAAGAAAAUAUUAUUAGAGAAACUUCGAUAACUUUUGCCGACUUUAGUUUCACUAAUUUUCUUUACUUCGGAACUUAACAUACGACCCUUGAGCUAUAAUAAUACCUCAUAAAACACUAUUCUUAGCAUGUUUUACACUCAUAGGCUUAUCCACAAGGUAUGGGACAAGUUAAAUGUUUCAAACGGGUGAAGUUCUACCCAAGCCAUUUCUUUUAUCAUGAACUUUGUUUGAGGUGUCCCUUUGACCUAAAACUUUAGUUUAGAUCCUUGAUAUUUCCACCUACUUGCAAUCUUAAUCUCCAAUGUACGAUACAAAGUCAUAUACACCUCAUAUAACCAUGCCAUACUACGCCACAUAUAUUAUGCACGCUUAGAGAAAAAAGUACGGAAUCUUACAUUCUCCCCCCUUAUGAACUUUCGCUCGCGAAUGGAUCUAGACAAUUCCUUGGUUGUAUUUUCUUUUUUUCUCACAGUACUAUAUUUGCGAGUCUAUAUUUGUUACCGUCGCAAACCUGAAGUCAAAUUCUGAAAAUUUUAACUACUAAGCUUUGCAUAGCUAUCUCGUAGAAAGACAUAUAAAUUUCACAUUCAAGCUACUUAAAAUCUAACUAAGUCGUUGUGAAGAAAUAAUUGCCAAUAAUCGAAAUGUGACUCACCUUAAGUCGUAAACAGUUGGGGGUACUCAUUCCUCAUUUCCUCAACGUUGUUAUUUCUCCAUAACACUUUCACAGAAGCUGCAUCUUUAUUUCGAAGCUUUCUUACUUGCCGAUCUAAAAUCGCUAUUGGUACCUCUGCAUAAGAUAAAUCCUCAGCGAUACAAAUAUUUUCAAUGGGCAUAAUACGUGAAGGAUCUCCAAUGCACUUCCGCAACAAAGAAACAUGAAAUAUAGGAUGAACUGCUUCCAAUUCUGAAGGCAAAUCAAACUCGUAUGCCACUAUACCAAUCUUCCGAAUAAUCUUAUAUGGUCCAACGUACCUAGGACUGAGCUUCCCUUUCUUUCCGAAUCGCAUGAUUCCCUUCAUAGGCGAUACUUUCAGGAAAACCCAAUCUUCUACCUCAAACGCUAAGUUCCGUCGGUGAACAUUUGCUUAAGAUUUCUGUUGACAUUGUACUGUAUGAAGCCAAUCUAUAAUAAGCUUAACCUUUUCAAUCGCUUGUUGGACUAGAUUGGGACCUAGCAAAUCUACUUCCCCGAGCUCAAACCAACUGAUUGUGGACCUACACUUCCACCCGUAUAAUGCUUGGUAAGGGGCCAUCUGAAUACUAGCUUGAAAGCUGUUAUUAUAAGCGAACUCGAUAAGAGUUAGAUGUUGAUCCCAACUUCCUUUAAAAUCCAACACAAAAGCACGUAACAUAUCCUCAACCGUCUGAAUAGUACGUUUUGCCUGUCCAUCAGUUUGUGGAUAAAAAGCGGUACUAAGAUUUAUCUGAGUGCCUAGACCUUUCUAAAAUGAUCUCCAAAACUGUGCUGUAAAUUGAGCUCCUCGAUUUGAGAUAAUAGAUAAUGGAACUCCGUGAAGGCGAACAAUCUCCUGGAUGUAAAGCCUAGCAUAAUCUUCAGCUAAAAAUGUCAUCCUAACUGGCAAGAAAUGAGCAGAUUUUGUCAGCCUAUCGAUAAUUACCCAAAUAGAAUCAAACCUUCGUGGAGUGCGAGGCAAACCAGUGAUGAAGUCCAUAUUGAUCAUAUCCCAUUUCCAUAAUGGAAGUUCAAUAUACUGGGUUAGGCCUCCAGGCCUCUGAUGCUCUGCUUUAACUUGUUGACAGUUGGGACAUUCAGCUACCAUCUCCACAAUAUCUUUUUCAUGCCGUUCCACCAAUAGAUCUAUCAAAGGUCCUGAUACAUCUUCGUCGCUCCAGGGUGAGAUCCAUAUCUAGAAUAAUGGGCCUCUGAAAGAAUACUUGUACGGAGCUUCCCAACUGCCGGUACACAUAAGCGACCCUGGUAUCUAAGGACUCCAUCUCCAGUUAGCUCAAAUAAGGGGUGUUUCUGUUGUGGAAUCUUUUCCCUCAAUUUCCUAAGCUCAGGAUCUUCAUGUUGCCGCCUUUUCACUUCAGUCACAAAGGAACAUUCUGCCAUAUUCUUAACGACAACACCUCCGCCUCCUGCAUCUACCAUGUGUACUUGCUAAUUAACUAGCUGGCAAAUGUCUUUUGUAAUUCCAGCCUUAUCAGCUUCAAAAUGACUUAGACUACCCAUGGACUUCCGGCUGAGCACAUCAACAACAACAUUAGCUUUGCCGGGAUGAUAUAAAAUGUCAACAUCAUAGUCUUUUAGUAAUUCUAGCCAUCUCCUUUGUCGUAGGUUCAACUCCCUCUGCUAAAGUAAAUACUGUAGUCUCUGGUGAUCGGUGAACAUAUCUAUAUGAACCCCGUAUAGAUAAUGUCGUCAAAUUUUUAGGGUAGACAACUGCAGCCAACUCAAGAUCGUGUGUAGGAUAAUUCUGCUCAUGCUUCCGCAACUGUCUAGAGGCGUAUGCAAUAACCUUACCAUGCUGCAUAAGAAUACAACCUAGGACAAUUCUUGAGGCAUCACAAUAAACAACAUAGCCCUCAUUACCAUCUGGAAAGUUUGGACAGGUGCAAUGGUAAGCCUUUUUUUAGUUCAUGAAAGGUCUGCUCGCAUGCCCGGUCCACUAAAACUUCAUUGCCUUAUGUGUCAAUUUUGUCAGUGGUGUAGAAAUAUAAGAGAAUCCCUCCACAAACCUUCGGUAAUACCCGCCAAGCCUAAAAAACUGUGAAUCUCCGUCGAAUUCAAGGGCCUCGGCCAAGUCAUCAUUUCUUCAAUAUUUUGUCCAUCGACCUUAAUACCCUCACUUGUAAUAACAUGACCAAGAAAAGCUACUGAGGUAAGCCAAAAAUCACAUUUAGAGAAUUUAGCAUAUAACCUGCAAUCUUGGAGAUUCUGCAUUACAGCUCGCAAGUGGUCUACAUGCUCUGCUUCCGAUUGUGAAUAUAUAAGAAUAUCAUCAAUAAACACAAUCACAAAUUCAUCCAAAAAUGGUUUGAAGACCCGAUUCAUAAGAUCCAUAAAGGCUGCUGGGGCAUUUGUAAGCCCGAAAGACAUGACAAGGAACUCAAAAUGGCCAUACCUCAUCCUAAAUGUUGUUUUUGGGAUAUCAACUUCCCUGACUCGCAACUGAUGGUAACCAGACCACAAGUCAAUCUUGGAAAAGCAUUUGGCACCUUGUAACUGAUCGAAUAAGUCAUCAAUGCAUGGAAGAGGAUAUUUAUUCUUUAUAGUGACUUUAUUUAGUUGUCUAUAGUCAAUACACAUCCGCAAGGAUCCAUCUUUCUUUCGAACAAAGAGCACUAGGCACCCUAUGGGGAAGUACUUGGCCUGAUAAAGCCUUUUUCGAGCAAGUCCUUCAGUUGUUCCUUCAAUUCUCUUAGUUUUGCAGGUGCCAUUCUAUAGGGAGGAAUCGAUAUAGGUUGCGUACAGGAAGCAAGCCUAUAGCGAAAUCAAUUUCCCUUUCUGGGGGAAUUCCUGGAAGAUCAUCAGGGAAUACCAUUGGAAAUUCAUUCACGAUAGGAAUUGACUGAAGAGUCAUGGGCUCCUUAUCAAUAUCAUGUACAUAAACCAUAUGGUAUAUACAACCUUUAGCAAUCAACUUCCGAGCCCUAAGGUAUGAAAUAAACUUACCCUUAGGUGUGGCUGCAUUACCCUUCCACUCAAGGACUGGCUCACUUGGAAAGUAAAAUUGGACUAUCUUUGCAUGACAAUCAAUAUUAGCAUAGCAAGCUACCAACCAAUCCAUACCCAUGAUAACAUCAAAAUAUAGCAUAAUCAACUCAACUAAAUUAGCAGAGGUUGGACAAUCAUUAAUUAAUAUGGUACAACCCCGAUAGACAAGACUAACUAAAAUAGAAUCGCCAAUCGGUGUAGACACCUCAACUAGUUGUGGCAACAACUCAGAUUUCAUGUCAAUCUUACUAGCAAUAAAUGGAGUAAUAUAUGAAAAUAUAGAGCCAGGGUCUAUCAAUGCGUAAACAGCUUGAGAAUAUAUCGUCAAUAUACCUAUAACAACAUCAGGGGAUGCCUCUGAAUCCUGUCGUCAUGUGAGUGCAUAAAGAAAUUUUGACCACCGCUCGAACCUGUAUCUCCUUCACCUCUCCCUCUACCAUGACCCUGAGUAGAUUGUGGUCCUAGUCAUAGGGCACGAACUGAGGGUGAAGAUGUUGCUGUGGAUCCUAAAGGCUGAGCUAGAUCACCUCUGCUCAACCUCGGGCAUCGACUAAUAAAAUGUCCUGUCUACCCAUAGUGAUAACAUGCACCUGAACCAUAUCUACACAGCCCAGUGUGCGGCUUACCGCACUGUGUACAAUAAGGAGUGGGAUGUCUUACCUGUACGAAACGAUCCUGUCGACGACCUUCAGGCUGUCCUGAGCUCUGACCUGGUCCUGACUGACUAUAACGAUCAAACCGCGGUCCCUACACCUAUGGUGAGACACUACCCACUGGCCGAGGUGGAUAUCGAUGGAAAGGGGGCCUAAAAUCACCAUGUGGCUCCCUAUAACAUCCCAUAGUACGGGCCCUCUUACUCUUCUCCCUAUUUCUGCGGGUAUCACAAAUCCGUUUAGAAAGGUCCUCUGUAGUCUGAGCGAAAGUCUGUAUGUGUGAAAUAUCUGCAUCAUCUGAUAGGGAUGCUACCCUACAAUCUCUGAUCAAAUGAUCUUCCAAAUCAUCAACAUAACGAUGAACUCUGGCUCUCAUGGUACGUAUAAUAUCUGGUGCAUAUCUUGCCAAAGAAUUAAACUUGUGGCUAUAAUCCCUCAUACUCAUGGUUCCUUGCUUCAGAUUGAUAAACUGGUCAAGACGGGCCUCUCAAACUUCCCAUGGCAAAUAGUGGGCAAGGAAGGCCUCAGAGAAGUCCUCCCACUCUGCUGGCAGAGCAUCAUGUCCUCUAGAUCUCUCCCAUGCCUCAUACCAAAUGAUGGCUACAUCACGUAGCCGAAAAGAAGCCAACUCUACAGCCUUUGUGACGGAGGCAUACAUCACCCUCAAUACUCUAUAUAUAUGGUCUAUAAAGUCCUGGGGAUCCUCAGUAAGACUAGAUCCUGUAAAUAACGGAGGGGCCAAAUGAAGAAACUCUCAUACCUUCAAACUUUGCGACCGGUCUCUUUGAAUAUCUACUCCUGACUCCAGUUGUCGCUCAUGAAUAGAAAUCAUCCUAGUCAGCAAUUGAACUGCCUCUCUCAUCCCCUGCUCCCCAGAGAUCUCUGGUGGAGAAACAAUAGGUACUGGAGGUCUUGUGUCCGUAGCUUCCUCAGGUACCAAUGGAACUGGUAAGGCUGGGGGUACUGCAUCUUCUCAGGAUUCAAUAGGUGCCGGGGAGGCUGGUACUAGGGGUACUGGAGAUCCACCCUAUACCUCCGAGGGAACUCUAUCUCUUUAACUUGGUGGGGAACGACUAGUACCUUCCCUUGGAUCCAUACCUAUCUCUCGAUCUACCAUAUCCGGAGCGAGUGUAGCCUGUUAGAUAAGAAGCAUAAAGCACGACUUAGAUUUCAAAUGUUUUUAUACUUUUGCACUACAGCACGAUCUAUUAGUUUAAUGAAAUGUAACCAUUCCUAAAUGCCCUAUAGCCUCUUGAUUAUAAGUGUGGUGCACAACACACCCAUAAAUAAGACUCUACUAGACACGACUUGUGGACCCCCCUGGGAUACGACCUGCUCUGAUACCAAGUUUAUCACGCCUCGAAAUAGGGGGCGUAACUGGCACUCGAUACCCUAAUACAUCGAGUUACCCACUGAAACAUACUAGCUAAACCAAACUUGUGAGGAAAAAAUAUUGGGCAGCACAACCUCUAAAAAGUGAAACCUGGACCUAGAGGUCAUCACCUGAAAGAGAAUAACCAUACAAACAAUGGUAGACGAACCAAAAAAAUUAAAUAAAGAUGUACUAUCUAACCGAUGAGGUCACAACCGAAAACAUACCUACUUACACACACACAUAAAUAUACAUGCCAAGACUAUUGGCUGGAGGUUGAAACAUACAAAAAGAAAACCCAGAAUAUUGUGUCCACAAUAGCCUCUAUGAGCGGCAUAAGCACUGUCGGGACAAGGCCCCGACUAUACCCAAACUGUACAACAAAAGUAAACAUCCUAUGAUAGCCCCAAGAUAAGAUAGAGCUUACCAACUCACUGCUGAACCUGAAUCCUAGUGGGUGGGUUGAUUAGAGUCGUUGCCUGUACUUGCUCACACAAAACAAAAACCAGCGUCCCCAGUAAAAGGGACGUCAGUACGAAUAAAAAUGUACUGGUAUGUAAAGCAAAAAGUAAAAUCAUAAACAUUUACUAUAAAAGGGUAAUAGAGAUACCACCUGAAACUGAAACCCAAAUAAUCUCCAUGGCUGACCUUUAGCCCCUUACUACUUAAAUAUGCAUGGUAUGCUCAUAUAAUCAUAAGUCGUGAAUACAUACAUAUAUAUAGAUGCAAAUGCAUGAUAUACCCAACCAAAUGCUAGCAAUGGUGGUGUUUUUCGGUAGCGAACCAGCACCAUAUUCGCCAACUUGUGGCCAUCUAUGUCUCAUACGUAUAAAUAUAGGCAAUAGGCCCCAUACCUCCCGAUUAUAGCUCGAGAGUAGAAUGCAUAGCAUGUCAUGUCAUGGAUUUAUAACACUUAUGAGUUACUGUUGUCAUGUUGCCAAUCUUGGCCCGUAUGUAGUCUUGUUCUCAUAACCUCAUAAUAACCUUCGUAUAACAUAUAACAAUCUCAUGGAACUUGAUAUGUUCUUCCAAAUAAGCUUGAAAAGUUAACUCGAAUUUUAGAAGGAUAACCUAACCUUGUUGAUAUUCAUAAUAAGUUUAAGGUGACUUACUUAGUUCCUAACUUGGUUCCUAGAUAAUUUAUAAAAGAAAUAUUUCAAAAACCAAGUGUUCUAAUAGUUUACAUUUAAAUUAUAUUUGAGAGUUUUGAAGGUCGUGAGCUAAUUUAAAGUUUUUCUUUAAUAAUAACCUUAGUGGAGAAAGAUGGCUGGUCACAAGUAGUAAGGGUCUCGCGUGACAUUUUGAUUCUCAUCACCCAAGGAAGAAUACGAAUUCAUACGUGCGGACAUAUAAUCAAGGAAACUGAUAAAAUGACGUGUAGAUGUCGAACACUCUAUUUAUCUGAACGAGUGAAAUAUCAAAAUAACAAAAUCAUGAAAAUAAUUUAGCUGAGAUCCCAAUGGCUUUCACUGAAGGUCUUUCUAGCAAGAGAAUAGCAAAAUAUCACAUUCGGCGUUUUAGGAAUUUCCCAGGAGUGGUGCUAAAAUGAGCGACGUAGCUUCGCCUUAACAUACCUUUUCAAUGAACGCUCGAAUAUUUGUAGCUUCUUCAUGAAAGUUGUUCCUUACGUCCUAAACUUCGCAAACACUAUAUAUACACAGCUGGUACACACCUAUAAACAGUUCAUAAUUGUUCUUAAAUCGGUAGAUUUGCCAAAUGGCCUCAACUUGACGAAAUGUCCGUAGAACUUCAUAAAAACAAUCAUAAAAGAGUUCCAAGAUGAUUACCUUAGUUAACCAAGUGUAAGCCUUAAAGAAACACCAAUAACUACAAAUUUAUAUCUUCAGAAACUUGCUCCCAAUGCAGCUAAUAAAUGUGGAAAACUAUUGCCACGUGUAGAGAUCACGUUUCUAGGCACGGGGGUAAUCUUUAAUGGUAGAAAUCGUCAAAAACUGACCUUCAUCAUGCAUGUACUCCAUAGGAACCCUCUCUUAAGUUUUCUUUCUGGUUUGUAAGUAAAAUGAAAUGUUUUCAUGGCUUAAAACGUUGAGUAAGCCGACAACCACAUUUUUUACCCGACCCGGAUCGACCCGCAUUCUGCCCCGGCAGUCUGUAGUAAAACCCUUAUAACGUUUUACUCCGAUGUCGGUUGGAUACAAGGUUUUGUGAGUUGCAAACUAGACUCGUAGGACUUCGAUUUAAUGGGUGAUAGGACUUCUAACUCUUUGAAUAUUGGGAGAAAAUAUCCAAGACAUUUUACCUAAAGUUAAGAAAAUAUUAUUAGAGAAACUUCGAUAACUUUUGCUGACUUUAGUUUCACUAAUUUUCUUGGUUUCCAAACUUAACAUACGACCCUUGUGCUAUUAUAAUACCUCAUAACACACUAUGCUUAGCAUGUUUUACACUCAUAGGCUUACCCACAAGGUAUGGGAAAAGUUAAACCUUUCAAACGGGCAAAGUUCUACCCGAGCCAUUUCUUUUAUCAUGAAAUUUGUUUGAGGGGUCCCUUUGACCUAAAACUUUAGUUUAGCUCCUUGAUAUUUCCACCUACUUGCAAUCUUAAUCUCCAAUGUAUGAUACAAAGUCAUAUACACCUCAUAUAACCAUGCCAUACUACGCCACAUAUAUUAUGCAUGAUUAGAGAAAAAGUACGGGAUUUUACAAUAAACAUGAAAGACAACUCAAAGGUCUCAAUGUAAUAUAUAUAUAUAUAUGAGUUACAUUAUUGAUUCUGAGUUCUAAAUCUUCGACCAUGGGUUGUUAUAUAUAUAUAUAUAUAUAUAUAUAACAACCCAUGGUCGAAGAUUUAGAACUCAGAAUCAAUAAUGUAACUCAUAUCAAGAAUUCUUAAAACUAAGGGUAUAACACUAGAUUAAACUUUUGCUGACUGAAUUGAGAUAUAGGGCAUGAGGACGAAAUCAACCCACCACUAUGAAUAGCCUUACAUACCUUAAUGACAAAUUCUGCAUAAAAUCUUUGAAGAUGAACCCUAGCCUUGGUGUUUCUUGAAGUUCUUAAGCGUAUGGAUUUUUAAGAAUGGGCGCGUUGAAGUAAUGAAAACUGAUUGACUUUGUCUUUUGGAGAAGGUUAAUAGUCAUGUGUUGGGGUUUUGGGAUGAUGAAAGUACUAAAAUAACCCCUCUUAAAACGUGAAUAGAAGCUCGAAAACAACGAACACUACUAAAAAUGAUGGACAGAAAAGCGAUGGAUAGCGCCACUCUGAAAAGAGACGCCAUUUGCCAGCGACAACAGGGUAGCGGCAGCGGCGGUGGGCGACUGGCAGCAGCGGCGACAGUUCUUUGGAGAGAAGGAAGAGAUGAAGAGAUGAGAGAGAAUGAGGCUAAGAGAUAUGGAAAAAAUUCAUGUAUCUAUCAUAGAUAUUUUUUUUAAAAACGACAGACAGCGUCUCUUUGUCCAUCACUUUUUUUUAAAAUGUUCGACCAAAAUAUUAAUUAAAAAGUGACGGACUAAACGACAUUGUCCGUCACUUUUAUAAAGUGUUUGACCAGUUAAUUUGACUAAAAAGCGACGGACUAGGAGAUGUCGUCCAUCGCUAACUCAAAAAAUAAUUAAUAAAUUAAAUUUACUCAAAAAUAACGGAGAACAUGGCUAUUAUUUUUAAUAAAAAACGACGGACGACAGCUCUAAUUAUAUUAAAUAAAUAAUUAAUAAUUAUAUAUUUUUUGGCACAAAAUCCGCCAAAGAAAGCAACAAACUAAGAGAUGACAUCCGUCGCAUUUUGAAAAAAAAUAAUUAUUUUUUUAAAAAAAAGCGACAGGUAGUGUGCCCUUGUUGCUCCUCUCUUCAUUCUCUCCUUCUCCUUUAAGGUUAGGGUUUCGUCAAUUUUAGUUUUUUUUCAAUUGGAGUUAUAUUUGAUUUUGUUUGUUAGAUUAUUUUAAUUAGUUUGUUGAAUUUGUAUUUAUGUAUUGUUAGUUUGAAUGAUUGAUUGUUAGUUAGUGAGUGAAUUAGAGAUUUUUUAUUUUAAGACUAGUUUGAAUUAGGGUAUUUCUUGAGUUGAUGUUGAAAUGUUAAUAUGAAGUUAACAGUUAGUUAUUGUAUUAGUUUAUUGAAAUUGUGUUUAUUGAUUGUUAGUUUGAAUUAUUGAUUGUUAAUUAGUUAGUGAGUGAAUUAGGGAUUUUUUUAUUUUAGGACUAGUUUGAAUUUAGGAUUUUAGAACUAGUUUGAAUUAGGGUAUUUUAGGACUAGUUUGAAUUUGAGAUUUUAGGACUUGUUUGAAUUAGAGACUAGUUUGAAUUUGAGUAUUUUAGGACUAGUUUGAAAUUGAGAUUUUAGGACCAGUUUGAAUUUCAAAUUGUAGGGCUAGUUCCAAUUUGGGAUUUUAGGACUAGUUUUGAAUUUGAGAUUUUAGGACUAGUUUGAAUUUGAGUAUUUUAGGACUAGUUUGAAAUUGAGAUUUUAGGACCAGUUUGAAUUUCAAAUUGUAGGGCUAGUUCCAAUUUGGGAUUUUAGGACUAGUUUGAAUUUGGGUAUUUUAGGACUAGUUUGAAUUUGAGAUUUUAGGACUAGUUUGAAUUUGUGUAUUCUUGAGUUGAUAUAUAAGUGUUAAUAUGAAGUUCGAAGUUAGUAACUGAAGUGUUUUGAGUAUAAGAUAGAUGUUUGAGUUGGGAAUUGAUGAAGUUAUUUUGAAGUUAGAGAAGUUCGAUAUGAACUUGAAUUACAACUUAUACUUAAUAAUGACUUGAAUUUAUUAUAACUUGAUCUUGCUUAGGAAUAUUAACUUGAAAUCUUGUUGACCUUAAUUAAUUAGAACUUAAUUUUGAACUUAAUUAGAACUUUGAAGUACUUGAAAUUUUAUUGACCUUAAUUAAUUAACUAAUAAUAAGUGUUUAUUAACUACCAAAAGAUCUGAAUAUACAAUUAUCAGCUUGUUCGUGAGUGUUAAAGCAUGUUAUCAGAUUAUAUACUAAUAAGUGUUUAUUAACAAACAAAACAAUCUGAAUGUACAACAAUCAGCUUGUUUGUAAACACAUUGGGGCAAUGAAGCCAUCUAUACGGGAUUUUCCAAAUGGCUAAAAGAAUAUCUAAGUGUGCAAGCUUAUAUUGAAUCAAUAAGUAUUUAAUAAUGUAUUCAUGUUAUACGAAAUUGUAUUAUUUUGAAUAACAAUAUGUAGGUUUAUGAUGAAUACUGAAAUGUCGAUUAUUUGCAAUUAGUGAGAGAAGUUGCACUUGGACCUAAAUUUCGAAUUCUGGCAAUGAAUAAGUAUUGUGUCAAUGGUUUUAAGUUUCAAAUUGAAGAAGUUUCUAUGAAUAAGAAAACAAAUAAUAGCAGUGUCUGUAUACAAGGUGAUGUUGAUGGUAGUGACUAAACUAUUGAAUAUUAUGGUGUCAUUCAUGAGAUUAUUGAAGUAAGGUAUUCAUGUCGGCCUAAAAAGAAGAUCAUAGUAUUUCAGUGUAAGUGGUUUGACCCAUCACAAAGGCACAAAGAUGGACCAACAACAUAAUAUAAUUGAAGUUAGGCACACCAGAAAAUACAAAAGUUAUGAUCCUUUUAUCAUUCCACAGAAUGUUAAACAAGUAGAUUCCGUAAAGACAAAGCUGAUUGGUGGGUUGUUAUAAAGACUAAACAUAUGAGAAGAAUUGAAAUUGACAAUGUCUUAGAUGUGGCGUACCAAAAUGAGUUUGCAAUUGUUCAGUAACAAGGUGAUGUUGAAUUGGAAACCACACUAGAACAUCCUUAACACAUAUUAAACGAAGUAUCUAAUGAUGAGAUAAUGACAAAUGUUGAGGAAGAAAUAAAUGAGGAUGAGAAAAAUGAAUCAUUCGAUGACGAAGAAUGUGACAAUGAAAAUGAAACAACUGACGAGGAAGAAUGAGAGAAUGAUGGAAAUGAAACAAGCGAGGAGGAAUAACAGUAGAAUGACAGCUAGUAUGUAAGUUAAUUUAUUUUGCUAAUACUAAUUCCUAGAAAAACAAAAUCUAGAAGAAAACAAAGAAAAAGAUCAAAACGAUCAUCAAAAUGAAUGAACUAGAUGAACUAGUAUAUGCAAUGGAAGAUCUUAAUCUUUCAGAACAAGAAUUAAAAGUAUUUAUGAGUAAAGGGGAAACAAGAGGACCCCAAGGAAAAUUUGAAGAAGGUGAUGGAUCCAAAUCCAUUAAAGAAGAAUGGCAAGAGCCAGAAAAAAAUGAAUUUUUUUUGCAAAUAAAGCAAAAAAGAAUAAAGAUUAUAUAAAACAAUAUCACAAUAGUGAUAAAUACAAAUUUAUGCCUAACAGACUCCCAACAGGAGACAUUGGAACCCAAUUCCUAGAUCUAGAUUAUAAAAGAGAUCCAGAAACAAGUCUAGACUUAUGGUCUCAAAAUAUGCUCCUAUAUUUCUUACUAGGAAAAGGAAAUUAUAUCGAUGAAGAAAAAUACAUCAUCAUGCUAAAUACUUUUAUAGGAAAAGUAAAUGAUUGGUUCUCUGGAUUAACAGAAGAUGCAGAGAAGAUAAUAAAAAAUGAUACAUUAGAAGGAUUAAAAAGUUCCUUACAAGAAGGUAUUACAAACCUAAAACAAUAUAUUGCAAAUGAAUUCUUUGGUGGACAAGGAAGUCCUACAAACAACAGAGAAAAAGCAAGAACAAUAGCUAAGGAGCAAUUGGAAAAAUUACAAAUCUGUAAAAUGAGUUAUAUUCAAGAAUACACUUGUGAAUUCGAAGAAUAUUACUAUAAAAUAUUUGAUAGUGGUAAAGAAAUGAUGCCAUAUCUUGAAAAAUACUAUAAAAAAUUACCAGGCUUUUGGGCAAAAUACUUCAGAGAAGAAUAUGAAAAAGAAAAUAAAAAAGAGAUACUCUUGGUCAAAGAAUAAGCUUCUUAAAAAAUAGACUUGGUCAAUUAUGUACGUCACAUAACAUACAAAGAAAAGCAAAAAGAAUAAAUACACAAAAUUAUUGUUUAGAUACAAAUGCAGCCACUCAAUGGGGAUGCAACGAUAAUAAACCUUAUAAAAAGAGAAAACUAAAAAAAGGUUUAAUAAAAAGAAAAAACAUUUCUAAACAAAAUUAUAUACCCAAAAAAAGAUAUUAUAAGAACAAAAAUGAUUUUAAAAGAACAAAACCAGCAGAAAAUGCAAGUGCUAUAAUUGUGGCGAAGAAGGCCAUAAAAGUUACGAAUGUAACAAAAGAAGAGUGAAAAUAUCAAAAAAUGAUAGAACAGAAAUUGAUUCAGAUCUUGAGUCAAUAAAUCAAUAGGAAGUGAAGACUUCUUCGAAGAAUUAUAUGAAGAAUAUUCUACAGAUUCCAAUGAAUCAGAAUAAAGAAAUACAAAAGGAAGAAGAUAAUUCAGUUCAUAUUAAACUGAAGAAGAUAAUAAGGGUUAUGCCUUAAAAGCAACUUUUGAUGGAGAAAUUUUCAGAAAAACCCAAGGAUUAAAACUAAAUUUGAAAAUAGAAGAUAAUUUAUUAAACAAGAUGCAAAUAAUUUUUGCAAGGAAUAAAAUAUCUUAUCAUGAAUAUCAAGAAAUUGAAAAAGUGAUAGAAAUUACUCAAACCACAGGAAAACAUAAAUUAAACCUGUGAACCAAACCAAUGAUUGAUCAAAUACUUAGAAAAAUUCCUGAAAAGAAAAGGAAAAAAAUGAACUAUGUCCAUUUAGGUGGAAUUCAAAUACUAGUGAAAUCGACCUUCAAAGAAGGGAUUAAUUGUCAUAUAGUCAUAAAUCACUCAGACGAAAGAUUUAUUAAUGCAAGAGAAGGAAAUCUUGGUAUAAUUGAAGGAAACCUAGCUUAUACUAAGCUUCUAUUCACAUACUACCCAAAGUAUUGUAUUUCAUUAAAAGAUGCAGACUUUAAUGACGCAUUAAGUUUGCACUUCCAAAUCAAGAGAAAAGAUCUUUUCAAACCAAGAAAUCAUAUAAUGAGUAUUUAUUAUCAAGCAUUGUAUACAGUUACGAAUUCCAAUUAUGGAAAGGUAUACAAAAAUAAAGGAUUGAUCGAAAUUGAACAAGAAUGCUCAGGAAUAGCGAGAAUUGUUGAAGCAGAAAUUCAAAAUACUCAAAUUCCAGAAUAAUAUGAUAUUGAGUUCGGCAAGACUCAAGAAAUAGGAAGUACUAGUAGUAGUAACUCUAGACUUUCCAUCGAUUAUGGAAGAAAUUCCAUUAGAAAAAGUAUUUCCAACAGAUAUCCUAAAAGAAUUGUAGAAAAUCCAAAUAUGACUAGAAUCAUGGGAAGAAUUUAUAAUGGAACAGAAUGGAAAUGGCAAGAUAUGUUAAUCCAAACAGGAGCUACAACUAACCAUAUAAGAGGAAUCUUAAUAGAUGGAUUACAAAUCCAUGAAGGAAAUCCCUAUAAUUAUAAAACCUUUGAAGGAAACAAUUUUAGUUGUAAAAAUAUGAUAAACUUACCAAUACUACUAGAUACAAUAAGAAUAACAGUUCCUUGUUAUAUCACCAAUCACGAAAGUGGUCAAGAUCUUAUCUUAGGAAAUCUUUUCCUGAAUAGUCUAGAAGACUACAAUAUAGGAAAAAAUGGUAUAGAAAUGAUCUAUAACAAUGAAACUUGUUUCAUACCAAAAAUAUAAAUGCCAAAAGAAACUUCUUUUAAAGUAUCUGUUUUCAUAGAAAUCACUUUCUAUGAUACCAAAAUAACAACCUGUUGCCAAAUAGACAACGGAUCUGAAGCAAGCUUAGCUAAGUCUUUUGUUAUAAAAGAAUGGGAUAUAAACAAAAACAAUAUAUCAAUGAUUGGAAUUACGAGAGAUAAACAAAAGCUCUCUCAGUCCAAAGAAAAAGUAGAAAUAAUUUUAGGAUCUAAAAUUGUUUCUAUAAAUAAAUUAUUUGCCUAUGAUAAACUGGAAACAGAUUUAUUAUUAGGUAAUGAUUUUUUACAACAAUUUUAGGAUUAUUAUCAAACCUUGUAUAUGAUAAUCCUCAAAACCCCUUGCGGACAGUUUAUCAAAGUCCCAAGAAAACAAAAUCCUUACAUUAUUGAAAAGGAUAACAAAAGAAGAUAUUUAGAGAAUCUAAGAAAAAUAUCUUGUAAGUGUCUUAACUUAGAAAAUAUUAAAGAAAAUCUACAAAAAUCAUAUAGAGAAAAUCCACUUGAAAAAUGGGAACAAAAUCAUGAAAGGGCAACUUUAACUCUUAAAGACCCUAGCAUUAUUAUUAGAGUAAAACCCAUGCUCUAUAAUGAAGAUGAUAAAAUUGAAUUUAAAAUUCAGAUUAAGGAAUUACUUAAUCUAAAAUUAAUAAGGAUGAGUAAAAGCCCCCAUAGUAGCCCAGCAUUCAUGGUAAGAAACCAUGCUGAAAUAAAAAGAGGAAAAGCUCGAAUGGUUAUAAAUUACAAAGAGCUUAAUAAAAUUUGUAUAUUUGAUGGAUAUUUUAUCCCAAAUAAAAAUAACUUAAUCAACCUAGCCAAAGGUAAAAACUAUUUUUCCAAAUUCGACUGUAAAAGUGGUUUUUGGCAGAUUAAAUUAGUAGAGGAAUCAAUUCCACUAACUGCAUUCAGUACACCUAAUGGUCAUUAUGAAUGGAUAGUAAUGCCAUUUGGGCUAAAAAAUUCCCCUCAAAUAUUCCAAAGAAAAAUGGACAAGAUAUUCUCUGAUAAAGAAUUUCUAUUAGUCUAUAUAGAUGACAUAUUAAUUUGCUCUAAAACAUAUGAAGAGCAUUUGACUCAUUUAAAGAAGUUUUCAGACAUCUGCUUAAAAGAUGGAAUAGUUUUAAGUCAGAAGAAAGCAGCUAUAAACAAAAAUGAAAUAGAAUUCUUAGGAAUGAUAAUUUCAAAAAAUGGAAUAGAACUCCAAACCCACAUCUCAAAGAAGAUUACAGAAUUUCCUAACAAAUUGACAACUAAAGAAGAAAUACAAAGGUUUCUUGGAUGUCUCAAUUAUGCAGGAGAAUUUAUUCCUGAUUUAGCAAAGAAAAGGAAUAUACUACAAAAACUGAUAAGAAAAUCCAACAGACUUGGUUGGACUGAAGAACAUACACAGUGUAUAAAACACCUAAAAGAAGAAUGCUCUAAGUUACCAAAGCUUAGAUUACCUGAUGAAAAUGACAAAUUAGUAUUACAAACUGAUGCGUCAGAUUAUCACUGGGGAGCUCUGUUGCAAGCAGAUCUAAAUGAAAUUUGCAGGUACACAAGUGGUACUUUUAAUGAUGCAGAAACAAGAUACUCUACUAAUGAAAAAGAGUUAUUAGCAAUUGUCAGAGGAAUCAGAAAAUUUUCAGCAUUCCUUUUACCAAAAUCAUUAAUUAUUAGAACUGAUAACACGCAGGUGUCAGGACUAAUUUUUAACAAACUCCCAUCGGAACCACAAUAUAGAAGAUUGCAUAGAUGGCAGGUACUAUUAUCAUUUUAUUCCUUCAAAAUAGAACAUAUUAAAGGAAUUGACAACUAUUUUGCAGAUUUUCUUUCAAGAAACGUCCAAUAUGGACAAACAGACACAAACCCUAGUCAACAGGGUAUUUGAAAAAAUGAAUCUAGUAUCAGAUUCAAUUGAUGAUAAAAGCCAAAGGUUAUUCAACGUCAGAGAUGAUUUAAUCAGCCUAUCAGAACAAGCGAGAAAAUUACAGUCUGAAAUAAAUCAAUUAAGCAUUGAUCAAGCAGAAAAUAUGAAUGAAUUUCUGUUAUUAUGCGAACUCUUGGACACAUGUCCAAAAAGGAAUUCCAGUCCUGAAGGGAAUAUUAAUCCCAAAAAAGUGGCAGGAGAUGUCCCACUAGCACCUAGUGCUAAAAACAUCUCAUCGGUAAGCCUGGAUAUCCCGAAACCCAAGUCUUCGGACAAAGGUAAAAGCCAAGCAAUAAAAAAGGAUGAUAAAUCCAAAAUUGAAAACUCCAACAAGGUUUCACCAGGAACCAAAGUUUUUUCUUCUUUUCAGGUUGGAAGGCAACAUCCUAAAGAAGAACAAUAUUUGGCCUUUACAAAACUCAUUUAUAAUCUCCCAGAAGAAAGUGGAGAAACGUUUAGAGUAUUAAGCUCAAAUAGCUUAUUUCCCAGAAUCUCCAUAUUUCCUAAUGGAUCCCCAGGGUUCACAACCCAAUUAUUUGAGUUCGGAUACUUAGACUGAGUAUACGCCAAGGCAGAACUAAAAGAAUUAUCAGGAUUACCUAAUCAGUUAGUUGGUUCGAUAAAAAAUUAUGCCCAAGGCGAAGGAGUCUAUUGCAGAUUCUUUAGCAUUUCUAUGGAAUGCAAAGAUGAACAAGUAUAUUAUCCUACGAUAAAUUACAUCACUAUUGAAAAAUUAUAAGAUUUCAAUAUAAAAGCAACAAGAGUAGACAAAAACUCCCGCAUUUAAAUAAAAAAUGGAUACAAACUAAAAGAACAUUGGGAAUUAAAGCUCUCUACUUUAUUCUCAAGAGAUUUUACAAUGAAGACAUGUAGGUAAUAGAUCAUGAUCACGAUUGGGUCCUGAUGACAAAAGGAAGAUCCAAAUCUAAGGUCAUAAAAGACAAAAUCCUUGAUAUCGAGUUACAUAAACUAUAAGCAACAAAAGAAACGUGGAAGCUAGCCUGUAAAAUGCUAAAUCACAAACAUGAUUUACCACAAGAUGAAGAAGCUUGAAAUGUAAGCUGUCGAAAAGACAAAACAAAAUGACGUAAGCACUUACAUCAAAGAAGAUAAAAAGAGAAUCUUAUCUCUUUCAACCUUUCUCUUUAGUCAAAAAGAUCAAUCAUAUCAUUUCGGCCAUCAGCAUUAUUGAAGGACGAAAAACAAAUUUUUGAAGGACUUCCAGAGGAAAUAAGAUAUUGUAAUAAGUCCCUCCUUACAUCUAUAAAAGGAGAGGAAAUUCUCAGUAUAGAGGUAGACUAAUCUUUCUUAGAAAAUAUCCAUUUAAGAAAAAUGUUAGGUACCUCUAGAGAGAGUGAGUAGUAACUUCUCCCGCCAGGGGAAAGUAUUUUCUAAAUAUGUUGUGAGUAUAUAGUAUAAUAUGUAUGGUUUGAUUGUAAAAUUUUUAGUAUGAAAUAAAAGGUUGGUUUUUAUACCUCUCUUCUUAAAACUCCAUUAAUAGUCUUAAGUGAAGGUUGCGAUCUUCAGCCUUAGGGAGAAAUAGUAACGAGUAACCAAGACUGAGGUCGAGAGGGUGAAAUAUUGUUUACAGCCUAAAGGGAGAACUACUACGGUAAUGAUAAGGACUGUUCAUCGAUCAAAGAGAAGGAAGGUAUACACGCACGCUUUUUAUUGCAUAAAUUAAUUUUACAAGCAAUCUAUAUUAUGUUAUAUGCAUACUUAGACAUAUAAGGAAAAUACUUAGUACCUAUAGGGAAUUCAAAAUUAUUGAAAAUAGUUGUAAUCAUGAAACAUCUCAGUAUUUUAUCCAUAUUCAUGCUAUGAAGCAUAUACAACGCCAUGUGCAUUCAAUUAGAAGGAGAGCAUGGAGACAUCGCAUAGCUAUCCAUCAUAUUGAUAGAGCCCUUCCUGAAAUGAAAAAAACAUAUUUAAGCACGAGCUUAAUAUCUUCAAAAUUGAUUAUAGCAAUUCAUGAAAUGAAAUUGAUUAGAAUAAAUGAGCUAUUUGCUUACAAAGAUGCUCAAAGAAUUUUUAAAAAAUGUGUGUUGUUCACAGCAUAAAUUCCGCAACCUUGUUUUAAUAAUAGCAGCCAAUCCUUAGAAGAGAGGUAUAAAAACCAACCUUUUAUUUCAUACUAAAUUUUUUACAAUCAAACCAUACAUAUUUUCUCGCUUGUUCAGAUUUAUUUUUUAUAGUAAUUAUGGUUACUAUUUUCCUUUUUAGAUCUUCAUCUAAUUAUUGAAGUACCUGUAGUAUUGCUACUAAGGUUUCUUCUUCUAUAUACCAAAAGGGUUUUACUGGAGUAAAAUCUAGUUCCAUUUAUAUCCUUGGCUCUGAUACCAUGUUUUGGCUGCUGUUAUUAAAACAGGGUUGCGGAAUUUAUGCUGUGAACAACAUACAUUUUUUUAAAAUUCUUUGAGCAUCUUUGUAAGCAAAUAGCUCAUUUAUUCUAAUCAAUUUCAUUUCAUGAAUUUAAUAAUUUUAUUACCUUUUUUAAUCAUCUAACGCUAUUUAUUCUUUUCCGAUGGUGUGUAGUUGUGAAUCGAGGUACAAUAUUAUAAUUACGACCAUAUUUGAAAGGAGGGCAUCCAUGAGACUGUCUAGUUGGCUAAAGAAAGUCCGAGAUGCUAUUCAAUGUCCAACUUAGAUGUGGCCUCAUGUUUUUUUAUGAAUUGCGCCAGUAUUGGAUUACAUAUAAAUUCAAGGCAAUGUCUGAACAAGCUAAAAAAGCUAUAGGCAGUCUUAAGGGUGGCUCGUUGCAAAUCGGGGGUGCACAAAGCGUUGGAAUGAUUACAAGAGAGAUAGUAAGUUCUAAUUCAAACUUUUAAAUAAGAAAAUAGUUGAUUAAAUAUAUUAGUUCAUUAAUAUCAUCAUAUAUUUUAUUUUUAUUUAUAGGAAAAACAAUUAGGACGCACUCCCCUUGUACCAGAGGUUUUCAAGGAGACUCAUGUGAAGAAGAAAGAAAAUGAGUUGGAUCCGAAUGUGUGGGUGGGGGAAAGGACCGACAAACUUUUGUAAGAUAUUUAAUAUGAAAAGUGAAUAUGAAUAUAUAGAGUGCCUAAAAUAUCAUAAAUUCCAAAUCUUCACAAAACUCUGUGGCUCGUAUAUACCAAGCUAGGUCAGAGAAUUCUACAAUGCAUACAGUUCAUUGGUACCUCAACGGAAGAGGUUGGUAUCGUCAUUCAAAGCAGUUGACUACGUGGUUGUCAGAGGAAGGAAGGUAGCUUGUGACAAUGAGGCUAUCAACAUAGUCUUGGGUAUGUCCGAUAAAAUUAAUGAUCACUUCCAACACUUGAUCAGAACAGAGAAGCUGGAUGCGAUGAAAAAGUGGUUAGCCCCGCUAAUCUCAGAUGAUAAUGCUCCGAAAUGGCUGGCAGAAGGUGUUUUAAUUGAAAAGAAAGAUCUGAACAUAGUUGCUAGAUACUGGUUCGGGUUCAUCAGCAGCACAAUUAUGCCAUCACAAAAUUAAUCAAUCCUUCGCCUUGCCAAGGCAGCUUGUAUUGGAUGUAUCAUAGAGAAGACCAGGAUAAAUCUAGGGAUGACCAUUGCCUCCGAGAUCCAUAUGCGUGCAAAGCAAAGCCAGACAUCUCUCCCUUUUCUGAUAUUAAUCACUGCAUUAUGCAAAAAAGCUCGAGUGCCUAGAGAUGCAAAGAAGGAUGUGGAAUUGGUUGCCACCGACUCUACCAGUAUUCGAAAGAUCGAAGCUGAAUAUCUUAAGGACCAAGCAAAAAAGAAACAGAAGGAAGCUGUGGCCACUGGAUCUAUACCUGCCGAGGGAUCUUUGCCUACUCCGGGCCGUGGGCCAUCAAGUAUAUCUGAUGUCAUGACCACUCCUGUUAACUCUCCAGGUCCUUCUGCUGCCUCAUUACCACCCAGACCUACUUAUGUCGUUGCCUCCUGUGGGCCGAUCACUCAGGCAUCCUUGAUCCGAACAAGACAGCUUGCCCAAUCUGCUAAUUGUUGGACUGCCAACAUAGAAAGCUCCAUUCCAGGCAUGAUUCAGGAUGCCCUUGAUGAUGUUGUGAAACCACUGAGCACUACUAUUGAUGCUCUAGCGGCAAGGAUAGCAGUGUGUGAGCGCGACCAAGGAGCCACAGAGGAGGUAACAACCUUAAAGGCUGCCAUUGCAGAACUGAAGAAAGAUGUGGACUACCUAAAGUCCACAAAUAUGUCCCUGAUCUUUGGAACAGUGGAAAUUCAAGAUGUGCCCAAAAUGCCUCAUACUACCACAGGACAUGGAGAUGGAAUGGAGCAUACAGCCGAUCCCGAAUCAGAAGUAGAGACUGACGAAGAGAUGUUUGAGGAAGCUGCAGCGGACGACAUAGUCGAGACUAAAGAAAUAAUGAUAGAUGCUGCUGUGCAGACUUAUUUGGCAAAAGCUCCUGUUGCUGGAUCCAAUGAAGGUUGUCCUUCUAGAGGUCACUCUGGGUACUGAAGCGUAGACAUAUAGAAUAACCGAUUAGCCAGGAUCACCUCUUUACCUCUCUAUCCGUCUUUCUUUAUUUUACAUUUCGGAUUCUAUUUGUUGCAUUUUAGGACAAUUGCUUUUAUUUGUGGUGGGGUGAGGCUCAGCUUAUGUGUGCUAUUUGUGACUCGUGUUUUUUUGUAUAUAUUUGGGUUAUUCUGGUUAAAAUGUUUUAUCUUCUUAUCGUGGAUGUUUGAGCUUAUUACUCCCUUUUUGGUUUUAAAUUGUAAAAUGAUUUUGACCCCCUUUCGAAAAAUUUUAAAAUUUUUCACACAUUUUCGCCACCCGUUAUAUGCUCUUUAAUGUGGAUGCUCUUAUGCAAAAAAUUGAGUCUCGGUUCCAGUCAACACCGAUGACUUGAAUAAUGCUCUCAAUCGAACGAACAUGAAUGCGUGGCUAAGAUGAGGCCAAAUGAAGUUGCAUAGACAAUAUAUGAACUCUUUGCAUCUCGUUAUGACUAGCCUUGUAUCAAAUUGAUUCUCUUGUGAUGAUCAUUUCACACUAGCGAAAGUGUGGAGUCUUGUUUAACUUAUAGUGUUAAUGCCUAGUGUGAUGAGCUUACCUGUGAACUAUGCAUGAUAGAUCCUAGAAUUUUCCCCAUUGGUGCAGUCAACUAAGUGAUGCUAUCUCUUGAUAUGAUCUUAGACAACUUCUAUGAGUGUGAGCCAAUUUGACAUAUACCUCUUUUGUGACCUACCUUAUGAGUGUGUGAUUCUCUCUUAAACACCCGUUGAGCCUUACCUUUCUUAAUCCAUCACCCAUAAUCCUCAUGAAGUUGUGGUUAGUUUGAAUAGCCAACUUAGGCCAAAAGCCUAAGUUGGGGGUGUGGUAAAAAGAAAAGGGAAAGUCAAGAAGUGCAAAAAAGUCCCUCCUACCUAUGGUUUUGAGGAAAAUGGAACCCCUCCAUAAUAAAAAAAGAAGAAAGAAAGAAGAGAAAGAAAAAGAAAAAGAAUGAAAAAGAAAGUUGUGGAAUAAAGUAACAAAAGAAAAUGGGGGUUUCCAAACAAUCCAUGGAAAGUGAACAAUAGGAUGACUUAUGAGCACUAAUAAAAAUGAUGAAGGAAAAGGAAAGGAAGUGUUGUGAGCACCACAUUUCAUGAGGAUGGAAGUUAAUGAGCCUAAAUGACCAUACCUUUGCACUUAGCCCCAUUACAAGCCUUAAAAAGACCUUUUUGAUCUUUAGUGAGCUGAAAUAAAUGUUGAUUUGAAAAUACGGGCAAACUUAUGGGUGAAAGCAUGCAUUGUGUUCUUCUUUGUGAGAGUGAGCAUUGCAUCAGAUUCCAAAUCUUUAAACUGUGAAACCACUAUGUGAAUAUGGAAUCAUUCUUUGUGUGAGGGCACUUGAACACUAUAGUUGAGCUUGAACUUUCAUUUGAAGUAAGUAUUGUGAGCAUGAGAUUCGUUGAUAUUGGUGAGUCACAACUUGAAUCUUUGAGUGCACAUUUGAUCUUUGCAUAGGUAAAUUGAGUCUUGUUGUGUGCAUUCAUGAUUGAGUCUUGUGUAGCACUGUUCGAGACACCCUUAUUGAACGGCUGACCUUGAGUUUGCUUGAGGACAAGAAAAGUUUAAGUUGGGGUGUUGAUAAGUCCACAAAUUGGACUCAUUUAGGGAUAUAUUUUUAAUAGAAAUUGUGUCCUCAAAUGCUUAUUUUAUCUCAAUAUCUGAUGAAAACCCUUAAGUUUCAGGUAUGUGAAGUUUUUAGGAAAGCAUGGACACUACAUGGCAAAAUAGAAUGAAAAGGCUGAAAAGAACGAAGAAAUGAAGGACUGAGGAUCGCUGCGUCCACUUGGCAAGUCGCCGAAGGGUCUCACUUCGCCUUUUGUUCCAGUGUGCUGAGCCCUGAAGGAAAGGAUCAAGUCGGCGGAAAAAAUGAGCAGUUAGCGCAUUGCCGUGAAGUUCUGCGAAGCUGUACUAUGUCCCCUAAUGACCCAGAGCAUGACGAUGCCGAAUGAUGGUGCAAAAUGGUGAUGAACUACACCAAAGGGUGAAUUGCCGAGUUGAUAGACGAUUCCGACUAAUGUCGCCGAAUGGUCCGUUGCAGCACAUAUUUUUGAAAACUAUAAAUACUGGUUGAGAGUUAUAGCUUAGUAUCAUAUUUUUAGCUUGAAAAACAAUUAUUAUAAUUUUCAUAUAAAAUAGUACUUUUUAUUAUUGCUUUGAGUUUGAGAGGGUUUUGGAAACUUGAAGAAGAAAAGGGUUUCAUCUCCAAGGAUUUGGACUUGGGUCUCUUGAUUUCUUCAUUCUUGGCCUGUAACAAGACUUAAAUCUUCAUACCCAUUUGAAUGCAAGCUCAUUUAGGUAUACAUUUCUAUCUCUUGAUGUGUGGCUAAAAGCCCUAUUCUUGGGGUGUGAUUUAGCGAAUAUGGGUUAAUAUUGUUGUUGGGUCUUGCUUGUUGAUAGAUUAAAUGUAGUUUAAUGGUGAUUUCACCUAGUAGUUGUGGUAGAAUUUAAUGGAUUUGUAGUUGCAAAUACGAGUCUACCCAUGUGUUUUUGGCUUGCUCUAAAGAGAGGUCGGGAAGAGAUAUAUCAUGUUGCCUCCUAACCUAUCGGGAGUUGAUCCGGUAUUUCAUGUGUCCAUGUUGAAGAGAUAUCACGGUGACGGGGAUUAUAUCAUUAAGUGGGACUCAAUCGUGUUAGACAAAGACCUCCAAUAUGAGAAGGAACCGAUUGCAAUUCUUGAUCGUGAUGUGCGUAAGUUGAGGACCAAAGAGAUUAAGUCCGUGAAAGUUCAAUGGAAGCAUCGUCCAGUUGAAGAAGCUACUUGGUGAAUUGAGAAAGAUAUGUGAGACAAGUAUCCCCAAUUGUUCGUUGAUUCAGGUACUACUCCAUUCCUUCCUUAGCCUAUUUUUCCUAAGUUUGUCACUUGGGGACGAGUGAUGGGUAAAUUGGUAUCUAUUUUAACGAUCAGGUUCUGUCGUUAUAGAAAAGCCAACGGGAAAUUUUUUUUGGGCCGAAAACUUUUUUGUAGUAACUUGAAAUUUCCCAACCUAGUCCAGAUUUUGAUGAAAUCGGAGUCAUUAAGGUGUGGGGAAAUUACCCUUUAGGUUUCAAACUUAUUUUUGGUGCCCUUUCAAAAAUUUCACUUAAUUUUUUUGCCCUUUCGGCUCCAUACUCUGUUCACACACACAUUCCCAUGGUUAGGCAAAGGGUUAUUGUUCACAUUUGGAGAAGCUCCUUUAAGCUGAAUUAUAUUCUCUUUGAUGAAAAUCUCAAUCUUAUCUUUGAGAGCUAAACAACUUUUUGCAUCAUGUCCAGAAGACCCUGAAUGAUAUGCGCAAUGCUUAGACUCAUCAAACCACUUAGGAUGAGGUUUGAUAGCUCUCCAAGAAAUUGGACAAAUAUUUACGAAUAAAAACACACUAAAUCUAAAGGUGACACGAAUGUCAAUUAUCAAUGGGGGGUUUGUACACAACUAAGAAACAAAAAUAGCAAAAAUAUAAAGAUGCGAACUAGGGAGACGGGAUUCUUGGGAUGUGAUUGGAUUAUGGGAUAAAAUAAACUAUUGGGUAAAUGCUAUUAUAGUAAAUCGCUGAACAUUUGUAACUAGGCUAGACUUUAGUGGGGGUAAAUUCUCUCUCGAGCAACUUACCCCGAAUCAACUCGGUUUCUCUUGAACAUUGAUGAGUCCACAAAUUGGACUCAUUUAGGGUCAUAUUUUAAUAGAAUUAGUGUCCUCAAAUGCUUCUUUUAUCCCAAUAUCCGAUAAAAACUCUUAAGUUUCAGGUAUUUGAAGUUUGAGUGGAAGCAUGGACACUUAGGCGCAAAGAGGAACAAAAAAGCUGAAAGGAACGAAGAAACUGAAACCCGACAAUCGCAAAGCACACUUGGGAAUGGCCGAAGGGACGUACUUCACCCUUUGUUCCAGUACACGGAGACCAGAAGGAAAAUGAUCAAAUCGACGGUAAAAAGGAGCAGUCGGCGCGCUACCGAACAGUUUCGCGAAGCAGUACAAUAUCGCCAAAUGGUCCAGGACGCAGAGAUGUUGUAGGCAAGCACAGAAGGCAAUGAACCAGAUGAUGGGUGAAUCGCCGAGUCAAUCGGUGAUUCCCACUAACCUCGUUGAACAGUCCGCCGUAGCAAUAAAUUUGAAAAACUACAAAUACUAGCCUUAGUUAUUAUUUUGAAGGGCCCGAAACAUUAUUGUAAUUUUCACUUUAGCUUUCAUAUUUUCUCUCAAGUUUGGAGAGUGUUUUGUGGGAGACUUGAAGAAAGGAGUUCAUCUUCCCCAAAUUGGAAGUGGGUCUUCUCUAUUCUUCUUCCUUUACUUAAAUCAAGGUUUAAUUUCUUAUACCUAUUUGAUUUCUCUAUCAUUUUAGGUAUAAUUUCUUAUUUCUUGAUGUGUGGCUAAAAACCCCAUUCUUGGGGUGAUUUAGCAAAUAUGUGUUCAUAUAAUUGUUGGGUCUUGCUUGCUGAUAGGUUAGAUGCAUUUUAAUGGUGAUUUCACCUAGUGGUUGUGGUCUAAUUUAAUGGUUUUGUAGUUGCAAAUACAAAACCACCCAUGAAUUUUUGACUUGUUCGAGAGAGAGGUCGCGAAACUAAGACCACUAGACUGAUGGCCUAAGGAGUGGGUCGACAUGAGGUUCUGCCCGAGAGGGUGAGCCCUAGUCCCAUAUCCUAACACUCAGCUCGAGAGAGUGAGUGGGGUAAGGCGUAGGCUGGCCUUCAUGCGGCAAAUGGGUGUUCGAGAGGAACCCAUUUGAAACGGGGUAAGUUUCCCGAGAGGGAACUUAUUUCCAUCUAAAGCUUAGCCUAGUCACUUUUAUCUUGCAAGUUUCCUAUCGAAAGCAUGUACCCACGGAUUUAUAUCAAUAUAUAUUGCGGUCACACCCCAAGAACUUCUCCCCAUACUUGAUUUUCUCUUAUUUUGUUGUUUUAGCUACUUGUGACAAAAUACCCUUUGAUAUUUGACACUUUGGUGUCACCCACUUGAAUUUACUUUGUUUUUAUUCGAUAUUUUUUCAAACUACAGCUAACUAGAACAAAAUUUUAGCCUAACUACUAUUUUCACUACCACCCCCUUGGGACACGACCCCGACCUUUAGUUGGGUUACUAUAUUAUUAACGAUCGUAGAGACUCAAAUAGUUGGUUAGUGUCAUUGGUCACGAUACACAUCAAAAUGGCGCCGCUGCCGAGGAGUGGUGUUACGUGAAGAUGUAGUUCUCCUAGAGUUUUUGUUCUUUUUAGUGUAGUCUAUUUCCUUUAUUUUUAGUUUUGUUUUUCUUGUUUGUAUAUUGAAAUAGGAAAGAUGAGCAUGAAUGGUAACUAUGGGUACCAAAUGGACUAAGUGCUAUCUUUUCUCUACCGAGUGCCAAAAGAGGGGUAGCCUUGAGGCCAACCUCACUAAUGGAACUUGAGUGAGAUCUUGCGUCGUGCCACGACGUUAAAUAAGGCGCAGUUUGGGAGGCAACCCAAAACCCUUUUUAUUGCUUUAAGUUACUUUGAUGAAAUAAUGGUGUAUUGAUUGCGCAGGUGAAAGUGUGGAAGUUGAAUGAGAAGUAUAGAUUGUCAAACGAAAAGCCCGGUCGGCGAAUCGCCGAUUGGUUCGGCAACCCCGACACACUCUACCGUUUGAUUCAACCUUGUUUGGGAUUGGGUCUAUAAAACUCGGUGGACUCAACGAAAUUAUUAGCGUGUCGCCAAGUAUAUCGGCGAUUCCGAUGUAGACUGCCGUUUGGAUCUUCUUCUUGACUGAAGGUCCUGUAAAACUCGGCGAGAUAAGUGAACACUCUGCGAAUAGCCAAGAGGUUCGUUGAUCGGGACUAAUGUCACCGAAUGGACAAGAACUAGACGGUCUUUUAGCCUAUGGUUUAAAAAGUUUUAACUUCAUUCUCUUGACAUCACUUUUCCACCUCUACAAACUCACACCUGCACUCCAAUUUUAUUUUUUUUGCACCUUCAGAAGUAUUGGUUAGUUGGUUUAUGCGCGGGGUUGGAUUACGUUGCUUCCUAGCGUUUCAAUAACCAUUUGAACAGUGCAAUUUUUUUUGCAGACAUGGCCAAAUCCAAAGUUGUAGGAAGAGACGUGCCACCCCGACACAUAAGAGCACAAAAUUUCAGGAGAGAUGCAGAAAAGCCGGUCAAGACCAAAGCAAAGAGCAAGAGCAAGGAAGCCAGUUCCAGUAGGAGGAUUUCCAUUGACCCUAAUGUCCCUUCGUGGACCCGAGGGUUCAUCAAUGUAGUACAUGCCUUUGGAGCAUCUCAUGAUUUGGAUAAUAUGGUUAAGGCUAAUCUCGCUGCAGCAGCUAUAGCAGAGAACUAGAGUCAGAAUGAUAAUACUCAGGGCACUGAUGCCCAGACAUGAUCCCCUCUUUACCUCCCUCUGUAUCUUUCUUUAUUCUAGAUUCUAAAUAUUUUUUUAUUUGCAUUCGAGGGCAAAUGAUUUUGUUUGUGGUGGGGUGAGGCCCACCUUUUGUGUGUGCUAUUAAUGUUCGUGUUUUGUGUUGUGAGAUAAAAUUUUGCAUUACUACUGCUUUGCGUGGAUGUUUAAGCUUAUGGCUCCUUUUAUUUUAUUUCAAAAUAAAUUUUGACCCGUUCGAAAGUUUUUGCCACCUCUUGUGUGUUGAAUGUGGCUGGCUGUUCUUGUGCAAAAUUUGAGUCCCGGUUUUGAUCAAUAUCAAUUACUUGAAUAGUACUCUCAAUCGAACGAACAUGAAUGUGCUUCUACAAUAAGGCCAAAUGAAGUUGCAUAGACAAUAUAUGACCUCUUGGAAUCUUGUUUUGACUGGCCAAGUAUUAAAUUGAGUCUCUUGUCAUGACCGUUGCACACUAGCAAAAAUAUAGAGUUUUAUUUGACUAGUAGUGUCGAUGCCUAGUGUGCUGAGCUUACUUUGAAACAUGCAUGAUAGAUCCUAGAAUUUUCCCCAUUGGUUCGAUCGACUAAGUAAGGCUAUCUCUUGAUAUGAUCUUAUGCAACUUUAAAGAGUGUGAACCAAUUUGACAUAUAUUUCUUUUGUGGCCUACCUUGUGAGUGUGUGAAUCUCUUUUUAACACCCCUUGAGCCUGACCUUUCUUUGGAUGAAACUUGAUGAAAACUAGACCUUUCUUUAUCCGCUACCUAUAAUCCUCUUGAUUUGUGGUUAGUUGAAUAGGCAACUUAGGGGNNNNNNNNNNNNNNNNNNNNNNNNNNNNNNNNNNNNNNNNNNNNNNNNNNNNNNNNNNNNNNNNNNNNNNNNNNNNNNNNNNNNNNNNNNNNNNNNNNNNNNNNNNNNNNNNNNNNNNNNNNNNNNNNNNNNNNNNNNNNNNNNNNNNNNNNNNNNNNNNNNNNNNNNNNNNNNNNNNNNNNNNNNNNNNNNNNNNNNNNNNNNNNNNNNNNNNNNNNNNNNNNNNNNNNNNNNNNNNNNNNNNNNNNNNNNNNNNNNNNNNNNNNNNNNNNNNNNNNNNNNNNNNNNNNNNNNNNNNNNNNNNNNNNNNNNNNNNNNNNNNNNNNNNNNNNNNNNNNNNNNNNNNNNNNNNNNNNNNNNNNNNNNNNNNNNNNNNNNNNNNNNNNNNNNNNNNNNNNNNNNNNNNNNNNNNNNNNNNNNNNNNNNNNNNNNNNNNNNNNNNNNNNNNNNNNNNNNNNNNNNNNNNNNNNNNNNNNNNNNNNNNNNNNNNNNNNNNNNNNNNNNNNNNNNNNNNNNNNNNNNNNNNNNNNNNNNNNNNNNNNNNNNNNNNNNNNNNNNNNNNNNNNNNNNNNNNNNNNNNNNNNNNNNNNNNNNNNNNNNNNNNNNNNNNNNNNNNNNNNNNNNNNNNNNNNNNNNNNNNNNNNNNNNNNNNNNNNNNNNNNNNNNNNNNNNNNNNNNNNNNNNNNNNNNNNNNNNNNNNNNNNNNNNNNNNNNNNNNNNNNNNNNNNNNNNNNNNNNNNNNNNNNNNNNNNNNNNNNNNNNNNNNNNNNNNNNNNNNNNNNNNNNNNNNNNNNNNNNNNNNNNNNNNNNNNNNNNNNNNNNNNNNNNNNNNNNNNNNNNNNNNNNNNNNNNNNNNNNNNNNNNNNNNNNNNNNNNNNNNNNNNNNNNNNNNNNNNNNNNNNNNNNNNNNNNNNNNNNNNNNNNNNNNNNNNNNNNNNNNNNNNNNNNNNNNNNNNNNNNNNNNNNNNNNNNNNNNNNNNNNNNNNNNNNNNNNNNNNNNNNNNNNNNNNNNNNNNNNNNNNNNNNNNNNNNNNNNNNNNNNNNNNNNNNNNNNNNNNNNNNNNNNNNNNNNNNNNNNNNNNNNNNNNNNNNNNNNNNNNNNNNNNNNNNNNNNNNNNNNNNNNNNNNNNNNNNNNNNNNNNNNNNNNNNNNNNNNNNNNNNNNNNNNNNNNNNNNNNNNNNNNNNNNNNNNNNNNNNNNNNNNNNNNNNNNNNNNNNNNNNNNNNNNNNNNNNNNNNNNNNNNNNNNNNNNNNNNNNNNNNNNNNNNNNNNNNNNNNNNNNNNNNNNNNNNNNNNNNNNNNNNNNNNNNNNNNNNNNNNNNNNNNNNNNNNNNNNNNNNNNNNNNNNNNNNNNNNNNNNNNNNNNNNNNNNNNNNNNNNNNNNNNNNNNNNNNNNNNNNNNNNNNNNNNNNNNNNNNNNNNNNNNNNNNNNNNNNNNNNNNNNNNNNNNNNNNNNNNNNNNNNNNNNNNNNNNNNNNNNNNNNNNNNNNNNNNNNNNNNNNNNNNNNNNNNNNNNNNNNNNNNNNNNNNNNNNNNNNNNNNNNNNNNNNNNNNNNNNNNNNNNNNNNNNNNNNNNNNNNNNNNNNNNNNNNNNNNNNNNNNNNNNNNNNNNNNNNNNNNNNNNNNNNNNNNNNNNNNNNNNNNNNNNNNNNNNNNNNNNNNNNNNNNNNNNNNNNNNNNNNNNNNNNNNNNNNNNNNNNNNNNNNNNNNNNNNNNNNNNNNNNNNNNNNNNNNNNNNNNNNNNNNNNNNNNNNNNNNNNNNNNNNNNNNNNNNNNNNNNNNNNNNNNNNNNNNNNNNNNNNNNNNNNNNNNNNNNNNNNNNNNNNNNNNNNNNNNNNNNNNNNNNNNNNNNNNNNNNNNNNNNNNNNNNNNNNNNNNNNNNNNNNNNNNNNNNNNNNNNNNNNNNNNNNNNNNNNNNNNNNNNNNNNNNNNNNNNNNNNNNNNNACAAUAAAUAAAAAAAAAAAAAAAAAAAAAAAAAAAAAAAAAAUGAA
rnacentral:lncRNA from 1 species